UUUUCUCUACUCUCAUUUCUUCCUCUAAUUUCUUUCAACAACGUAAUCCAACCAUGUCUUUGCUUGGAGCCUUGUCCGCCAUACGAGAAGUUGUUGUCUCCAAGUUCUUUGACUAUCUCCUAGACAAGUUGGGUUCUUCUGAAUUCCUGCAAUUUGCCACUGAAAAACAGAUUCAAGAAGAGCUCGAGAAGUUGAAGAAGGAAUUGCUGGAGAUUCGUGCGCUGCUUGAUGAUGCUGAGGAGAGGCAGAUCAAAGAUCAAUCUGUGAAAAUCUGGUUGUCAGACCUCCAAAACGUGGCAUACGAUGUGGAUGACAUUGUGGACGAGCUUGAAACCGAAAUUACCAGGCGCAAUUUGAUGUUGGAACGUCGUGGCAGCUCAAGUAAGAAACCCAGACUCAUUUCUGAUACAUUCAACAUUGUUUUGAUUAACAGGGGCAUGAUGUCAAAGAUAAAAGAUGUUACUGCCAGAUUGAAGGAUUUAGAGCCUCGGAAAACUCAGUUGCAACUGAGAAUAAUUGACUGCUCGAAAUCCAACAGAAUAAAAGAAAGGCAGCAGCCUACUUCUCUGGAGAUCGAAACUCAGGUGUAUGGCAGAGACAAAGACAAGGAGACAAUACUUGAAUUGGUCUUCAACGGUGAUGAUGACGGAAAUUUUGUGAUUCCCAUCGUUGGAAUGGGAGGGAUCGGUAAGACAACUCUGGCCCAACUUGUUUAUAAUGAUGCUACUGUUCACGAUCAUUUUGAUCUCAAAGCUUGGGUUUGUGUUUCUGAUGAUUUUGAUGUCACAAGAAUAACAAAAGCAAUUUUCCAAGCAGUCACUUCAAAGCCAUGCAAUGACAAUGAUUUGAAUUCGCUUCAAGAAAAAUUAAAGAAGGAGUUGUCAGGGAAAAAUUUUUUGAUUGUUUUGGAUGAUGUCUGGAACGAGAACUAUCAUGACUGGACCAUUUUACAAUCUCCUUUUCUAACAAGGACUCCGGGAAGCAAAAUUAUCGUGACAACAAGAAGUUUUGCUGUUUCAUCUACAAUGGGUGCUUCUCUUGCUCAUUCUUUACAAGUUUUGUCAGAAGAUGAUUGUUUGUCUGUAUUUGCUCAACAUGCAUUGGGAACAAAAGAUUUUGGAGUACAUCCAAAUCUAAAAGAAGUUGCUGAGAAAAUUGUGAGGAAGUGCAAUGGCUUGCCUUUGGCCGCUAAAACCCUUGGAGGCUUGCUUCGUACUAAUGUUGACCUUGAUGCUUGGGAAAACAUAUUAGAAAGUGAGAUAUGGAAGCUAUCAAACCAUCAGUGUAGUAUACUUCCAGCUCUCCAAUUGAGUUAUCAUCAUCUUCCUCCACAUUUGAAGCAGUGCUUUGCAUAUUGCUCCAUUCUUCCUAAGGACUAUGAAUUUCAAGAGAGAGAAAUGAUCUUGUUAUGGAGGGCAGAAGGCUUUUUACAAGAAGCUAGAGAUAAGCAUAGCAUUGAAGAUCUAGGCCACAAGUAUUUUAGAGAUCUAGUAUCAAGGUCUCUUUUGCAAAUAUCAAACAAAGAUAGAUCUCGAUUUGUUAUGCAUGACCUCAUCAAUGAUUUGGCUCAAUCAGUUGCUGGAGAAAUAUGCUUCAGAAUAGAGGGUGGUCAGAAAAUUUCAAAGCACGCUCGCCACUUAUCUUACAUUGGUGGCAAGUGUGAUGGCAAGAAAAAGUUUGAGGGCAUCAGUGAAGCGCAACAUUUACGCACUUUUUUGUCAUUUUGGCUAUCAGAUUAUAAGUUCUGCUUCGUAACUAAUUAUGUUCUUAUGCAUUUGUUGCGAAGUUUGAGAUGCCUAAGGGUGCUUUCUUUGAGAGGGUAUCAAAUCUCGAAGUUGCCAGAUUUUAUUGAAGAUUUAAAACAUUUACGGUACCUAGAUUUUUCUCGCACUCCUAUUAAAUGCUUGCCGGAGUCCGUAAGUACCCUCUAUAAUUUAGAAACCCUUCUAUUAAGGGAGUGUGAGAUGCUUGAAAAGCUACCGUCAGAGAUGGAAAACCUGGUCAACCUAUGUUAUCUUGAUAUCACAGGUGCAAACAAAUUAGAAGGCAUGCCAAAUAAUUUUUGCACACUAAGUGAUCUUGAAACACUAUCCAAAUUUGUUUUGCAAAAGGGCAAAGGAUGUCAAAUAAGGGAGCUAGAAGGUUUAUCAAAUCUCAAAGGUCAACUUUGUAUUUCAGGGUUAGAGAAUGUGGUUGAAACUCAAGAUGCAUGGAAGGCUAAGUUACAUGAUAAGUUAGGACUGGAUAAGUUAGAAUUGAUUUGGAGCGAAGACUUUGAGAAUAGAAAUGGAGAAAUCGAGAAAGAAGUGUUGGAUUUACUUCAUCCUUCCAAAAAGCUUAAGGAGCUUGCCCUCAAGUUUUAUUGUGGUGUGAGGUUAGCAGUAUGGAUAGGGGAUUCUUCAUUCAAUAAGUUACUAUCAUUAUGCCUUGAAUAUUGUCCAAAUUGCAUAUCAUUGCCAUCAAUUGGGCAAUUGCCAUUGUUGAAAAAAUUAUGCAUCAAGGGAUUGGACAAUGUAACUAGUGUGGGGGCUGAGUUCUUUGGAAAGAAUGCAUCAAAUGCAUUUCCUUCAUUGGAGACUUUAGAAUUUGAAAACAUGCCUAAAUGGGAGAAUUGGAACUUUUGUGAAGUUAAUGAGGAAGCUAAGAAGUUUUCUAAUCUUCGUGAGCUUCGUAUUGUGAAUUGUCCGGAACUGUUGGGGAGUAUACCAGAAAAUCUUCUUUCUUUGGAGAAACUUGUGACUUGGAAUUGUAAGAAAUUGGUGAUUUCAAUUCAAAACCUUCCAAUGCUUUCGGAAUUGGAUGUUCAAGGGUGCCAGGAGAUAGUGUAUAAAGGUUUUGUGGACCACAGCUCAUUAAAAAGAGUCUGUUUUUCAAGAAUUCCUAAAUUUACUUGUGCAGCAGAAUGGUUGACGUUAGGAUCAAUAAAAGUGGAAUCCCUUAAGAUCGAAGAUUGUGAGGAAUUGUGCUCUUUGCAAGAGAACAGUUGGGGAUUGCUAACUCGGUCGAUGUCACUUGGUGAAUUGAGUAUUGGAAAGUGGUCGCAACUUGUCUCCAUAGGGGCAGAGGAGGAAAGAGAAGAAUUGAUGCAAUUGAAGAUCCCUUGCACCAUUCAAAAACUGACAAUAAGGGAUUGUGUAAGGUUAGAAAAGCUAUCAACAACCUUGCAUUACGUCUCAUCCCUUGGGGUGUUAGAGUUUUGGUAUUGCCCAAAUCUGAUUUCUCUUUCAAACAACAAUUUGCCUUCGAAUCUCAAAAGCCUAGGGAUUUUUUAUUGUGAAAAUUUACGGUGUUUGUUGGAAGAGGGAGAGAAUGUUAACUUCAGCAAUGCAUGUUUUCUUGAGCAGUUGGAUAUUAACUAUUGUCGAUCUCUGAUUUCUCUUUCAAAGAACAAUUUACCUUCGAAUCUAAAAAGCCUAAAGAUUGAAAAUUGUGUAAAGUUGCGGUGUUUGUUGGAAGAGGGAGAGAAUGUUGACAUCAGCAAUGCAAGUCUUCUUGAGCAGUUGGAAAUUAAGUUUUGUCCAUCUCUGGUAUCUUUAUCAUCAAGAGGGGAGUUACCUACGAGGCUUAAGCAACUAAAAAUAUACAGUUGUCAAAAGCUAGAGUCCAUAGCUCAAGAAAUUCAAGAUAACUCUUCUCUUGAGAAUAUUUUUAUCGAUAGGUGUAGUAAUAUUAAGGAUUUGCCUCGAGGAUUGAACAAGCUCAGCCAUCUCCGGUUGAUGCUAUUAAGUAAUUGUUCAAAUUUGGUUUCCUUUCCUGAAAGUUGUUUAACCUACUCAAACCUCAAAGUGCUCCGCCUAUAUGUUAAUUCAAGACUCGGAGCUUUGCCAGAUGGUAUACACAACCUCAGCUGUCUUGAAGAAUUAGCUAUAAAAAAUUGCCCAAGUCUGACAUCCUUCCCAGAAGAGGGCAUUCCUACUAAUCUCAGGCAACUUACCAUCCAAGGACGCAACAUCUGUAAGCCACUAAUUGAGUGGGGAUUGCAUAGACUCACUUCUCUUAACUCUCUCUUCAUAAAAAGUGGGUGUCCAGAUGCAGUGUCGUUCCCACAAGAGGAGAUAGGAAUGACGUUGCCCUGCUCUCUCACCCGUCUCACCAUCGCCAAUUUCCCAAAACUAGAAACCCUAUCCUCCAAAGGCUUUCAAGACCUCACCUCUCUGGAGUACUUGGCCAUCGAUUCUUGCCCAAAUCUCCAGUCUCUUCCAGAAAAGAACAUGCUUUCUUCGCUUUUGGAGCUAUCUAUUAAGAAGAGUCCAGUGCUAGAAGAACGGUGUGGAAAGGAUAAAGGACCAGAAUGGUCCAAGAUAGCCCACAUACCUUGUGUGAAAAUUGAUAACAGAUACAUCUAUGAUUCCAGCUAAUUCUGUUUCAGAGGAUAAUGGUUCAAACAAUAAUUCUUCAGGGCACCAAAGUUGACAAGAAAAGAGUUAGUGACUCAAAGUCACAGGUAUGUCAAUUUCAAAUUUAUCAUAUCCCCUACAAAAUUUUAUUAUUAUUAUAAUGUUCCUUACAAAUUCAAAUUUAUACACUAAAGAGAACGGAAAACACUUUCAAUUUAUUUUGUUAAUCUUCAGACAUUUAAUUUUUUUAGGGUUGUGAUCCAUUGAUUUUUUUACAUUAAUCCAAAAAAAUUGAGAUUUUCGGUUUUUUUUUUGCAGAAUAUGAUACUUUCAAUUUCUUAUGCUUGUUAUUUGCUGACAGUAAAGAUUGAAGUUGCAGAAAGGGAAUUCAAAUUGGUCAUCUUGGUGCUGGUUUUUAUAUGGCACAGAGGUUUGUGAAUUUUUUUCAUGUUUUUGGAUAAGUAAUCUCUUAGCUAACCAUCCAUGCUUUGGUAUUAAAUUGACACAUUUGAUGCAAAAACUUGGCAAUUUUGAUAACACAAGUAUCUUUCUAUGUUCAGUACAAAUAUUUACAGCUUUUGGAGCAUUAGAAAAUUUGCUUAUAUCAUAAAAACUGUUGAAUUGAAAAUGCUAAAGUAGAGGCUUAGGUUAACUGUACCUCUUUGUUGAGCCUGGUCAAGUUAACCAUGCCAUGGUCAUCCUUCUUUUAAACCAUGAUUUAAUCUAUUUGGUUUUAGCAGGACCUACCAACUAUGGAUGUCUGGAAGGUUGAAUGAUCUGUGAGACCAUAGCUGCAGUAGUGAAGUUGGCUUUGGUUGUGUCUUGAAAAUUGAAGUCAGCUUCUUUGAUCCACAGUUCUGGACAAGUAUAGCUGAAGUUUCUUUCAUUUUAUUGAAAAGAAAUAGAAAAACCAGGUAUGCCUUUUUGAAACAACAAUUUUUUCAUGUUAACAAUAUUUUCGGGGUAAUUUUACAUGUUAACAAAUUCUUAGCAAACUUGUUUUUAUCAUAUUAAUGGUUGAAUUGAAAAUACUAAAGUAGAGGCUAGUCAAGUUAACCAUGCCAUUGUUAUCCUUCUUUUAAACUAUGAUUUAUUAUAUUUGGGUUUUGUAGGACCUACCAACUAUGGAUGUCUGGAAGGUUGAAUGAUCUGCGAGACCAUAGCUGCAGUUGUGAAAAUGACAUUGGUUGCAUCUUGAAACUUGAACUCAUCUUCUUUAAUCAAGAGUUCCGGACGAGUAUAAUCUUUCAUUUUAUUGAAAAGAAUCAGAAAAUCCAGGUAUGUCAUUUUUAAAACAAUAAUUUUUCACGUUAACAAUAUUUUCAGGAUAAGUUUACAUGUUUUAGUUUCUUCUAUAGCUAAUUGGACAUGUAAUUAUUAGGAGUUAUGAUCCAUCACUGCAACAUUUUAAGAGGCCCUCAUUAUUUGUUCUUGCAGAGUUUCUGUGCUCAAUUGGGAAUUAAUGGCCUAUCACCUAAGAAGACAUUGAUAAAAGAUUCAUCUAUUAUUUGAAGGUGGAAAAACAACAACCAUUUCCUCUCAUGGAGAAGAAAAUGGCAUAAGUGUAUACCUUCUUCCAUAAUUGUAAUGAAAAUGGAAUUAAAAAAAUCCUUUUAAUUCUUUUCUUUUAUACUACUUUUAAUAACCUUCAUUAUUUAUAUAUUUAUAAUUGUACAUUGCUAACAGAAUGGUGGAAAGGAAGGUGAUAAAGAACAAGAAUGGUUCAACAUUGUCCGCAUGCUCUUUUCCAAAUUGAUGAUAAUUUCAUAUGUUAUCAAGAGGAAUAUGACUAAAAUCAAUUAGAGGAUGUCCCAGGUAUGACAAUUUGGAAAUGCAGUGGAAUAGUUGUAACACUUAGAACUUUAGGAGGAUUUCGGUCCACAAUUAUAUAUGAUAUUGCAUAUAAAAAUCAGUUUUGAGAAAUUUGCAUUGCCUGUGACCAAAUCUUGCAUAUGUUACAUGUGGCAUAGAAAGGUUCAGUUUAUUUGGGAAUAUUUUUCAAAGAUGAAAUUGAUUGUAUAUUCAUCUAUGAUCCAGAGAAGUCAAAUUGAAAGCUGUUUAAUCUCUGAAAAGUAAAGGGAGGAAUGAGGGAUUACAAAUUUGCAUUAUCCUUUGCUUAUACUCAAGGUUAGGUAUUUCAAUUUGGAAAAGCUUUUCCACUUUCUUCCUAAUGGAUUUCCAAUUUCAAAAAACAUUGCCGUUCAUCUUACUUCCAUUUUGAAACUUAUACAAUAUUAUCAUUUUUCAUUUUUCAGGCUAUGUGAGGAGUCUGUACCACCAGUCACAUGGAUCUUUGUCUGGUGUCUGUCUUUCCUGUCAGUUUGAUUUUCAUUCUUUUUGUAGUAUGCAAUGACAUUAAUUAGAGCCUACAUCCCAACUUUGAGUUAGGAAAAAGGAAACUGAUAAUCUUCUGCUUAAAGGCAUUCAUGGAAGUUGUGGAAUGUGCGAGACAAUGUAGAUAGUAAAAAGCUACUUUUAUUUAAUGUUCAGGUGUUUACAUAUUUAUAGCUUCUUUUUUGUGCCUCAAUUUCAGUAAUUUCAGUCCAAUUGGAGCUCAAUGAAGGUCUACAAGCUAGUUCCAUACUGAAACGGUGUGAAAAUGGAUGAUGGGAGGAAAAGAUAGUAAUUACCAACGAAACAAUACUUUUUCUAAUACAAUGGUAAAAUUAAAAAAUUUGCUAAUUCUUGAAACCUUUGAUCAGGUCUUUUAUUCCUAAAUACUUCUUAUUUGCAUCUUAAAUAAAAAACUUUGUUAUUAAUUUCUUUAAUUGAUAGUUAUUUUAAAAACUCUUUUCUGUUUUCAUAUCAUUUGAUUAUUUCUCAAAGAAAGAGUAUUUGUUCUUGUUGCAUGUUGUUUAACCUAUAGAUUACAAUUUCUAAGAAAUUGAUGUGAAACCUUUAAUUUUUUCUAUUUUUUCUUAUAAGAUUGUGAUAACACUUGAACCAGGGAACUUAAAGAAGAUAAAAAAUGGUAAGUGGCAGUGCAGCACAGAUACUGUUUCUUAACAGAACGGGCAAUGCAGCACAUUUAUUGUUUCUUACCAGACCAACUGUACAGAUGCAUUGAGCUUAUGCUUUAUGGAGAAGCUUCCCUGCCUGUGCCUCAAUGUCUGAGAAAUGUAGAUACUGUAGCAGCAGUGAUAUUGAACCUAGGCAUUAGUAAGUGACACCAUUGAUGCAAUGAUUAAAAGAAACACCUAAUCUUUUUCUCUGCUUUUCCACUAAACCAUCUUACCUGAUUGAGUUUUUCUUUGUAGUCAAUCCACGCCAUUGUUUUAAGCUGUCAAUAAAAGUGGGUACUAUUUUGUUUGGAGACAUGAUAUAUCCAGGUUACAAGCAUGUUAAACCACUUAAAAGGUAGCUGGUAACAAAAUACUGAUAUCUUGCUUCAUGAUUUUUGGUAGCAUGGAGAUGCUGAUAAUUAUGAUUUGCAUCUGAAAUUGAAAUCUUGAAGAAAGUAUCUGAAGUAAUCUUGAUGUUUUGAAAUUGAUUUUGUGGGCAGUGUGCAAGGUUUACAAAUUACAACCUGCAAACACAAUGAUUGUAGUAGCCGGCUAACUCAAGUUAGAGAUCAGGUAUAGUUCAAAUCUAAACAAUAUUUUGUUCCAUCUGAUUUGAACGUGAGUAAAUGAAAGUUCCAAACCAUUAAUGCUGCUUCUUGAAAUACAGGAAUAUUGAAUGCUCCUUUCACCUAUAAGGAUGAGCUAAAUUUCUCUUGGAUCUCUCUGUGGACUUGGCUUUCUGGCCUAUAAAAGGUUAUUUCUCCAAGACUUUUCAUGUUUUCUAUAUAUAUAUAUAUAUAUAUAUAUAUAUAUAAUUGAAAAGAAAUGGAGCAUGCUAAGCUCUGAUUGACUUAAAUACUUGUUGUCUUUUAAAUACAUGGAGGUUUAAUUUGAUUAUUGAUGUUGGUUGCAGUUCAAGUUGCAGAAGCUUUUGUUCUACAGAAGCAAAUGAAGUUUAGAAAUGCAGUGUUCAACUUUAUGUUAAAAUAGCACAAAGGACAACUGGAAAAAGUGAAGCAACAGAGGUUCCAAGAACUGUGACAGAUAGCGUUGUUGCUCAAUUGCUGCAUGAGCGCACUUGAGAAGGCCUCAGCAAACACCUUAGGGAGUCACACCUGCUAGAGAGGUUUCAAUUAAAGCUUCAUGAAAGACCAAUAAACUUUGCAGUGGCAGUGUCAAUAUCAAUUUCAUAGAAGCAAGGCCUUGUUGUUAGCCCUGGGCAUUGUGCUUAUUGUACCAACUAAAGGAUAAAUGAACCCAGUUGCUAUGCUGGCUCUCACAUCCCUUGUUGGUAAAGUUAAAUACACUUGGCGCUCCCUGCUCCGAGGCAUUGUGUGAAAAUGAGUACUAUGUUUUUGCCAUUCUGAUUGGUAGAUCAGAAAUCCCUUGUCUGCUGUACAUCUCGAUCUGUUUCUCAGCCUGAUUUGACAAAAAGAAAAGAUAGUGAUUAUAGUAGCAGGUUAACUCAAGUUAGAGAUCAGGUAUAGAUCAAAUCUAAACAAUGAGUAAAUCAAGGUUCGAAACCAUUAAUCCUGCUUCUGGAAAUACAGGAAUAUUGAAUGCUUCCUUUCACCUAAAAGCAUGAGCUAAAAUUCUCUAUUGAUCUCUCUGUGGAUUUAGCUUUCUGGCCUAAAAGGACUGAAAAGGUUUAUGAAGAGCCACAAGAGGUUAAUUCUUUUUAUGAAGAGCCAUAAGAGGUUAAUUCUUUCUCUGAGACAUUUACAUGUUAUCUAUAUUUACAUAAUUGAAAGAGAAAUGGACCAUACUAAGCUUUGAUCGACUUAAAUACAUGUUAUCUUUUAAAUUCAUGGAGGUUUCAUUUGAUUAUUGAUGUUGGUUGCAGUUCAAGUUGCAGAAGCUUUUGUUCUACAAAAGCAAAUGAGGUUUAGAAAUGCAAAUAGAAAGAAUUUGCAACAAUCACCAAAUCUAGGUGGCUGGAAGGACAAUGCUACACUGAUUUCUCUGCUGCCACUACCAUUCACUAUAGCCUUGUGCAGCUUGAUCGGCUAAUAUCAACUUCUCUACCUUGAUCGGAACUGAACUGAUAAAUGAUGAAAGAUAGCAAUGAUACUACCAUCAGUGGCACAAUCUUCCAAACCAGGAAAACAAAAAUCCCUCCAAAAAUGGUGAUGUAUUUUACAAUUACUACCAUGGAAGAUUAAACUCAAAUCAUCCAAAACUUCCUUUCUUGGUAUGUAAUCAGUUUGAACUUUGAAGUGAUCUUUCUGUCUUCCCUUAACACAUAUGUUAAUACAGAUUUCAAUUUGAACUUUGAAAGUUGAUUUCAUUUUAAGAAGAAUUCUUGUCCCAAACUUUGAAAAAGUUGUGCAUUCAAGGUUGUGACUAGUUAUUAUUUUUGCUUUGAUAAUCUCCCAGAGCUGGAGUCAAUUCUGUUUCUAUUAUGUGCCCAUCCUUUGUUAUCAAAGCGUAUGUCAAUGCAAGCAUAUUAAGCUUUGAGCGAUUAAAAUAAAAUGAUCUUCUUCUUAGUGAUGAUCUUCGAAUACAACAGAUUGAGUUUUAUCAUCUUAUGUUGGUUCCUUUCUGUGUUUACAUUUUUUAGACCACUUACACAUCAGUAUAUAACGGACCUUUUACGUAAUGCUUAUACGCACUGCCAUAUGGAAUUUUCAAUUUCCUUUUUACUGUUUCAUGUGCUUUGGAAAUAUUUUUAUUUGCCUCUCAACUCGAUAUUUUAUGAGAUUAUUUUUUAACUUUUCACGAGAUUGUGUAUGUAUGCUUGGUGAUGAACAUGAUUUAAUUUAGAAACGGAUUUACGUAUAUAGAUGGUGUUCAUAGAUACCCAAAAUUUUUUAACACUCUUUCCAUCGUUAAAAUUAGUAAAUUCAUCAAUAUUUUUUUAUAUACGUUAUAAGUGAACACUCCAAUAAAAAAAAUUCUUAGAUCCGUUGUUGAUUGAACCGUGCCAAUUUUGGUUGAAUGCACAUAUAUUAGACUAUGUACAAAGCAUAUGCCUUCCAUUUUAACCCUGUGAAGACGUGGGAUGCCAUUCUCUGCUCUAUGGACCUUGCAAUCACAACCAUACUUAAUCAACUUAAUUCUGCUAGUCCCAAACAAUGCUAAAUGCAUUUUGCUGUUGUUGAAACUGGGUUGAGUUUGUUACUUUCUUUUCCACCCUCAGCAAGCAAGAGCUUUUGUAUAAAGAAUUAAGCUGUCAAUCUAUACAGAAUAUAAUUUUGAAAGUUCAUUUUGUCCCAUUUUGAGAAGUUUAUUCAAUGUUACUGCAAGAGCCUCAAGGCAUUGGAAGGUUAAUUCCAAUCUUGUAUUCGGUGAGAAUAUUUUAAAGUGUAAGAUUUAUGUUUUUUUUUAGUCUGUACCAAUGUUGAUGGUAAAUUUCUUGCGCUAGAAAUGCUACAAUUAUGGCAUUAGUAAAGAUCUAAUGCUCAACACUGUAAAGAGAUUAAAGGGCUUUAAUAACAUAUAUAGGAAGUUAAAAAUUUAGUACGUAACAAAUUUAGAAAAUAACAACUAUAAAUAAUAAAAAAGAAUAAUAUAACAAAAUGUAGACUCUUAUAUGAAUUUAAAAUUAAUUCGCAAUAUGUGAAAAUGCCCAAUUUAAAUAUAAAAUUAUAUAAAAAAAGAACUUAAUAUUUAAUAUAUGUAAGACAACACUGCUCUAACCCUUUUAUCAUCAAAAUUAUUAUAUCUAGGCAGCUGUGAGGAUCAAUGAGUUAUGGAAACUUUUAUUAGUUGCAGAAGUUCCUCCUUGUAUCCAUCCAUAACCAGUUAACCUUGUGUGGUAUAACUCUAGCCAGCCUAAAAUUGCGAUCUUGUAGGCUACAGACAGUGAGGGCAAUCUCUUGCAUCUGAAAUGAGAGCAUUCCUUGUGCUAGAUCAGUUUCUUGCAACCAUUUUUUUUAUGACUGAAACUUUCAUUGGCAUUGGGCCUUAUAAUUUGGAACCCAUUAUCAAAUCCUAUUAUCGAUCAGAUGUCAUGCUUAUGAUUUUUCACAAUAAUGACUCAAGUCCAUGGGUCAAGUCAGAAAUGAGAGGAUAGGAGCAGGGCUGGCUUGACAGCCCAACCUCCUUGACUUGGGGACUUUUGGCAACCCAUCAAGCUCAUUAAAUUGAUCAAAUGGCAAUGAUAUUUUGAAAUGGUCCCUUCUCAAGGUCAAUGGCCAUUGAAUUGGUUGCUGCCUCAAGAACAGAUAAUGUUUUGGCAUUGCCGUUAAUGCAGUAGACUUUGAUGUACUAACAUAACUGAAGUAGGCCGAGAGUGUAUUGCAAACUCCCUAACAUGAUGUGCUUGUUUGUUGUUCUUCCCUGCUGCAGAGGCAAAGAUAAGAUUUAAAGUUGAUUGGCCCUGGAGCGAGAUUGAAGGUUAGAUUUGGAAUGAAGAGAAUGAUAGGCUGAUGCACUAAUUUCCUCAAGAAAAACCUGUAAAAAAAAGAUAAGAGAACUAUUAAGAGAAUAAUUAUAAGAUACUAGUAGUUCUUAUACACUACCCAAACUUAAUGAAUUCUUCAAAAUUUCCAACCCCAAUCAGUCAUCCAUUUAUAGGAAAAAAUAGGUAUGUCAAUCAGAAAGGCAUGGAAUAGAUAGAAUAUUUUUAUUUUCAUUUCAUAUUUUUUAUAUUAGAUAUAUUUUUGUAUUCAUAUAUAAUGGGUAUUUUAAAUUUAUUCAUAUUUUUAUUUUUGUAAAUAUUUAAUAGAUAUGUGUAAUUUCGUAUUUGUAACUUUUAUGUAAUUUUUUAUAAAUAUAUAUUUUUAAAUAUAAAAAAUAUAUAUAUAUUUUGUAGUUGUAUUAAAUGUUCCAAUUAUCCAAUAGUGGGGAGGAUAGCUUCAAAAGCUAACCAGAAAAUACUGAUUCACAAAGGACAUAUUUUUCAGAAGAGAACCAGGAACAGUCAAUCUAUACACCAAUAUUAUUGCAUAAGAAAUUUACAACUAACUCUCUCACAAAGGGAAAUUAAUGUUUAAAGAAAGUGAAAUUUGAUUAUUUGAUAGCAACUUUUUUAUUUAUUAAAUAUUAAAAUUAAUAAAAAAAUAUAAUUUAAAUAUCAAAUAACUAAUUAGUCCAAAAAAGUAGUGUGUCCAUAUCCGUUUUGUUCUUUGAAGUCUAUUUUAUAAGGUUCUCUUAUAAAAGGUCAGCUCUUUUAUUAAUAUCGGGAUGAACUAAUAAGGAUGGUAACAAGAGAGUCGAAUUUAGUUUAAUAUUUUAGAUAAUAUAUAAUUUAAAUUUAAAUUGAAUUUUAAUAGUUUGAUUUAAUUUGGUUUAUUAUUUUUUUAAAUUUAAAUUUUGAUUUUUUAGAUAUUAUUUUAAUGUAAUUUUUAAUAUAUUUUAAUAAAUGAAAUAUAAAAUAAUUAUUUUAUUUUAUAAAAAUUAAAAUAUCUAAAAAUUAAUAAAAAUAUAUAAAUUUUUUUAAUUUUACUUUCCAAUUUAAAAUUUAAUCUAAAUUUAAUAUAUAUUUAAUAUUUAAAUUAAAUAAAAAAUAAUCAAAACCAAAUUAAACACUAUAAUUUCAAAUCUUGAUUUCUUAUUUUUCAAUUCUACUAAUGAGUUAGGACAAAUUGUAGCUGUUCAACUCAAUUAUUCAAAACAAUAGCAGCGUACCCAUUUAUUAUUACAUCUGCUUUUGUUAGUACCGCAUGCGUCCAGAAAGGCACGUGACAUAUCAUUAAGAUACCAAAGGUACCUGUAGGUCAGUUGCAAAAAUAAAAGAUUCCAAACCACACCUCAUUUUUUUAGUUUUGUUUAGUUCAAAAAUGGGGUGCCAAUUUGAAAAUACAAUACUAGUCAUGAUUUUUGGUUCUCCUUCGAUUUCAUUUUGUAUGCUUUUUAAUGAUUUUUUGGUUAAAUAAAUUUAAUUUAUUUUCCAAACAAAAACAUCUGUCAACUUUCGUUUGUCGCCAUUAUCACCUCUGUAUGUAGUCGGACCAACCUUAGCCUUAUGAAGGCUAGCACUGGCAACGAAAAGAAUUUGCAGUAAUAUAGUAUAAUAUAAUAUAGUCUCCAAUAAUACUAUUUACUUAUACUUAAUUUUACAUUAUUACAUAAUUUAUAUUAAUAUGUUUAAUUUUAGUGAUCAAAAUAUUUAAAAAUAAAAAAAAUCGAAUUUGCCAAAUUAAUUUUCCAAGGAUUAAUAUAUAAUUAAUGAUUUUCUCAUCAAUUUUUUUUUAGAUAUGCAUUUAAAUUUUUUAUGCCUUUUUACUGAAUCGUCCUGCACACCAUUAUUUUAAGAAUCACAAAUAAAAAAAUAUAUAGGAUGACAAUAAAAAAAAAUAUAAAAAAAAAUAUAUACACCAAAUCUGUUGAUAAAACUUGGAAAGUAAUUGUACGUAUAUAUAUAUUUCCCCCAUUUCAACAUUCAAACUUAGAAAUUACCCAUGAAAGGUGAGUUAAGGGGCGUUGGAUUUGUUGUGUAGGAUCGAUGAAAUUGCAGAAAGAACUCAAUUGAAAUUUCGUCCUUUACCAAUAGCCAGUAGCGGUGGUGUUAGUGCGUUCAAAAAUCAAUGUGGGUCCAAUAUUGACUUGUAAAAAGAUUCCAGAAAUCAAUCAGCAAAAGAAAGAAAGAGAACAAAAAGUCAUCUAAUAAAACAAUUCAUCUUUACCCAACUUCAUUAUUUACUGCUAGCUCAAACUCUUUUCUCAGCUUUCUCUAUAUCUUAUUUCCUUCCCUAAUUUCUUCCAACUACGCAAUCCAACCAUGUCUUUGCUCAGCGAAGCCUUGUCCGCUAUACGAGAAGUUGUUGUCUCCAAGUUCUUUGACUAUCUCCUAGACAAGUUGGGUUCUUUUGAAUUCUUUCAAUUUGCCAGUGAAAAGCAGAUUCAAGAAGAGCUUGAGAAGUUGAAGAAGGAAUUGCUGGAGAUUCGUGCGUUGCUUGAUGAUGCUGAGGAGAGGCAGAUCAAAGAUCAAUCUGUGAAAUUUUGGUUGUCAGACCUCCAAAACAUGGCAUACGAUGUGGAUGACAUUGUGGACGAGGUUGAAACCGAAAUUGCCAAGCGCAAUUUGAAGUUGGAACGUCAUGGUAGCUCAAGUAAGAAGCCCAGACUUGAUACAUUCAACGAUGUUUUCUGUAACAGUGACAUGAUGUCAAAGAUAAAAGAUAUCACUUCCAGAUUGAAAGAUUUAGAGCCUCAAAAAAAUAAGCUGCAACUGAGAAUGAUUGACUGCUCGAAAUCCAACAGAAUAAAAGAAAGGCAGCAGCCUACUUCUCUGGAGAUCGAAACUCAGGUGUAUGGCAGAGACAAAGACAAGAAGACAAUACUUGAAUUGGUCUUCAACGGUGAUGAUGACGGAAAUUUUGUGAUUCCCAUCGUUGGAAUGGGAGGGAUCGGUAAGACAACCUUGGCCCAACUUGUUUACAAUGAUGCUACUGUUCACGAUCAUUUUGAUCUCAAAGCAUGGGUUUGUGUUUCUGAUGAUUUUGAUGUCACAAGAAUAACAAAAGCAAUUUUCCAAGCAGUCACUUCAGAGCCAUGUAAUGACAAUGAUUUGAAUUCUCUUCAAGAAAAAUUAAAGAAUAAGUUGUCAGGGAAAAAUUUUUUGAUCGUUUUGGAUGACGUCUGGAAUGAGAAUUAUCAUGACUGGACCAUUUUACAAUCUCCUUUUCUAACAAGGACUCCGGCAAGCAAAAUUAUCUUGACAACAAGAAGUUUUGCUGUUUCAUCUACAAUGGGUGCUUCUUUUGCUUAUUCUUUGGAAGUUUUGUCAGAAGAUGAUUGUUUGUCUGUAUUUGCUCAACAUGCAUUGGGAGCAAAAGAUUUUGAAGGACAUCCAAAUCUAAAAGAAGUUGCUGAGAAAAUAGUUAGAAAGUGUAACGGCUUGCCUUUGGCUGCUAAAACCCUUGGAGGCGUGGCUCGUACUGAUAUUGACCUUGAAGGUUGGGAAAAAAUAUUGGAGAGUGAGAUAUGGAAGCUAUCAGACCAUCGGUUUGACAUAAUUCCAGCUCUCCAAUUGAGUUACCAUCAUCUUCCUCCACAUUUGAAGCGGUGCUUUGCAUAUUGCUCCAUUCUUCCUAAGGACUAUGAAUUUCAAGAGAGAGAAAUAAUCUUGUAUGGAGGGCAGAAGGCUUUUUACAAGAAGCAAGAGAUAAGCAUAGCAUUGAAGAUCUAGGCCACGAGUAUUUUAGAGAUCUAGUAUCAAGGUCUCUUUUGCAAAUAUCAAACAAAGAUAGAUCUCGAUUUGUUAUGCAUGACCUCAUCAAUGAUUUGGCUCGAUCAGUUGCCGGAGAAAUAUGCUUCAGAAUAGAGGGUAAUCAGCAAAUUUCAAAGCACGCUCGCCACUUAUCUUACAUUGGUGGUUUGUAUGAUGGCAUCAAAAAGUUUGAGGGCAUUGGUGAAGUGCAACAUUUACGUACUUUUUUACCAUUUUCGCUGUCAAAUUUUUGGAGUUGCUUUGUAACCAAUAAUGUUCUAACACAUUUGUUGCCAAUUUUGAGAUGCCUAAGGGUGCUUUCUUUGAGAGGGUAUCAAAUCUCGAAAUUACCGGAUUUUAUUGAAGAUUUAAAACACUUACGAUACCUAGAUUUUUCUUGCACUCAAAUUAAAUGCUUGCCGGAGUCCGUAAGUAACCUCUAUAAUUUAGAAACCCUUUUAUUAAGGGAGUGUGAGAUGCUUGAAAAGCUACCUUCAGAUAUGGAAAACCUAGUCAACCUAUGUUAUCUUGAUAUCCAAGGUGCAAAUAAAUUAGAAGGCAUGCCAAGUAAUAUUUGCACGCUAAGUGAUCUUCAAACACUAUCCAAUUUUGUUUUGCAAAAGGGCAAAGGAUGUCAAAUAAGAGAGCUAGAUGCUUUAUCAAAUCUCAAGGGUCAACUUUAUAUUUCAGGGUUGGAGAAUGUGGUUGAAACUCAAGAUGCAUUGAAGGCUAAGUUACAUGAGAAAUCAGGACUGGAUAAGUUAGAAUUGAUGUGGAGUGAAGACUUUGGGAAUAGAAAUGGAGUAAUCGAGACACAAGUGUUGCAUUUGCUUCGUCCUUCAGAAAAACUUAAGGAGCUUCGCCUCAAGGGCUAUUAUGGUGUGAGGUUGGUGGAAUGGAUAGGAGAUUCUUCAUUCAAUAAGUUACUAUCUUUAUAUCUUGAAUAUUGUCCAAAUUGCACAUCAUUGCCAUCAAUUGGGCAAUUGCCAUUGUUGAAAAAAUUAUUCAUCAAUAGAUUGGACAAUGUAACUAGUGUGGGUGUUGAGUUCUUUGGAAUGAAUGCGCCAAAUGCAUUUCCUUCAUUAGAGAGUUUAGAAUUUAGAGGCAUGCCUAAAUGGGAGAAUUGGAACUUUUGUGAAGUUAAUGAGGAAGCUAAGAAGUUUUCUAAUCUUCGUGAGCUUCGUAUUGUGAAUUGUCCGGAGCUGUUGGGGAGUAUACCAGAAAAUCUUCUUUCUUUGGAGAAACUUGUGACUUGGAAUUGUAAGAAAUUGGUGAUUUCAAUUCAAAACCUUCCAAUGCUUUCGGAAUUGGAUGUUCAAGGGUGCCAGGAGAUAGUGUAUAAAGGUUUUGUGGACCACAGCUCAUUAAAAAGAGUCUGUUUUUCAAGAAUUCCUAAAUUUACAUGUGCAGCAGAAUGGUUGACGUUAGGAUCAAUAAAAGUGGAAUCCCUUAAGAUCGAAGAUUGUGAGGAAUUGUGCUCUUUGCAAGAGAACAGUUGGGGAUUGCUAACUCAGUCGAUGUCACUUGGUGAAUUGAGUAUUGGAAAGUGGUCGCAACUUGUCUCCAUAGGGGCAGAGGAGGAAAGAGAAGAAUUGAUGCAAUUGAAGAUCCCUUGCACCAUUCAAAAAUUGACAAUAAGGGAUUGUGAAAGGUUAGAAAAGCUAUCAACAACCUUGCACUACAUCUCAUCACUUAGGGUGCUACAGCUUUGGUCUUGCCCAAAUCUGCUUUCUCUUUCAAACUACAAUUUGCCUUCGAAUCUUAAAAGCCUGGUGAUUGUUGGUUGUACAAAUAUACGGUGUUUGUUGGAAGAGGGAGAGAAUGUUAACCUCAGCAGUGCAUGUCUUCUUGAACUGUUGUAUAUUGACAAUUGUCCAUCUCUGGUAUCUUUAUCAUCAAGAGGGGAGUUACCCACGAGGCUUAAACUACUGGAAAUAUACAAUUGUGAAAAGCUAGAGUUCAUAGCUGAAGAAAUUCAAGAUAACUCUUCUCUUGAAGUAUUAGGAUCCUUGGGUGUAGAAAUAUUAAGUAUUUACCUCAAGGCCUGAACAAGCUCAGCCAUCUCCAGUCCAUAGACUUAUAUUGUUCAAAUUUGGAUUCCUUUCCGGGAAGUGGUUUGUCCACCUCAAACCUCAAAGUCCUCCGCCUCAGUUACUGUGAAAAACUCCAAGCUCUGCCCGACGGUAUACACAACCUCAGCUGUCUAGAACAACUAGAAAUAGAAAAUUGCCUCAAGUCUGACAUCCUUCCCAGAAGAGGGCAUUCCUACUAAUCUCAAAAGACUUACCAUCAAAGGACCCAAUAUUUGUAAGCCACUAAUUGAUUGGGGAUUGCAUAGACUCACUUCUCUUAAAUCUCUCUGGAUAGAAAAUGGAUGUCCCGAUGCAGUGUUGUUUCCACAAGAAGAGAGAGGAAUGACGCUGCCCUGCUCUCUCACCUCUCUCGUCAUCAGCAAUUUCCCAAAACUAGAAACCCUAUCCUCCAUGUGCUUUCAGGACCUCACCUCUCUGGAGUUCUUGUCCAUCGAUUCUUGCCCAAACCUCAAGUCUCUUCCGGAAAAGAAGAUGCUUUCUUCGCUUUUGCGGCUACAUAUUAGGAGAUGUCCAGUGCUAAAAGAACGGUGUGGAAAGGAUAAAGGACCAGAGUGGUCCAAGAUAGCCCAUAUACCUUGUGUGCAACUUAAUGAUCAGAGCCGUUUCCGUUUCAGAGGAUAAUGGUUUAGACAAUAAUUCUUCAGAGCAGCAAGUUGAAAACAAAAGAGUCAAUGGAUCAAAGUCUCAGGCAUGUCAAUUUCAAAUUGAUCUUUUUACUAUUAUAGUGUUCCUUACAUCUUCAAAUGUAUACACUAAGGAGAAAGGAAAACACUUUCAAUUUAUUUUAUUAAUCUUCAGACAUUUAAUUUUUUUGUAGAUUCAUGAUCCACUGAUUUUUUUUCCAUUAAUUAAAAAAAAAGAGAUUUUCGGUUAUUUUUGCAGCAUAAGAUACUAACCACGACCUUAUCUACAGAAUGCUUGUUAUCUGAUGAGAGUAGAGAUUGAAGUUGUAGAAAAGAAUUUCACAUAGGUAUAUGUGGUGUUGGGAUUUGCCUUGAAUCUUAUAAUCUUACAUAAAAAAUUAGUGAGUUUUUGAAUUUGUCUUGUAUUUAACAUUGAGAGUUUAGUAAAUGUAUAAAGGGUUUCACCCUUAUAAAUAAAAUGUUUUAGUUUUAGUUUGAUAGUCCUAUAUAAUUAGAUACCAAGGGAAUAGCUAGGUGAGUAGGCUAUUAAAAGAGUGUGAUUGAAUUUUGGGUUAAAUUUUGAAUAAAGAGUUUUUAGAGACUUUUUUCAUUUUAAAAAUUUCUCAUAGUUGUAAAGAUUUAUUUGUUGGUGGAUUGUAUUUGGAGUAGCCAUUUUGAGUUGGGCUGAACCAAAUAUAUUUGUGUGUUUUUAUUCUUGAUUUGAGUUUGCUAUUUUGUUGUAAAGAUUUAUUUAUUAGUGGAUUGUGUUUGGAGUAGGCCAUUUUGAGUUGGGCCAAACCAAAUAUAUUUGUGUGUUCUUAUUCUUGAUUUGAGCUUGCUAUUUUGUGUGGGUGUUAAUAUUCCUAACAAGUGGUAUCAGAGUGAGGUUCAAGGUUUAAGGUUUGGGGCCUAAGAGAUCAUAAAACAGUGUUUGAAAAUGUCUAAAGUAGGUAUCUCUAGUAUGCCUAUACCUAAGUUUGAGAUUUCGUUAUUUAAUGGAAAGAGUAAUUUUAUGUUAUGACAAAGUAUACAACAAGGAUUGGAUUAGGCAUUAGAGAGUAAUAAGCCUGAGGGAAUGUCUGAGCCUAAUUGGAAUAGGAUUAAGAAGAAAGCUGUUAGUACUAUUAGAUUAGUGCUAGCUCCAGAGGUAAAGAAUAGUCAGUUGACUGAGAGUACUACAAAAAGUUUGUGGGAUAAGCUUGAAGGUAUUUAUGCUUCGAAGUCGUUGACUAACAGAUUAUGUUUGAAGAUGGAUUUGUAUUAAGAAGGUAUGAGUCUUCAUAAUCACCUGAAUGAGUUUAAUAGAUUCGUUUCUCAAUUGCUAGCAAUUUCUAUUGAUGAGUUAAAAGAUGAAAAGAAAGCUUUAAUUUUGCUGUCAUCUUUGACCAAGUUUUAUAGGCCUCUAGUUCAGACUAUGUUGGUUGGUAGGUCUACUUUGAAGUUGGAUGAUGUGACUGCCCUAUUGCAUGAGAAUGAAAGGUUUAUGGGAGCUCAGAACGGAGUACACUAGCUGUACAGGGUUUUGAUCGAGAAAGGACUCAAAAGAAGAUUGAUGGAUCAAGAGGAAGAUUUAAGUCAAGAGAUAGAAAUUACAGUGACAUAGAAUGUUAUUAUUAUGGUGAAAAGGGACAUAUCCAAGUGCGCUGCAGGAAGCUGAGAAGGGAUAUUGCUGCUUUCAAAAAGGCGAAUGAUGCGAAGAAAUCAAAUGAAAAGAAGAGUGAUACUGCUGUUGUCAUGUCUGAUGAUGAUGAUGAUGUUGUUUUGAUGACUUAUGUAGAUGAGGCUCUGACUUUGAAAGGUGAUAAAGGUUGGGUUUUUGAUUCAGUUGCUACAGUUCAUGUCUGCAAUGAUAGGAACUGUCUGCAAUGAUAGGAGUUACUUUGUGGAGUUGGAUGUGAAUGAGAAGUAUGGAGAUAUUGUGGUUGCUAACAAAGAAAAGGUGCAGAUUCAAGGCAUUAGGAGUGUUCGCCUUAGAUCUCACAAUGGUGUUGUUAGGAUGCUUCAUCAUGUAAGGUAUGUACCAAGUUAUCACUACAAUUUGAUUGCUUUUGGUGAGUUAGCUUCUCGGGGAUACACAUAUUAUGGUAGUAAUGAUUGGUUGAAAGUGUACAAGAAUGAUAGUGUGAUUCUACAAGGGAAUAGGGUCAAAAAUCAUUUGUACAUGUUUGAUGGAGGCUUCGUUGCUGGGAUCCUUGUGAUGAAAGAAAAGAAGAAAUGUAAGCGUGUUAGCUUUGCAGAUACUGUUGAAGUGUUUGGAGAUUCAAGUUAAGGCAGAAUUUGUUGGGAUUUACCUUGAAUCUCAUAAUCCCACAUUGAAAGUUAGUGAGUUUUUGAGUUUGUCUUGUAUCCCACAUUGGGAGUUUAGUAAAGGUAUAAAGGGUUUCACCCUUAUAAAUAAAAUGUUUUGGUUUUAGUUUGAUAGUCCCAGAUAGUUAGACACCAAGAGAAUAGCUAAGUGAGUAAGCUAUUAAAAUGGUGUAAUUGGAUUUUGGGUUAAGUUUUGAGUAAAGAGUUUUUGGAGACUUUUCUUAUUUUAAAAGUCUCACAUAGUUGUAAAUAUUUAUUUGUUAGUAGAUUAUUUUCAGUUAUAAAGAUUUAUUUGUUAGUGGAUUGUGUUUGGAGUAGGCCAUUUUGAGUUGAGUCGAACCAAAUGUAUUUAUGUGUUCUUAUUCUUGAUUUAAGCUUGCUAUUUUGUGUGGGUUCUUUGUAUGAGUGUUGAUUUUCCUAACGCUUGGUGCUAGUUGUUGUAUGGAGCAGAGUUUUAUGAAUUUUCCUGCCAAUUUUGAUAGCACAAGUAUAGGUCUUUCUGUGUUCAAUCUAAAUAUUUACUAUAUUGGAGCAUUAGCAAACUUGAACUGAUUUUCUUUAAUCAAGAGUUCCGGACUAGCAUAAUCUUUCAUUUUAUUCAAAAGAGUCAAAAAAUCCAGUUAUAUUUUUUUAAAACAAUUAUUUUUCGUGUUCACAAUAUUUUCAGGAUAAUUUUACAUGUUUUAGUUUCUUCUAUAGCUAAUUGGACAUGUAAUUAUUAGGAGUUAUGAUCUAUCAUUGCAACAUUUUAAGAAGCCCUCAUUAUUUGUUCUUGCAGAGUUCAUGUGCUCAAUUGUGAAAUAACAGCCUAUCACCUGUGAAUACAUGGAUAAAAGAUUCAUCUAUUAUUUAUAGGUGGAAAAACAAGAACCAUUUCAUCUCACGGAGAAGAAAAUGGCAUAAGUAAAGAGUAUACCUUCUUCCAUAUUUGCAAUGAAACCUAAGUAUGGAAGUUAAAAAUUCCUUUUUAUUCUUUUCUUUUACACUACUUUUAAUAACCUUCAUUAUUUAUAUAUUUAUAAUUGAACAUUGCCAACAGAAUGGUGCAAAGGAAGGUGAUAAAGAACAAGAGUGGUUCAACGUUGUCCACGUGCUCUUUUCCAAAUUGAUGAUGGUUUCACAUGUUAUCAAGAGGAAUUUGACUAAAAUCAAUUAGAGGAUGUCCCGGGUAUGACAAUUUGGAAAUGCAUCAGAAUAGAUGUAACACUUAAAACUUUAGGAGGAUUUUGUUUCACAAUUAUAUAUGAUAUUGCAUAUAAAAAUCGAUUUUGAGAAAUUUGCAUUGCUAUUGAACAAUUCUUGCAUAUGUUACAUGUGACAUAGAAACGUUCAGUUUAUUUAGAUAUAUAUUUCAAAGAUGAAAUUGAUUGUACAUUCAUCUAUGAUCCAGAGAAGUCAAAUUGAAAGCUGUUUAAUCUCUGAAAAGUAAAGGGAAGAAUGAGGGAUUACAAAUUUACAUUAUCCUUUGCAUAUACUCAAGGCUAGGUAUUUCAAUUUGGAAAAGCUUUUCCACUUUCAUUCUAAUGGAUUUCCAAUUUCCAAAAAGACAUUGCUAUUCGUCUUACUUCCAUUUUGAAACUUAUAGAUAUUACAGUUGUUCAUUUUUCAGGUAUGCGAGGAGUCUGGACCGCCUGUCACAUGGAUCUUUGUCUGGUGUCUGUCUUUCCUGUCAGUUUGAUUUUCAUCCCUUUUUAGCAUGAAAUGAUAUUAAUUAAGACCGGCAUCCCAACUUCGAGUUAGGAAAGAGGGAACCGAUAAUUUUUAGUUUACAGGCAUUCAUGGAAGUUGCAGAAUGUGCGAGACAAUGUAAAUGGUAAGAAGCUGGUUUUAUUUAAUGUUCAGGUAUUUACGUAUUUACAGCUUCUUUUUUGUACUUCAAUUUCUGUAAUUUCAGUCCAAUUGGAGCUCAAUGAAGGUCUAGAAGCUAGUCCCAUGCUGAAACAAGGUGUGAAAAUGGAUGAUGGGAGGAAGAGAUAGUAAGUACCAACAGAAAUAAUACUUUUUCUGGUACAAUGGUAAAAUUAAAAUAUUUGCUAAUUCUGAAACCUUUGAUGAGGUCUUUUAUUCCUAGAUACUUUCUAUUUGCAUGUUAAAUUACAAAACUUUAUUAUUAAUUGCUUUAAUUGAUAGAUAUUUUAAAAACUCUUCUAUGUUUUCAUAUCAUUUGAUUAUUUCUCAAAGAAAGAGUAUUUGUUCUUGUUGCAUGUUGUUUAACCUAUAGAUUGCAAUAUAUAAGAAAUUGACAUGAAACUUUUAAUUUUUGUCAUUUUUUCUUAUAAGAUUGUCAUAAAACUUGUACCAGGGAACUUAAAGAAGAUAAAAAAUGGUAAGUGGCAGUGCAGCACAACUGUUUCUUACCAGACCAGGCAGUGCAACACGUAUGUUGUUUCUUACCAGAACAACUGUACAGAUGCAUUGAGCUUAUGCUUUAAGGAGAAGCUUCCCUGCCUGUGCCUCAAUGUCUGAGAAAUGUAGAUACUGUACCAGCCGUGACAUUGAACCUAGGCAUCAGUAAGUGACACCAUUGACGCAAUGAUUAAAAGAAGCACCCAAGCUUUUGCUCUUCUUUUCCACUAAACCAUCUUACCUGGUUGAGUUUUUCUUUGUAGUCAAUCCAUGCCAUUCUUUAAAGCUGUCAAUAAAAGUGGGUACAUUUUUGUUUGGAGACAUGAUAUAUCCAGGUUACAAGCAUGUUAAACCACUUCAAAGGUAGCUGGUAACCAAGUGCUUAUGUCACGGGUCGAGACUCAAGCUCCGAACCCGCGCGGCUUCGGGACCCGGGCAUUCACCCUUCCGGCGUCCCAGAUCAGCCUUCAUGCCACGGUUCACACCCUUGUGAGGUAUUGUCCGCUCUGGCCCCUCCUGACCUCACGGUUUUGUCCUACAAAAGGCACCUCACAAGACGGAGAUGGUGUGAACCCUUUUAUACCCUAGUAAUCUUCCUAUUAUAUUCGAUGUGGGAUUCAGGACUUAUCCUUAGGUCCGUGACAUUCUUCUGCACCCAAUCUCGUGAUGCCCUUAUCACGGAAGCUAGCCACCCUGCCUACCUCCCUCGAGGUGCUUGGCGUGGAUCGAAUGGUUUAGGGCUGGCUCUGAUACCACUUGUCACGGUCGAGACUCAAGCUCCGAACCCGCGCGACUCCGAGACCCGGGCAUUCACCCUUCCGGCGUCCCAGAUCAGCCUUUAUGCCACGGUUCACACUCUUGUGAGGUAUUGUCCGCUUUGGCCCCCCUAACCUUACGGUUUUGUCCUACAAAAGACGGCUCACAAGACGGAGAUGGUGUGAACCCUUUUAUACCCUAGUGACCUUCCUAUUAUGUUCGAUGUGAGAUUCAAGACUUAUCCUUAAGUCCGUGACACUUAUAUCUUGCUAUAUGAUUUUUGGUAGCAUGAAGAUGCCGAUAAUUUUGAUUUGCAUCUGAAAUUCAAACCUUGAAGAAAGUAUCUGAAGUAAUCUUGAUGUUUUGAAAUUGAUUUUGUGGGCAGUGUGCAAGGUUUACAAAUUACGAUCUGUGGAAGGCUAACUCAAGUUAGAGAUCAGGUAUAGUUCCAAUCUAAACAAUAUUUUGUUCCAUCUGAUUUGAACACGAGUAUAUACAAGUUCCAAACCAUUAAUCCUGCUUCUUGAAAUACUGGAAUAUUGAAUGCUCCUUUCACCUAAAAGGACGAGGUAAAUUUCUCUUGGAUCUCUCUGUGGAUUUGGCUUUCUGGCCUAUAAAAGGUUAGUUCUUUCUCCAAGACUUUUAAAUGUUAUCUAUAUUUACAUAAUUGAAAGAAAAAUGGAGCAUACUGAGCUUUGAUCGACUUAAAUACAUCUUAUCUUUUAAAUACAUGGAGGUUUAACUUGACUAUUGAUGUUGGUUGCAGUUCAAGUUGCAGAGGCCUUCGUUCUACAAAAGCAAAUGAAGGAAGUUUAGAAAUGCGGUGUUCAAUUUAUGUUAAAGUAGCACAAAGGACANNNNNNNNNNNNNNNNNNNNNNNNNNNNNNNNNNNNNNNNNNNNNNNNNNNNNNNNNNNNNNNNNNNNNNNNNNNNNNNNNNNNNNNNNNNNNNNNNNNNNNNNNNNNNNNNNNNNNNNNNNNNNNNNNNNNNNNNNNNNNNNNNNNNNNNNNNNNNNNNNNNNNNNNNNNNNNNNNNNNNNNNNNNNNNNNNNNNNNNNNNNNNNNNNNNNNNNNNNNNNNNNNNNNNNNNNNNNNNNNNNNNNNNNNNNNNNNNNNNNNNNNNNNNNNNNNNNNNNNNNNNNNNNNNNNNNNNNNNNNNNNNNNNNNNNNNNNNNNNNNNNNNNNNNNNNNNNNNNNNNNNNNNNNNNNNNNNNNNNNNNNNNNNNNNNNNNNNNNNNNNNNNNNNNNNNNNNNNNNNNNNNNNNNNNNNNNNNNNNNNNNNNNNNNNNNNNNNNNNNNNNNNNNNNNNNNNNNNNNNNNNNNNNNNNNNNNNNNNNNNNNNNNNNNNNNNNNNNNNNNNNNNNNNNNNNNNNNNNNNNNNNNNNNNNNNNNNNNNNNNNNNNNNNNNNNNNNNNNNNNNNNNNNNNNNNNNNNNNNNNNNNNNNNNNNNNNNNNNNNNNNNNNNNNNNNNNNNNNNNNNNNNNNNNNNNNNNNNNNNNNNNNNNNNNNNNNNNNNNNNNNNNNNNNNNNNNNNNNNNNNNNNNNNNNNNNNNNNNNNNNNNNNNNNNNNNNNNNNNNNNNNNNNNNNNNNNNNNNNNNNNNNNNNNNNNNNNNNNNNNNNNNNNNNNNNNNNNNNNNNNNNNNNNNNNNNNNNNNNNNNNNNNNNNNNNNNNNNNNNNNNNNNNNNNNNNNNNNNNNNNNNNNNNNNNNNNNNNNNNNNNNNNNNNNNNNNNNNNNNNNNNNNNNNNNNNNNNNNNNNNNNNNNNNNNNNNNNNNNNNNNNNNNNNNNNNNNNNNNNNNNNNNNNNNNNNNNNNNNNNNNNNNNNNNNNNNNNNNNNNNNNNNNNNNNNNNNNNNNNUACAGGCUACAGCGGAAAAGGUUAAAUUUGAGGGGGAGUAUUUCGCUAGCCACUGCGGAGGCAUUAGACCUCACGAAAGCAAUAGGUUACUUUACUCCCUCCUAGAGGGACGGAGCUCGGUAUAGAGCUAUGUUAUGCACAUGCACCAUGAACGACAUAAUUAACAAGGUAAAUAAACAGGAAUGAAUAAUAACACAUAUAUACAAAAAUGGUUCAAUUUUAUUAGGCUUUGGAUAACACCAAAUUAUUUGCUAGCCUGACUCUCAAAGUCCCCAGUGGAGUCGCCAAGCUGUCGUAACGUCUAGAUUCGGGGAUCUAUCGCUAGACAUUGACUUAAGGGAGUCGCACCAAUCUUUUUAUCUAGGUGUGAUUGGCCACCUAAGGAAUCUGUCCUUUCAGGGAACACCUAAGCUUAAGGGUCCCUAAAGGAAUAGGUUCAGGUCUACUAACCAGAACAGGGUUCGGGAGUUCGGUUACGUGUGAGGAAGGUUAUAGCACCCUCACAACGCCCAUCAAAAGAUGGUUACCAGCUAAAUUUGUGUUAUCCAAAGCUUUAAAAUUUUAUCAAGUAAUUAGUUAUUGGAAAUUAUUCUCAAUUGACUCUAAUACUUUUAGCAGAAAAAUUGAGGAAAAUUCCCUCACCUCAGGAGUAUGCCAAGAAAACUACUGUUUCACUUACAGAGGCUCCGUCGUCGGAUUAUUUAAAGAAAAAAAACAAAAUUCAAAAUUUAGAUUAGAAAGGAAGGAUUUUUUUUUGUUAAGGGAAAAUUGAUACUUUCAACUUUCCCCAAAAAUAUUUUCUUGAAAUUUUAAUUUCGAGGAAAAUUGAUACUUUCAACUUUUCCUCAAAAAUUUAUUUUUUUUUUUUUGAAAAUUUAUUUCUAAGGAAAUUGAUACUUUCAACUUUUCCCCAAAAAUAUUUUUUUUGAAAAUUUAUUUCCAAGGAAAAUUGAUACUUUCAACUUUUCCCUAAAAAUAUUUUUUGGAAAUUUGGAUUUCAAGGAAAAUUGAUACUUUCAACUUUUCCUCAAAAACCCUUUUUUGAAAUUUAUUUUUAAGGAAAAUUGAUACUUUCGACUUUUCCCCAAAAAUAUUUUUUGGAAAUUUUGAUUUUCAAGGAAAAUUGAUACUUUCAACUUUUCCCUAAAAAUAUUUUUUUUUGAAAUUUUGUUUUUAAGGAAAAUUGAUACUUUCAACUUUUCCCCAAAAAUAUUUUUUUGGAAUUUAUUUUAAGGAAAAUUGAUACUCUCAACUUUCCCCUAAAAAUAUUUUUUUUGAAAAUUUUAAUUUUCAAGAAAAUUGAUACUUUCAACUUUUCCCCAAAAAUAUUUUUUUGGAAAUUUAUUUCUAAGGAAAAUUGAUACUUUCAACUUUUCCCUAAAAAUAUUUUUUUUUGAAAAUUUUAUUUUUAUUUAAAGAAAAUAAAUAAAAAGAAUAUUACAUAAACCUAAUCUAAUAAAUAAAAAAAAUAAAUAAACAAAUAAACAAAGAAAAAAAUUCAAAGAAAAAAAAAAAAAAAAAAACCCUGGAGCAGCUCGGAUCGCGGCUCGGCUCAAGGAAGAGAAAACGGCUCGGGGAAGCGGCUUGGUGGCUUGGCUCGGCUCGGCUCGGCUCGGAGGGCUGCACGCGCGGGUCAGAAAGCGGGUCGACGCCCGGGUCGGGUCGGGUUUUCGGCAAAACGCGCGGAUCCUCUGAUUAACUUAAGCCAAAACGACACUCGUUUUGGGAGGGUUAUAAAAGGCACUACCCUCUGUUUUUCGGCAGACCGCCCCUCCUCUCUCUCUCUCUUCUUCCUUCUUUCCUCUGCCUUCUCUCUAAAGACUGAAGAACACCGGUGGGAUUUCGCCGGAUUCUGGAAAUUCUCGCCGGAAUCUGGAAAAUUUCGCCGGAAGUUCGCCGGAAGUUGCCGAAAGAUCGCCGGUUUCUGGGAUUCUUCGCCGGAAACUGGGAUUGUUGCCGAAAACUUCAAGUUUGGCCGGAACUAUCGCCGGAAAAUUCAAACUUCGCCGGAAUUUUUGCCGGAAUCUGGAAAUUUCCCAGAAAUUUCCAGAAAAUUUUUUCGCCAAAAAUUUCUAGAAAUUUUUUCUCACUCCCAGACCACUCCUAAACUUUUCCUAGCUUCCUAUACGCCUCCUUUUCUCUCAAAUCAGUAGCUUUGCUUACUGUUUUCUGUGUGUUCUUGAACUGUUCCAGGAGGUGCUUUAUAUAGGGAUUGAUCAGGAGUUUCUGAUCAAUCCCAAUUCCUCCUUGGACGGGGAAUUCAGUUUUUGAAUCCAAUUGGACUCUCUUGAUUGAAAUUCCCAUUCCCGGUAGGAUUCUUCAGCUUCAAUCUUAGCCCUCCAAAAUCAAAAAAAAAAAAAUAUCUGAUAAUCAGGAAAAAUCAGAACAGAUAAUUAAAAAUAAUAAUAAUAAUAAUAAUAAUAAUAAAAUAAGAUAAACCCAAGUAUAUAUUACAAAAAAAUAAUAAUAAUAAUAUAUAACUGUAUAAAUAAAUACAUAUAAAUCUAAUCUGAAUAAAAAUAAAUAAAUAAAUAAAGAUAUACAUAAUAAUAAUAAUAAUAAUAAUAAUAGAAUACAUAAAAUACAAAAGAAGAAAAAAAAAAUAUACAGGAUUGAAAUGGGCCUUACCCAUUUUGGGUCAGGCCCAAUUGAUUUGGGCCCGGACCUAAUUGGGUGUCUACAGUAUAUAUUUAUUUAAUUUAGUUUUGAUACUUGCAUUAGUAUGAAAAGCUAUGAUUUUAACUCAUUUUUACGUGUUAAACUAUGAAUAGCAAAUUAAUAGCAUUUAUUCAUUGCUUUUCAAGUCCUCUACACUUAAAUUUUUUCUUACUUUCUCUAUCUUACAAAUUAUAUCAUUUAACAUAUAUUGUAGUUGUUUUUUUUCUGAACACAUGCAAAUCAAUAAUAAAAUAAUAAUAGAUAAUUGAUAAUGUAGUAAUUAAUCAUUAAAAACUUAAAAAGUACUAAGUAUAACUUAGUAGUAAAUGAAUGAUAACUUAGUAGUCAAUAAUUGAUAACUUAAUAGCAAAUCAAUAAUAACAUAAUAAUAAAUACAUAAUAACUUAUAGUAAAUCAAUUAUAAUAUGGUUAUAAAUGCAUAACAAUAAAGUAAUAAAUCAAAGAUAUCUUAAUUAAAAAAUAAGUUAUAAUUUAGUAGUUAAUCAUUGAUAACUUAGUAAUCAAUUAUUAAUAACUUAAUAGCAAUAAUAAUUUAAUAAUAAAUCAAUUUUAGUUAAAUAGUAAUUAAUUGUUAAGAGUAAAUCAUAAAUAAUUUAGUAGUAAAUCAUCGAUAAUUUAAUAGUUAAUCAGCAAUAACUUAAUAAUAAAUUAUGGAUAAUUUAAUAUAAAUCAGUAAUAAUUUGAUAAUGAAUUAUGGCUAAUUUAGUAGUAAAUUGUUAAUAGUUUUAUAGUAAAUAAUUGAAAAUUAAAUAAUGAAUAAAUGAUAACAUAAUAGUAAAAACAUGAUAAUAUAAAGGAAAACUAUUGAUAAUUUAGUAGUAAAUUAUUGAUAACUUAAUUAUUGAUAAUAUAGUAGUAAAUUACUAAUAACUUAGUUGUAAAUUGAUGAUAAUUUAGUAAUAAAUUAAUUAAUCAUCGAUAACUUUGUAGUAAAUCAUUGAUAAAUAACCAAUAAAUUAGUUAUAAAUUUAUAAUAAAUAAUUAAUAACUUCAAAGUAAGUCAUCAACAAUUUAAACUAAAAUCAUCCAUAACUCAAUAGUAACUCAUUUUAAUGUUAAAUCAUUUAUAAAUUAGUAGUAAAUCAUAUAUAAUUUAGUAGUAAAUCAUUGAUAACUUAAUAAUAAAUUAUUGACAAUAUAAUAGUAAAUCAAUGAUAAUUUAAUUAUCUAUCAUUAAUAAUUUGUUUGUACUUGAAGUUACUAUGGAUAAACCUUGAUUACUAACAUAAAUGAAGUCAGAACUUUCAUCUUUGGAGCUAACAUAAACUUACCAUUAAAUUAUUAAAAAAAAUUAGUAAAAAAAUAUAAAUUUAAAUGAAGUAAUAAUGUUAUUAUAUAAAAAGAAAAUGAUCUCAUAUAUUGUUGAAUUUUUAAACUCCGCAUUUCCUAUAUAGUUGUAAAUGCAUAACAGUAUAUCAGUAAAUCAAAGACAGUUUAAUAAAAAAAUAAGUGAUAAUUUAAUAGUUAAUUAUUGAUAACAUAGUAAUAAAUCGAUGAUAACUUAAUAAUAAGUUAUUGAUAACUUAAUAGUAAAUUAAUUUUAGUUUAAUAGCAAUUAAUUGAUAAACUUAGUCAUAAAUUAUAAACAACUUAAUAAUAAAUAAAUGACAAUUUAGUAGUUAAUCAUUGAAACUUAAAAGUAAAUUAAUAUAAGUUAAUUGUAAAUAAUCGAUAACUUAAUAGUUAAUUAGUGAUAACUUAAUAAUAAAUCAUAAAAAAUUUAAUAUAAUUAGGUGAUAAUUGGUAGUAAAUCAUAGAUAAUUUAGUAAUACAUUUUUGAUAAUUUUGUAGAAAUAAUUAAAAAUUUACGUAAUAAAUCAAUAAUAACAUAAUAGUAAAUACAUAAUAAUAUAAUAGUAAAUCAUUUAUAAUUUAGUAAUAAAUUAUUAAUAAUGUAGUAGUAAAUAACUAAAAAUAUAGUAGUAACUCACUAAUAAUUUAGUUGUAAAUAACUGAUAAUUUAACUAUAAAUUAAUGAUAAUUUAGUAAUAAAUUAGGUAAUCAUUAAUAACUUUAUAAUAAAUUAAUAAUAAAUUAAUUAUAAUUUAUAAUAAAUCAUCAGUAAUUUAAUAAUAAAUCAUCACUAAUUUAGUAGUAAAUCAUUUAUAAAUUACUAUUAAAUCAUUGAUAAUUUAAAAGUAAAUUAUUAAUUGAUAGCAUAAUAAUUAAAUAAAACGAUUGAUUAGUUUUUAGUAUGAUUGACAUGUUAUUUAAAAUUAAUAUUUAAAAGUUUUAGGUUUAAAAAUAUUUUUUUCAGUUAGAUAAGUUGUAAAAUAAAAGAAUUUUAAAAUGAAUUAAAUUUUCAAAAAAAAAAUUACUCUUUCUUACUUAAUUUUAGUAUCAUUUAAUUUAAAUGUAACCAUAAUAUAGAAUUUAAUAAAGGGUAUCUUAAAAAAAAAUAAAAGACAAAGGAAUCUUUGUUGCAAUUAUUACCUAAGUGGGACCAAUAGUGGGGAGGAGCAUAAGUCUUGCUUCAACAGCUAACAACAAAAUACUGAUUCACAAAGGACAUAUAUUUUUAGAAAAGAACCACGAACAGUCAAUCUAUACACCAAUAUUAUUGCAUAAAAAAUUUACCACUAACUCUCUCAGAAAGGGAAAGUAAUGUUUAAAGAAAGUGAAAUUUGAUUAUUUGAUAGCAAUUUUUUUAUUUAUUAAAUAUUAAAAUUAAUACAAAUAAUAUAAUUUAAAUAUAAAAAACUAAUUAGUCCCAAAAAAGUAGUGUCCAUAUCCGUUUUGUUCUUUAAAGUCCAUUUUAUAAGGUUCUCUUGAAAGAGGUCAGCUCUUUUAUUAAUAAAGAGAUGAAUUAAUAAGGUUUCGUAACCGAUAAGUCGAAUUUAAUUUAAUUUUUUAAAUAAUAUAUAAUUAAAAUUUUUAAAAAUUUAAUUCAAAAUUUAAAUUGAAUUUUAAUAAUUUGAUUUAAUUUGGUUUAUUAUUUUUUAAAAUUUAAAUUUAAAUUUUUUAUUUAUUAUUUUAAUAUAAUUUUUAAUAUAUCUUAAUAAAUGUAAAUAAAAUAAUUAUUUUAUUUUAUAAAAAUUAAUAAAAAUAUAUAUUUUUAAUUUUACUUUCCAAUUAAAAAUUUAAUCUAAAUUUAAUAUAUAUUUAAUAUUUAAAUUAAAUAAAAAAUUAAUCAAAACCAAAUUAAACACUAUAAUUUCAAAUCUGGAUUACUUAUUUUUCAAUCCUACUUAUCACAUCUGCUUUUGUUAGUGCUGCAUUCGUCCAGAAAGGCUCGUGACAUAUCAUUAAGAUGCCAAAGGUACCUGUAGGUCAGUUGUAAAAACAAAAGAUUCCCAAAAUCUUUUGACAUAUCAUCAUUUCAUUAAAAAGACUGAUAAAGAAAAAACCUAAAUCGUUGUAUGUGGCACUGGAUGUUUUUGAAGAAAAUAUUGGAUGAAAUCAUGCCCAAGGAAGAAAAUUCAUACUCAGUCCAAUAAUUGAAGGUCUAUAUCCAUCCAGAAUUUUCAUGAAAAAAUUUUAUGAUGAUGCAUGUGUUUUACUGGAGUUAUGUACAUUUCUGUGUGCAUUUCUUUAUGUUUGGAAGGGUAAUUAUUAUAUUUAAAUAUUAGUGAAAAGUAUGGUGAUAGAAUUAAUUUUGAUGAGAUUAAAAAUAAUAUUAAAAAUUAUUAUAAUUGUGAUAAAAAAAUUUAAUAAAAGUUUUAUGUAAAAUAAAUUUUAUUAAAAUUAAAAUUUAUAUUUAAUUGAAAAUGUGAAAAUUUUAAUUACUUAUAAAAUUCAAAAUCUAGCUUAGAUAAUUUGAUUGCAAAUGUUACUAUUAGCAGUCCAGAGUUUUCCUUUUCUUAUUCAUUUUGUGGCCGCAUGAUUUCCACAUCCUAUAUAUAUAUAUAUAUAUAUAUAUAUAUAUAUAUAUAUUUAGUUUAAGAUCUUUCAAUUAUUUUAAGUUUCGAUUAAUCUAAAAUCGAAUCAAAUCUAAUUUCAUAAAGAGACAAAUUCUCUUAAGCUUGUUUUUAUUUUUUUUACAAAAUUUAAAAUCAAAACCUUAUUUAAAAAAAAAACUAAACUCUUUACCGUUAAAACCAACAAACAUUAGUAUCACAUCCUAUUGUUUAACGAUUGAAAUUUGAAAGUUUAAUUAUUAAUUAGAAUUAUUUUGAAAAAAAUUCCAAGAAUAUGUGGUUUUGUGUGGAUGCUAAAAUUCAUGAUUUGAUUGUAUUUUUACUGUUAUUUUUAAUAUUAUCGAAAUUAAUUUUAUUAUCCUAAUAAAUGAACCCUUAAUCAAAAGCAUAAAAAAAAAAGUUAUUGAAACUAAGCUUCAAUUGAUAGCCCAACACAAGCAACAAGUUUGGUUUUUUUUUUUUUUUUUGACUGUUUGAUAAUUUAAAAAAAAUACUAAAAAUGUCUAAACGUGAAAUAAUGUAAUCAAAACAGUAAUUAAAUUAAUUUGUUUUAGAAAAACUAAAUUCUCAUUAAUAAAUCUUUUAGAAAAACACAAAUUUCUUUCCAAUGUAAAUUAAUGCGCUAAAAGUACUUUAUAAUAAAAAAUAAAGAGAAAUAAAUAAACAAAUAAAGAAUAUGAAUAUUUAAAUUGAACAUCAACAUUAUCAGAGUUUUAAUAAUUGAAUAUGUGUCAACACUAAAAUACUUGGGAUGCUCUUCACCACUCGUAGCCUUUUCCAAAACCAGAUAAAAAUCAAAUUAAUGUACUAAGCCACGCAAUAAGAAUUAAUGUUAAUGAUUGAACUCAAAAAAAAAAAAAAAAAGCACAAACCUCAGCCAUAUAUUGCCUUCAAAACCAUUUUUAUAAGAGAUUUUGUUUAUAAAUAAUAUUAUUUAUUUUAUUCAAAAAUACUAAAAUUUAAUACAUGAAUUUUCGUAAUAUUCGGCUUCCCAUGCCACCUUAGCUCUCUAUAAAUACCAAUGCAAGAAAUCCUCUUGAAGCACCAAAGUGCAGUAAACCAGCACCUUCAUACCUGUUGUACUCAAAAUUUUAUUUCGGUAUCCUUUAAAACAGUUUCCAAAAAUGUCUAUUGAUGAAGUUUCAGCAUCAACUCUUUCUGCUCCAAUCCAAAAUGCUGAACUGCCUGAAAUCAAUCGUCGGUCGGCAGGUUAUCAUCCCAGCAUCUGGGGUGACCAUUUUCUCUCAUAUGCCUCAAACAUUAAUAAGGUAAUUGUAAUAAUUAGUUUAACAUUUGGAUUCUGCUUAAUUACAUAUAAAUAGACUUUGAUAAUUCAUAUAUUAGUACAUGCAAAACACCGAUAAUUUGUAUAUUUAUGUUUUAGAUAAAAAUUAUGUCAAAAUUCGUAUUGAUAUGAAAAAUACAAAAUAUAUUUUUUUUGUUUUUGUUAAAUUAUAUAUUAUUUUUUUCAAAAUUUUAAACUGUCACCUCUGUAUCUUUUUUUUUUCAUGUUAUUGUAUUGUAUUUUGAAUUGAAAGGUCUACGUACAUUUCAAAAAAGUACUUCAUAAGUUCCAACGUGUUUCUUGGGGGGGGUAUUAAUUUGAUUAUUUUCUUAUCUAGGAGGAAGAUUAUGAUAGGGAGGAAGAGCAUCAGAAGCUGAAAAAUGAAUUACAGAAGAUGCUAAUGGCUGAGGUUGAUAAACCUUCGGAAAAGCUUAAGUUGAUUGAUGCAAUCCAACGCCUAGGAGUUUCUUAUCAUUUUGAAAAAGAGAUUGAACAAGUCCUGCAGUUGGUCUACAAUGGUUGUGAUAUUGGGGCCAAUGAUGGGAACCUUUAUACCAUUUCUCUCAAAUUUCGCCUGCUUCGACAAAAUGGCUAUAAAAUGUCAUGUGGUAUUAAACUGAUCUUAGUACCUGCUUUUCUAUAUUUAUGGACAGAACUUGACGAUAUUUGUGAACCAAUUUAAUUUAGGCUUAUUUUCAACUUUGUGUGGGGAUAAAAACAGACAAGAGUUUGGAAAACUUUAUACAAAAAAUGGCUUGAUUCAUUCAAUUUUCAUGUGAUUAGAGAUUUUUAGUUUAUUUAACAUUACGGACUAAAACCAUCUGAUGUUUAUGUAUGGUGAAAGCAGAAGCCUUUAACAAAUUCAAAGACAGUGAAGGAAAGUUGAAGGAAUCCCUUAUCAAUGAUGUUCAAGGAAUGUUAGGCUUGUAUGAGGCCACACAUCUAAGGGUGCAUGGGGAAGACAUCCUGGAUGAAGCUCUUGCUUUCACUACUACUCACCUUGAGACCAUGGCUACCAGCUGCUUGAACUCUUCUCUUGCAGCACAAAUAAGUCAUGCUUUAAAGCAACCUAUCCACAAAGGUUUGCCAAGGCUUGAGGCCAGGCAGUACAUGCCUAUCUAUCAAGAAGACCCUUCUCAUAAUGAAGCUGUAUUAACCUUUGCAAAGUUAGAUUUCAAUAUGCUGCAGAUGAUGCACCAGAAAGAACUUAGUGAAAUCGCAAAGUAAGCUUUCAAGUCCCCCUUACUUGAUGCCUCGCAAUUGCUAGCUAUAGAUAUAUAUAUGACAGCUGAGGAUUAUAGUUUGCCCCAGCUAUCAAUUGGGAUUUUCCUCCAUAUUAGAUUUCGUUUAUAUAAGUGAUGCACUUCAAUUAUGGUAUUCAGGUGGUGGAAAGACUUGGAUUUCUUGAGGAAACUACCUUUUAUCAGAGAUCGAGUGAUAGAGUGCUACUUUUGGAUAUUGGGAGUGUACUUUGAGCCCGAAUAUCGGUUGGCUAGAAGGAUAUUAACCAAAGUGAUUGCCUUGACUUCAGUUAUUGAUGACAUCUAUGAUGUGUAUGGCACUCUUGAAGAACUUGUUCUCUUUACUAAAGCAGUUGAGAGGUCUGAUUUCCUUUUUUUUUUUUUUUUUUGCAAUUCCUCACUCAAGUCUAUCCUUCAAAGUUCAUAGUAAUUGUUUCUUUUCCAUAAGAUGAAUUAAAUUAAAGUUUUGAUCAACAAAUUUUUUAGGUGGGAUAUAUCUGAAAAAGAUCACCUUCCGGAGUACAUGCAAAUUUGUUAUCAGGCAUUGCUAGAUGUUUACAAAGAAAUUGAAGAGAAAAUGACAGAACAAGGAAAAUUAUACCGCCUUGAUUAUGCAAAAGAAGCUGUAAGCUAAUUAGCUGAAUUUAGAUUUCACUGCACAUAAUAACUAUUCCUCUUGAUUCAACUGAUUAUUUUGUUUUUGGUUGCUCAGAUGAAAAAUCAAGUUAGAGCAUACUGUGUUGAAGCUGAAUGGUUCCAUAACCACCAUGUACCGACAAUGGAGGAGUACAUGCCAGUAGCAUUAGUCACCUGUGGCUAUUCAAUGCUUGCAACCACAUCUUUUGUUGGAAUGGGAGAUGUUGCAACUGAAGAAGCUUUCGCAUGGUUGUUUAGUGAACCCAAGAUAGCUACUGGCGCUUCCAUUGUCAACAGACUCAUGGAUGACAUUGUGUCCCACAAGGUACAAACUUCACUAUUUUCAAUUUCUUGAAUGAUCAAUUGCCUUAAAAACCAAAAUUCCGGGGUGGUCUAUACUUAUAUUAGCCAUUGAUUUUGAUGAUUUGGCUGAAGCAGUUUGAGCAAAAGAGAGGACAUGUAGCUUCAGCAAUUGAAUGUUACAUGAAACAGCAUGGUGCUACUGAACAAGAAGCUGUCAAGGAAUUUCGCCAACAAAUUACUGAUGCAUGGAAAGAUAUAAACGAAGAAUGUCUCUAUCCAACCAUUGUCCCCAUGUCACUCCUGACUCGGAUUCUCAAUCUUGCUCGUGCAAUGGAUGUUAUAUACAAGACCGAAGAUGGUUAUGUUCAUGCUGGAGUGAUGCUUAAAGACUUUGUAGCUUCUAUGCUCAUUGAUCCUGUUCCUUUUUGAGCAUUUAGUCGAUCUUUCACAAACUAGCUACUGCGUCAGUCACGCAUAAAACCAAGUUAUCAAUAAUAUAUGCUCAUGCUAAAGAAAUCUCUCUAUCGAAAAAUAAAUUUUCCAAGAUUUUGGAUAUUCUUCAUUAAGAUAAUAUUUUCCAUGUAUAUAUGUUCAUAUCCUAUAUGAGUAAUUGUGUAUGUUCAUUUUUCAAUAAUCAGGUGAACUUUGUAGUUUGGUUUUUAGUUUUGGAAAUGCGUAGUAAUCCAUUAAUUAGUAUUCACAAAAGCAUUGACAUUCAAUUUUUGAUAUUUAAGCCAUCGGGAUUUUGAUUUAGUGUUAAAGAGGAAACGGUGAAAUCUUAAAAUUUCAUAUUUAAAUUGGCCCUGGGUUUAAAGCUCAAAAAAUUGUCAACUGAAUAAUUUUAUUUGUUUCUAGAUAUGCAAGCUUCAUUUAAGGGCUUAAUAGAAACUUUUUAGGCAAGUAAAGAACGAGUGAAUGAAGUUGGUUUUGAUACGAUAAAAUUAAAGCAGUGUUUGGUAUCAUUUUUUUAAAUUACCACAGCAAUGUAAUUAUCAUGGUGAUAAUAUCACCUAGAUAAUUUAACUACUAAUGAUCUUAGAUUAUUAUAUUUGGUAUAAUAUUAUAAAUCAUUAGUAUUUUCAAAUCACUGUAUUUGAUAUUAUAUAAAAAAAUAAAUCAUACAGUACAAAACAUCCAAAAUAACCUUUAAAAAAUAUUUAAUAUUUAGUAAAUCAAUAGUUUAUAAAAUAGUUAAACAUUAUUUUAUAAACAAAACUAAAAAAUAUAAAUCAAUUUUGAUAAAAAUAAGUUCUAAAAAAUUAUUAAAUAAAUCUAUUAUCUAUUUUUAGUCAAUAUAAAUUUAUAACAUAAAACUCUUUUAGAAUAGAUGAUUAAAAAACCAAUAUUUAAAAUUUUUAAUGACCAGCAUUUUAGGGUAAUGUUAAUUAUAUUUUUCAUGAGGAUAAAUUAGUUAGAAAAAUAAUAUUAAAAAUUACUUUCUCAUAGUGAUAAAACUUUCACAUCAUUUAGGUAGAGAAUGAGAUCACUCAUUAGGCAAUAAUCUGAUCACUCUAAUGAUAAAAUUACUAUUAUAUAAAAUUUUUCAAUUGCUACCAAAUAAGUUGAUGCAAGUGUAAAUCACUAUAACUUUUAAAUAAAUCACCUUAUACCAAAUACUCUCUAAAUGAAUUGAAAAACUUGGUUGGAAUAUUAAAAUAGUGGUAUUGAUCAGGUGGCACUACCUGGCUACUGGUUUAUAAAGUUAAAAUCUUCUUCCUUUGUGUUAUAUUUUUCCUCUUUUCCCUUAAUUUCUAGAGGCCAUUUGGUUCAGUAGGUUACAACAUGAUGUUAGCUACUUAGUUCAAAUUUGUUAAUCAGAAUUUAAUUAUUGUGAGAAGUAUUUCAAAAAUAAAAUUUUAAAUUAACGUAUCAAAUGGAUAUGGGUCAGGAAUUAUUCCUAGAGAAAGGAGGAUUGAUCGUCUUAUAAAAAAAGUAGUGGCAAAAUAUAUUGUUCAUACAAGAUUAGCUCCAAAACUUUCCUUGUUGCAAUGUUUAUUUGGAAUUUCUUGUUGAUGUAGUUUGAGCAAAAGAAAAGGCAUGUUGCCAUGGCAGUUGAAUGCUGCAUAAAACAGUUUGGAGCGUCAAAGCAAGAGGCAUACAAUGAGUGACCUUAAUUGCAUUCUCAAUCUUGCACGAGUAAUUGAUCUCCUUUAUAAGGAUGAUGAUGAUGAGUAUACGCAUUUUGGGGAAGCAGCAAAAACUGGCAUUGCUUCUUUGUUGAUUGACCUAAUCCCAACUUAAGAUGUUUAAUGAAAGAUAUGACGUUGAAUAAUAAAAUUGGAGUUACAUCUUAAGGAAAUUAAUAGAGUAACCUAAGUGGUAAUGGUGGAGUUAGAUAUGAGUAAAGAUUUUAAGUUUGAGCAGCCCUCUACACCCGCGGUCCCGCCGAUCUUGGCUUCCCAUCCCAUGUGCAGACCCCUCAACACGAAACUUAAGCACCUUGCUCCUAGGACAAGAUCACUACUAGAUCCCUCUCUUGGAAUUAAACUCAGAAAACCCCUAUCCAAUGUCUAUGGGUAGGGAUGGUGAUAGAUAAUAAAUAAAUAUAUAUUUUUUAUUAUUUGAUUUGAUUAUGUUAAAUUUAGAUAGUUAAAAAUUAAUAAUUAAUGGAUUUAGAUAAUAGUUUUUAGAUAUUCAAUAUAUGAAUUUAUUUAAGUUUGAAUAAUAAUAAAUAUCUGAAUUUGGAUUCAUUAUCUAGUUACAUAUAUAAAAUAUAUAAAAUUUUGAAUCUAAAAAAAUAAAUUUUUUUAUUAUUAAUUAAGAGUAAAUUUAAAUUUAAAUUUAAAUUUUAUUUAUUUUAUAUUUUAAUAAAAAUUUUAAAUAAAUAAAUAUUUGAAUAUAUUCAAAUAUUUAAAUGGAUAAUAUUUAUUUAAAUAAAUUUGAAGUUAGAUAAUAAUAUUAAAUUUAAAUAAAUAUUUAAAUAAAUUUAAAUAUUAUAAAUAUUAAAUAAAUUCAAAACGAAUAUAUCAAAAAUAGCAAAUAUCUCUUUCAUUAUCGUUCCUAUAUCUGUGGAUUUGACCACCACUCAUAUUCACUGAUAGCCAUGCAUCCUUGACUUGCUUUAACCCAAAACAGUGGCCUCAGCUUUGUUAGAAAGAAUACUUCCACUCCAUCCCAUCCCUUUCCUUCGAAAACCGACUUAUUUCUACCCAACGAUAAUGCCAAAAAUGUGGCAGCACACCGAUAGCCACGUUUUUAUAAUCAGGCCAUGAACCGUUUCACACUUGGCACGCAUGGUCUUUCCAUUAUUCGAAGAGCCUACCAGGACCGCACCUUGGGAAGACCCAGAACCAAAAGUCCAUGCUGUAAAAGACAUGCAGCCGUCACUAUUUUUCUCUUUGAUUUUAACAUUGGAUAAUAGAAAAUAUGUAGCUAGGGUAAACUUUUAUUGUAGUUAGAGAUGGCAAACGGAAGAUGUGGUUUAUAUGGGGAUCCUAUUAUUUCCGGUUUGGGUUGAUUAGAUUUAAAGAUUUUGAUUUGAAUUAAUUUGAAUUAUUUUAAAUUUUGUGUAAGAUAUAAUUAUUUUAGUAUAUUUUUUAAUUUCAAAUCAAAUUUAGAGUUCAAAUUCUUUAAGAUCAAAUUAUUUAGAUUGAAAAUUAAAAUUUUAGAUACGUGAAGAUCUUAAUUUGAGCAUUUUUACUUUUGUGUUAAAUCAAGUUUGGUUAGAAUUUAGGGCGUUCGAGCUUUUUUCAGAUAAAUUUUUAGGUCUUAAUCCAUUUUACAAUAUCUUAUUGUAGAUUAAGUAUAAGUAGAUAUUUUAGAUUAACGGAGAUGGUAGGUCACUGCUCUCAGAAUAUGAUAUUGUGUAUGUGACACAAAAAAUUAUAAAAGGAGUGCAAUUGCUGAUUUUCUACUGAUUGAACUUCAGAAGAUUAGAACCUAUGAAGUUUUGAGUUUCCAGAUGAAGAUUUGAUGGGUAAUCUUGCAGGAUGAGAUAUAGAGCCUGUAGAGAGGAAGUAUGGAAAAUGUUUUCGAUGGAGCAAUCCAAUAUAAUGGGGCAUGGCAUUGAGAACAGUACUAAUAUCCCCAGAAGAAAAUUAUUACCCAUGUACCGAAUAUUAGAUUUUAAUUGGCACAAAACAAUGUCGAUGAAUAUGGGCAUGUGUCAUGGGGUUACAGAUGGCCAUUGAAAAGAAAUUGAAACACUAGAAGUAUAUGAGGAUUCAGCCUUGGAUAAUUUAUCAACUAAAAGGUCGUGAAUGGGAGGACUAGAGACUCGAAACUAGUGUUAUACCAAAGGCACAUAGCUGGCUUGAGGAAACAUUUUAAAGAGAUUCAAUUUCAGCAUGUUCCUCGAGAAGAAAACCAAAUUACUGAUGCCUUGGCUACUUUGGCAGCAAUGUUUAAGUUAAAUAAUAGUAUGGGAAUCCAGCCCAUUAGAGUACAAGUGAAAGUUUCACCAACCCACUGUUCAAAUGUGGAAGAAGAGGUAGAUCGACAACCAUGGUACUAUGACAUUGUGCAAUAUAUCAAGUGUCAAAACUAUCCAGAACAGGCUUUAAAAAAUUAUGAGAGGAUCAUUCAAAGAUUAGCAAUAGGUUUUGUGCUUGACGGAGAAAUUCUGUAUAAAAAAAGUCGAGAUCAGAUUUUGCUAAGGUGCGUCGAUGCUGUGGAAGCGAGAAUGAUACUUGAAGAAGUACACGAAGGAAUUUAUGGAACACAUGCUAAUGGGCAUAUGAUGGCUAAACAGAUCAUGAGAGCUGGUUACUACUGGUUUACAAUGGAAAAUGAUUGCAUCAGUUAUGCCAGAAAAUGCCAUAAAUGCUAAAUUUAUGCAGAUAAAAUUCAUUCUCCUCCAGUCUCGCUGCACGUCUUGGCACCACUAUGGCCUUUCUCCAUGUAGGGAAUGGAUGUGAUCGGACCCAUAACCCCUAAAGCUUCAAAUGGGCAUCGAUUUAUCUUUGUGGUAAUCGAUUAUUUUACAAAAUAAGUGAAAGUAGCUUCGUAUGCUUGUAUUAUGCGAUCAGUGGUGUGUAGAUUUAUAAAAGAGAGAUAAUAUGUCGGUAUGGUCUCCCAGAAAGGAUUAUCUCAGAUAAUGCUAGCAAUUUAAAUAAUAAAAUGAUGAAAGAAUUAUGUGCACAGUUCAAGAUCAAGCAUCAUCAUUCAGCACCAUAUCGUCCAAAAAUGAAUGGUGCAGUGGAAGCUGCGAAUAAGAACAUCAAGAGAAUAUUGGGGAAAAUGACUGACACAUAUAAGGAUUGGCAUGAAAAGUUACCUUUUGCUUUGCUUGCCUAUAGAACAUCAAUCCGAACCUCCACAGGGGCCACCUCGUUUUCACUAGUGUAUGGGAUGGAAGCUGUACUGCCAAUUGAAGUGGAAAUUCCUUCUCUGAGGGUGUUGAUGGAGAUAAAAUUGGAUGAGGUAGAAUGGGUUCAAGAUCAUUUCGAGCAACUGAAUCUUAUUGAAGAGAAAAGGCUCUCAGCACUCAGUUAUGGACAAAUGUAUCAAAAAGAAUCAUGCGAGAACAUGACAAAAGGAUACGAUCCCGAUGCUUUCAUGAGGACGAAUUGGUUUUGAAAAGGAUUUUGCCAUAUCAACAUGACAAUAGAAGAAAAUAGACCCCCAACUGGGAAGGUCCAUAUGUGGUAAAAAAAAACUUUUUUUGGUAGGGCUCUGAUCCUUACAGAAAUGGACGGAGAUGAAUUGCCAAGUCCUAUAAAUUCAGACAUUGUCAAGAAAUAUUUUGCUUAAAAAAAAAGCAAAAAUAUAUAAAAAAACAACAAAAAAACAAUAAAAAUGAAAAAAAUGGAAAAAAUGAAAAAAAAUAAGAAAAGAAGUGAUUCAGAUUGAAAACCCGAAAAGGACGGUUUGAGUCAAAAGGGGGUCAUUUAAGCUAAAAACCUAUAAAGAUGGCUUGAAUGAAGGUGGAACUCGAAGAAAGUUUUUUCUAAAGAACAAAUGAGUGGCACCAAAUGAACGAAUUGUCACCAGAAUUAAAAGAUAUGACUUUUAGGGGGCAAGUAGUUCUCAUUAGUCACAGAUGUGGGAUAAAGAUUGGUAAUAUGAAAUCACAGGUGACAAGAUCGUAAAUGUAUCGAAUUUUUGGGAAAAGACCUGGUCUGAGUAGGCCGAAGUCGUCCAAAUGUUCAUUAUUUAGAGAAUUGAUAUUUGAUUUUUGAAAUACUUUUGAAUCAAUUAUUCUUUAUGUCUCGAAAAGCUUAUCUUUCUAAACCUGAAAUAUCUUAUUACUGAUAAUAUUGCACACCCAACUUUGAACCUGAAAUCAUUGCAUUUGUCAUUGAAAAUUAAGAUAUUGAUUAAUAAAGUUCAUAAUAGACCAAUGUAUCACUCGAAAAGAGAAUGCAAUAUGAGGAUGACAAAAAUAGCAACAUGGGGCAGAAAGAAUGAAAAGAAAUCGAUUGAUUACUAAGGAUAAAGAGGAAAAAAGGGAUAAAAAAGAAAGAGAUUUUAGAGCGACUAAAAGCCAGAUGGGUCCGUCAUGAGACAGAGAUUUCUGGUCAAAAAUUGAAAGAGUCAAAAGGACGAGAUUACUAAAAGCGACUUUUAAAGUUUGAAAGAAUUGAACCAAAAGUUGAAUUAACUUGGAUGAAAUGCAUGAUAUAAUUCGUUGACGGCGUCUUUGUCUUUUCAUUCAUCACAAUCAUUGCAUGCAUUACAUGCCUCUCGAUAAGUUGCAUAGAAGGUUUUUUUAUGAGAUAUCAGGAAGAAUCAACAUUUUUUUUUCUCGAAACAAAAAUGAUGGCCUUGAAGAUGGUAUGUUAGCAUAAUUUUUAAAAUUGAAACUAUUGGUCUAUGAAGUACCCAAUCUCUUAUUUCUUAACUCACAGCUCAGUCUUAUAUAGUUCUUCGACUUGCGGUUCAAUCUCAGUCAUCUUAAUCUUUGGCUCGCGAUUUAAUCUCGAUCAUUUCAUUAUUUCUCUGACUUGCGAUUCAGUCUCAAUCAUCCUUAAUCUUUGACUCGCGAUUUAAUCUGUGUCAUUUCAUUAAUUCUCUGACUUGUGGUUCAUUCCCAAUUGUCUUUAAUCUUUGACUCGUGGUUUAAUCCCGGUCAUUUUAUUCUCUGACUUGCGGUUCAAUCCUAGUCAUCUUUAAUCUUUGACUCGUGAUUUAAUCCCGAUCAUUUCAUUAAUUUCCUGACUUACGGUUCAGUUUCAGUCAUCUUUAUCUUUUGGCUCAUGGUUUAAUCCCGAUCAUUUCAUUAAUUUCCUGACUUGCGAUUCAGUCCCAGUCAUCUUUAUCUUUUGGCUCGUGGUUUAAUCCGGGUUAUUUAAUUAUUUCUCUGACUUGCAGUUCAAUCUCAGUCAUCUUUAAUCUUUGACUCGUGGUUUAAUCUCAGUCAUUUCAUUAUUUCUCUGACUUACGGUUCAAUCCCAGUCAUCUUUAAUCUUUGACUCAUGGUUUAAUCUCGAUCAUUUCAUUAAUUUCCUGACUUGCGGUUUAGUCCCAGUCAUCUUUAAUCUUUGACUCGCGGUUUAAUCCCGAUCAUUUCAUUAAUUCUCUGACUUGUGGUUCAUUCCCAAUCGUCUUUAAUCUUUGACUCGUGGUUUAAUCCCGAUUAUUUCAUUCUCUGACUUGCAGUUUAAUCCCAGUCAUCUUUAAUCUUUGACUCGUGGUUUAAUCCUGGUCAUUUCAUUCUCUGACUUGCGGUUCAAUCCCAGUCAUCUUUAAUCUUUGACUCGUGGUUUAAUCUCGAUCAUUUCAUUAAUUUCCUGACUUACGGUUUAGUCCCAGUCAUCUUUAAUCUUUGGCUCGUGGUUUAAUCUCGAUCAUUUCAUUAAUUCCCUCGACUUACGGUUCAGUCCCAGUCAUCGUUAAUAUUUGAUUCGUGGUUUAAUCCCGAUCUUCUUAUUCUUCGAUUCGUGGUUCAAUCCCGAUCUCUUUAAUUUAAAAUCGUAGUUUAAUCUCGAUUGUUGUUGUUAUCUUCUGACUCGUGGUUUAAUCCCAGUCUCCUCAUUUUUGACUUGUGAUUCAAUCCAAGUUCAAUCCUGAUCUUGUUAUUCCUUGACUCGUAGUGUCGUCCCGAUCACUUUCUUUAUUAUUCGACUUUCAGUGUUGCCUUAAUCGAUUCUUUGUUUGUCAACACACAAUGUCAUUUUCUUUAUCACUUGACCUAACCUAAAAAAAAAAAUCUAUUUGGAUUCUGGACAAAAUUGUUAUCUUUGUCUUUGCUCUAUUACUGAUUAUCAGUAAUGUGCAAAGAGGGACAGCUGUGGACAUCAAUUUUUGUCCCAAAAUAAAAUAAAAUAAAAACAAUAAUAUUACAAAAUACGAAAUACAAAAAAAAUACCAAAAAUAAUACAAAAUACAAAACAAAAAUACAAAAUAAAAAAAUACAAAAAAAAGAAUAGAAGAUAAAAAAAAUCAAGGAUGGCAGUGGUGCCGUCUCCGGCACCACUGCCACCAGACCCUACCCUCCACCCCUCUAAUUACUCCUUCCGUUGACAAACGUCAAAUAAGACAGAAAUGAAUAAAAAAGGCAUGGGGCUCGUGUUUACAUCCCGUGAUCGAGCUCCAUGCCCUUCCCUCCAAACGCAUAUGGCUGGAGCUCUAUAAAUAGAGCUCCUAGCGAAGCUAAAACAGAUAGAGAAGAAGGAGGGGGAGAUUCUAUCAAAAACAAAAAAAAACCACAAAAAAAAUCAAACAGUCCUCCCCACAGAGAGGAACCCAGCGCCGAAAGCCCCUGCACAAAGAAAAAUCAAAGUCAGUUUCAAAAAAAAAAAGAUCUGACCGAAACUUCACUAGUAGAUCUAAGGAAGUGGGGACACUUUUUGGUGAAAAAGACCUUAGAUCUGAACUCAGUAGGUCGAGGGAAACAUUUUGGUAUUUUCUGAGAAUUUUUUGACCACCGUCAACGGUGGUCGGUGAUCGAUGAACGGCGACAGCAGCGGUGGAGGAUCGGUCGGCCACUGCGUUUGGCCGGAGAGAGAAAAAAAUGAGAGAAAAGAAGCUUUUUUUUUUAAGAAUGAAAAGAAUGAAGGAAAAAAUUUUUUAACUUUUAUAUAAACUGUCAAUAGCCAAAACGACGUCGUUUCAAUAAAAGCCCAAAACGACGUCGUUUAGGCCAAAGAGGAUCCGCGCGUUGACUCGGACCCGACCCGGGGUCCAUGCCAACCGACCCGCUAACCCGACUUCUCAGCGGCUCUGAAUCGGUUUGAUCAGACCGGAUCGAACCGCUCCCCAGGAUCGGCUUGAACCACAGCUCAGUCGGCUCAAUUGAACCAUCGCUGAACCGAACCUUUUUUGGUCCAACCGAACCUCCGUUGAUCGGAUGGUUGACUGGUCCGGUUCAGGUAAAAAUUUUUUUUUCAUUUUUUUAAAUUUUCUAAUUUUUUAUAUAAUAUUAUUUUUGUUAUUUUAAGUAUUUUUUUAUAUAUUUAUGCGUGAUAAGUUUUAAAUUUGUUAGGAUAAGUUUUUUUUUUAAUUGUUUUAAUAAUAAUAAAAUGAAAGUAAGUAAGAUAAUAAUUAAAAUAUAUAUUAAAAAUGUUUAAGAUAAUAAUAAUAAUAAUAAUAGAAUAAUAAUUAUUAUUUUCCCUGCCUAGAUGUUGGAGGGAAUAAAAAAAAAAUUUCUUAAAGAAAUAAUUUCGCCUAGAUGUUGGGAAAUUAUUAUUAAUAAAUUUUCAUAAAAAGAAAAAUAAGAAAUUUUUUAAUUAAUUUUUAAAAAUCAUUAAAGUCGAACUUGCUUCGAAAAUCCAUCUAAAUGUUGGAAAUUUUUAGAGAUGUUCAUAUUUUCUUAAAAAAUGAAACCCCUAAAAAUCUAAAAUCUCUUAAAUUCAAACCCCCUAAAAACCAAAACCCCCAAAUCGAAAUCUCAAAUUUUAAACUCUUAAUCGAAAUCCCUAAAAAUUCAAUCCUUAAAUUAAACCCCAACUCAAAUUUUAAAAUCAAAAAAAUCAUCAAACUCUUAAAAUCAAAACCCUAAAUCUUCCAUUCUAAAAUUCAGCUUAAAACCUCUAACCUUAAACUAAAUCUUCAAAACCAUCUAUCAAGCCUUAUAAAACUCCAAAAUCUUAAGGACACAUUUAAAUUCUAUUUGAAGCAAUUUGUUCCCGAAUGCCGUCUAGAUGAUGAGGUAUUUAGGAAAUUUUACUUCGUUAAGUCUUUUCACACAAUUUCUUAAUUCGCAUUAAUAAUAAGAUUAAUGAAUAAAAAGUAUAAUAAUAAAAUUAGGAUCUUAAAUAUAAACAGUCACACCUAAGCUCUGCUUUGAUGUUGGAAAGUCGGGUGGUCUCAUUAUACUUAAGAAUCCAACUCUUAAAUUGUUUUUCAUUGUAAAUGACAUUCAUUAGCAUACAUACGUUAGCAUGUUAUCAUCGAUAAUUGAUUGCAUUAUUCUCUCUUUAAUUUACUGUUCGAUGAUAAAAUAUUUUAUAGUAAAAAAAAAGAAUAAUACUUAAAAAAAAUCUUUUUGUGAUAUUAUAAAAUAAAUUAAAAAUAACAUUCUGAAAGAAAUAAUUCUUAGUACUCUGCCUAGACGUUGGAGAGUCACUAACAAUUAGUUUCUAUAAAGAUUAUUAUUUCAUUUUAAGUAUUAUUGUGUUCAAUCUUAGGUGAAAAGAGUUAUUUUUAAAUUAUGCCUAGAUGAUGGAGAAUUUUAAGAUAAUUCUUUAACUUAAAGAUUUUCUCAAUAGUUCUAAAUAAAUAUUUUAGCAAAAUUUUAUUUUUUUCAAAUGAAGGGAAUUAGUGUUAAAUUUCAAAUUAAAAUCAUUUUUAUCUAACACCGAAAAUAGUGUAUAAUUAAAUGGUACCAAUUUAUGGGUGUUGCUGGGGUGCUAAUCCUUCCUCACGUGUAACCAACUCCCGGACCCAACCUAGUUUUUCAUAGAUCAAAAUUUAUCUUUUUGAUAAACUUUAAACCCGAUUUUAUAGUUUUAUUAAAAGGAUAAACUUUUGGGUGGCUAAUCAUACCCUAACAAAGAUUGGUGGUGAAUCCUCUUUUAUUUUUUUUGAUUUUAAAACUCAUUUUACGUCUGACGGUCAAAAAAUCAUUACGACAAAUUCAAACGGUUAUAAACCAAAUCUCCUGAAGAAAGUCUUCUCAAAUUUUUGCAAAUCUAGUUUCAACUGAUCUUGAUGAUACCAUGUCUAAUGAAAAGCGUCAUUUGGCUAAUUUUAGGCCUCACUUUUGAGGGAACAUUUUCCUCUCCUGUCCUGAAAUGGUAUGUAUGAAAACCUCUUUCAGUGUACGUUUUUGUGUAAGAUCAUAUUAAUUUUUACAGCCUUCUAAUUUUCCACAUUUAUAUCAUCAAAUUAAUUAACUAAUUGUCAUACUGUUGGCAAAAUGAGUUUCUUUCUAAUUUCUACUGCUUCUUCUUUCUUUUCUUAUUAUUUAGAGUUCUUUUUUAUAUACUAACAGUAAAUUAUUUUAAUUUUACAAGUGAGGAUAAAUUUUUUUAUAUAUUUCACUUAUUUUUUAUUUUUUACUAUACAUUAAGAGAUAUGUGUUAUUACAUUAAUUUGAAAAUUUAAAACUUCACUCUCGUCUCUUUUUUAGUCAAAGGAGGCUGUACCUGAAUAACUAUGUGUAGACACCUAAUUUGGUCUAGGCCUAGAUCAAUUAGGCCUGGUUCGAUAGGGUCAAUAAUUUAUUAAUUUUUUUAUUAUUUCAUAUUUAAUUUUUUUAUUUUAUUAUCAUUUUGAAAUUUAUAUUGAUUAUUUAUUUAUUUAUUAUUAUUAUUAUUAUUUUAGGAGAUAAUGAUGGUGAAAAAACAAACAGCAAGGAAUCUUACCAUGAAUGGGGCAAGAUAGAAUCAUAAUUGGACUUAAUACUUAUAGGAUAAGUCUAAUGGUUUUAUGAUAAUAUAGAAUUCUGAUCAAGGGAGGACUUAGAAUCGAUUAGAAACUCUUCUGAUCACAACUUAUAAAUACCUACAUUGAUCAGAGGCAAAAGACACAGAAAAAACACAUAAAAAUAGAAAUAAAAAAAAUCACAAGUAGAAAGCAAUCAAAAAGUUUUUCAAAAAUUUUUUGGUUUAGGGGAAAAAAGGAAAUUUUUUUGAAAAAUCUAAAAAAUUCUCAGAUUUGAUGAAAUUUUUCAAUUUUCGGUGAAUUUUUCAGUGCCGAUUAAAUUUUUUGAAGACUUUUUCGGCGCAGGUGAAAUUUUUUGGUAGGGUUUUCAAAAUUUGGUGAAGAUUCCGGUGAAGUUUGAAUUUUUUGACAAUCGUCUGGCGAACUAACCUAGAUUUUGAUGGUAUUUUCCAGAAUCCGGUUGAUAUUCAACUAGAGAUUCAACCAGGUUAGAGAGAAAUGGGAAGAAAAGAAAAGGAAAGUGAAAUAUGAGGAAAAAGGUUGGAGCUACUUUUUAUACAAUGCCCAAAAUGACAUCGUUUUUACCUUAAGAAGACCCCAUGAUCUGUGUGUUUUUAUUCAGAUAAUCUGACCCGACCAUAACCCGCUUCGCUAACCCGUGCCUAAACCUAGCCAAAUCGAGCUCUUAAGUCGAGUUGCUAAGCCAUUUCGUUUUUCUUUCUGGUUUUUUUUAUGUUAUUAUGUGUUUGUGUUUUAGUAUUUUUUUAUAAUUAAAUUUAGAAAAAUAAAUAAAAAAGGUAAAAGAAUAAAAUAAAUUUUGGGAACAAAUAUUAAUUAUCCAAUGAUGGAAGUUAUAGAAAUUUCAAAUGGUAAAUUUUUAAUAAAAUUCCUAGGUGAGAAAUUUUUUCUAAAUUUGUCAUAAAUGGUGGAAUAAUUUAGAUAAAGUUUUAAUAAUAAUAAUUAAUAUUUAUUUUCAAAACAAAAAAUAAAAAAUAAAAAGAAAAAAUAAAAAAAUAUUGAUAAAAAAUUUGGAAUGAAGUACAAAUUAUCCAAGGAUUAGAUUUUUAGAAAUUUCAAAUAAUAAAUUUCUAAGAAAUCUUUAGGUGAGAAAUUUUCUCUAAAUUUGUCUCAAAUGGUGGAAUAAUUUAGAUGAAAUUUCAAUAAAAGUAAUUGUAUUCUUUUUCAAAUUUGGUUGAAAAUAUUUUAUAAUUAUCCAAUGAUGAGAUUUUUAAAAAUUUCAAAUGGUAAAUUCCUAAGAAAUCUCUAAGUGAAAAAUUUAUUUAACUUUGUCCCAAAUGGUGGAAGAAUUUAAAUGAAAUUUUAAUAAAAAAUAAUUGUCAUAUUAUUUUCUUUUCAAAAAAAAAUAAAUAAAAAGAAUUUCUAAAUAUGCCUAAAUGGUGAAGAAUUUAGAAAUUCAAAACAAAAAAAUAUUUCUAAUUUGGCCUAAAUGGUAGAAUAAUUAGAUAUAUUUUUGAUAAUAAAAUAAUAAAUAAACUUUUUUUGACGACGGAGUCUUUUUAAGAAAUCAAAUGGGAUUCUUGAAUACUCUUGAGGUGAGAAAAUAUUUUUAAGAAUUCUACCAGAUUGAUGAAAAAAUCUUAUAAAUUAUUUUUAAUAUUUAACAUAAAAAUUUGAAACCAUUAGACUCAAGACCCUAGAAUAAAUUUAAAAUAAUAUGGUACCAUCCUUUGGAUGGGCAUAUAGGGGUGCUAUAACCUUUUCCACAUGUAACCGAACUUUUGAACCCUGUUCUGGUUUGUAGACCUAAACCUAUUCUUUUAGGGACCCUUAGUCAAGCUUAGGAGCUCCUUAAAAAGAUAGAUUAAUUAUAUGUCCAAUCACACCUAGUUAAAAAGAAGAUUGGUGGUGACUUUAUUUGUUAAGUCUAGCUAUAGAUUUAUGGAUCUAUAUGUUAUGACAGUUUGGUGACUCUACUAGGGAUGAUACAGAGUCAAGCCAUAAACUUUUAAAUUUAUCCUAUUUUUUGAUCUAAUGGUUUUUAAUUGUAAUUAUCUAUUUACAAACGUUUUCUCUUUUAUUUUUAGGGCAUAAAAUCUAUAUGUUCCUUCACACACACUAUCACUUGCCUUUGCAUUACAUGAGCUUUAUACCCGAGCUUUGUCCCUUUUAGGAGGGAGUAAAGUAUCCAUAUUUGUGUAAGAUGAUAAUAUCUGCAAUAACUAGUGAAAUACUCCCACUCAAAUUGAAUUCUUUCCAUUAGUAGCCUGUGAUGGGUAAGGAUUGGUAUGCCUUACUAGUUUGUGAUGAAUGAUGAUGUAAGAAACAAUUUAGGAACCUUUAGUGGUCAAAAUCACUUAACCUUACAUAUAGUGUACACUUAAGAAGGUAGCCCUAGGAUAGAGCCCUUCCUACCCAAUGAUAGAUAUACCCCAAAACUAGGAUACAAGAAGGCACAAUUUAUGUUUAUCUAACCGUUUUGAUUGUUUGACUUUAUGUAUUUGCAUUAUCAUGUCAUACAUCAUUUUCAUUGUCAUAUAUAACAUUUUGCAUCUACCUCAGAUUCAUAUCAGAUUUUAUUCAUCAAAAUGUACAUUUCAUUCAUGCUUCAACAUACUAAACAUAAAGUAUAUCAUCUUAUUUUUUAUUAUAAUUAUGGUAUCAAGGUUCAAAGAUAGCUCUAUCAGCCAAGAUCACACACAAUCAACUCUCCAGUACAAUAUAAAAGCUUAAGCAAAAUAAAUGGAAUAAGAAAAUUUCAAUCAUCUUGAGAGGAUAAAGAAAGCUCAAGAGAAGCUAAAAGGAGAGUUGAAUAGGAUUUUAGAGGCUUUGAACAAAUUAAACAAAGGGAAAGGUAUAGAAGAAAGUACUAGUCAACAAGACCAUCUAUCACAAAAGGUGGAUGACCCACUGUACCCUCUUAGUUUUAGGUCACAUCAAGCCCAACAAGCACAAGAUCCAUUACCACAGCAGUUCACCUAUCUUGUAAGGUACACAUAUACUGGAAUGUCAGUACAAGGUCCACUACCACAGCAGUUCACUUAUCCUAUAGGGUACACAUACCCUAGAAUGCCAUCAGCUUCAAACCCUGAACAAUAUUAUAGUUAUGUAAAUCAUGUCUUUACAAAAAAGAUAGUAGAACUAGUUUAGGUCCCUAAUUUGGACGAUCCAAAGGAGAACAAAAAGUUAAAAUCAAAAGUGGGUGAGUUACUGAGAAACUUAAAAGCUGACCAAAAGAUUAGUAUGCUAGAAAAGAGUCUACGAGCAGUAGAAGAAAUUAGUUUUUAUGGUUCUAUGAAUGCUGCUAAGGUCUGUUUAGUCUCAGGUGUGGUUAUUCUUUCAAAGUUUAAGGUACCAAAAUUCAAGAAGUAUGAUGAUACAAAGUGUCCAAAGACCCAUAUUACCAUGUACUAUAAAAAAAUGGUAGCCAAUGCUAAUAAUGAAAAACUGUUAAUACAUGUGUUCUAAGACAACCUCACAGGCUUUACUGCUUUGUGGUAUGUUCAGUUGAAUAGGACUUACAUUCAUUCUUAGAGUGAUAUGACCUAUGACUUUAUUAAUCAGUACUGACAUAUUAUAAACUUGGCCUCGGAUCGCUUAUCUUUAUAGAACAUGGAGAAAAAGGUAAAUGAAUCAUUUAAAGAAUAUGCCCAGAGGUGAAGGGACAUAACUUCUCAAGUGCAACCCCUUUUGACUGAAAAAAAGACCAUGGUGUUGUUUAUCAGCAUUUUGAAGUCUCCCUAUUAUGAAAAAAUGAUAAAAAAUGUAAUAAAGAACUUCGUUGAUACGGUGAUCUCAAGUGAAAUUAUUAAAAAUGCCAUUAAAAAUGGCAAGUUGAAAGGAAGAGAAACCAAGAAGAUGCCUAAAAAAAAAGAGACUAAAGCUCAAGUUGUAAGCUUUGGUAGACAAUUCAUGAGAUAUCAAUCCUAUCCAUCACAUGGUUAUUCCCUAUACUAUUCAGCUGUGAAUAAUGCCUUAUCCUACCCAUACCAGCUAGCUCCACAAUAAUCUUAUUCAUCCACAUACUAACCCAUUUUUAGGCCACCAAGCUCCUAUAUACAUCUUUAACAUCCAACCUCUUGUAAGACCCCAAAUUCGUCCUGCUAACUCAACAAGUGAUUCACGAGAGCAACAACAAUUCAAGAAAAAUUCGUAUUUGAUCCAAUCCCCAUGACUUAUACGGAGUUAUACAGAGAGCUUUAUAAUAAUCACUUAAUUGCCUCAAGUCAUUUAAAACUGCACAAGCUAUCCUAUCCCAAGUGGUAUGAUCCUACCGCUCAUUGUGACUACCACUAUGAAAUUAUCGAUCAUUCCACAGAGAAUUACACUGCCCUAAAGCAUAAGGUGCAAUGAUUGAUCAAGGAUGGAAUGACAAACUUUGAUCAAGGAGGAGCAACAACACCAAUGUUAGUGGCAAUCCAUUGCCUAAUCACAAUAUUAAUACUUUGAGUGAGAAUAAAGAAAACGUUGAUCCAAAAAGGCCUAAAGAGCUACACUAAAUCAAGGAGCCAGAAGAUAAGAAAAAUCUUUCACUUGAUCACAUAGGGGCAUAGUUUUGGAUAGGAGAAAGAUGUUAAGGUUGGUUGAAUGUUGCUUAUCAUUCUAGGAUUUCUUUCAAAAGUAAUGUUAGGAUUUCUUUUAGGCAAUAGGAUUUCAUUUGUUAUCAUUUUAAUAAAAGGCAAGUUAAUGCAUUUUAUUACAUUUUUUUUCAUACUUUGUCACCUUUUAUAAUUUUUCAUUCCCAUUUUUGAAUUUCAAAUGAUGAAUGUUUAGGCAAGGUCAAAAAUAAUUCUGGGAUUAAAUUUUGAGAACUCAUUCACAUUGAUUUGAGUAGAUUAUUUGAAAAAAAAAGCUACUGGCAGAUGCGAAAUAUAUAUAUCUUAAAGAUGUGUAGUUUUUUAUAAAUAUCCAUGAUCUUAUUUUUUUCAAUAGAUGAUCUUCAAGGAAAGCAUUCACAUUUGAGAUGAAAAAUGUCCUCUUUAUUUUUUCAUUUAAAAAACCAUUCAUUAUUACCCUUUUUGAGCCUAUUAUAAUUUUUUUUUCUAAAUAACCCCGAUCAAAGAUUACCCUCCACACUAGUAGGCAAUUUUUGAAAAAGAAAAAAGGCAAAAGAUCAUAAAGAGUCUUAAACAUAGAAAGACAAAAGUAAAACAAAGAAAAAAAAAAGAAAAAAAUGAAUGCCACACAUUAUUUGGGACAAAAUAGAGAGAGUCUUUUUGUGAGGAAUAAAAUGAGUGAAAAGGGAAAAAAUAAUGAAAUGAUGUAGGGUAAAAUGCCAAAUUGUAUCAAGUGAUCCUUUGGUUUUGAACCCUUUAAACACAUAUUUUGAGACUAUUUUAUCCAUUUCUUUCAUGACCCCUUACCAUGGCCUACAUUACAACCUUUAAAAGUUUAUUUAGAUCAAAUAUGAAUGCUCAAAUUGAAUGAUCAUAUGUUAGGCUAAGGCAUGCUUAUGAUGGGGUAAUGAAAUGUCUUUUAGAAAUUGAUGUGUGAGAGAUAUCACUAAUGAAUAGAAAAAAAAUGAAAAAAAAUGAAAGAAAAAAUAGAAGGAAAAAAUAAAAAAAAAAGAAAAAAAUGAAAGAAUGAGAAAAUAUAAAAGUGAGAAAACGAAGACUCAAAUUAAAAACUCGAAAAGGCAAUUUUGGUAGAAAAUCUUCAAGUUGAGAGUUGGAUAAACAGUUCACAUAAAGAAAGAUCAAAGAUAUUUGAAGAUCCUUUAAAGCUGGAGUAAAAUUUGAUAAGCUCAAAAUGAUUUUUGAAAAGUUAAUGGAAUGAGUUUUUGAAAAAUUCUAGAUUAAUGUUAAGAAUUAUCUGAGUAUUCAUUGUUUGGAUAUUGUUCCUCCAUUUGUUCACUUACCAUUCUUAAGGAUAUACUUUGAAUGAAUUCCUAUGCCCAUUUGUUUUUAUACCAGACUCAUUCCCUAUUGAUUGCCUUUCUCCCAAUUCACCUUAUGCUCUUUUUAUUCUUACAUCCUUAAAAUAAAUUGAGAAAAUGUCUAAUUGUAUUAUAGUUAUCAAAAAUUGAAAUAACGAUGAAUGAAUGACAAUGUGCAUAAAAGAUUCUUACAUUCUUUUGAAAAGAAAUUCAUGAUGAUAGAGGGCGAAAAAUGAUGAAAAGAUUACAAAAACUUGAAAAAAUGACACAUGAGAUGGCUAAAUGAUGAACACGGUGAUGGAUUGCUCAACAAAAUGAAUAGAAGGUAAAAAUCUAAAAAGAUGAUAUGAUCCAGAAAUGUAUAUGGUGAUGGAUUGACUGAUAUAACUUAUGAGUUAUGGUCAAAUGAUGGAAAUAAUGUGGAUCAAGGGAUGAAAUUUGUUUUUUUAGUGCUGAUGAGCCUAUGAGUCGAGUGAUGGAAAAAAUAAAGAUCAGUUGAUGAAAUGGCUAGUGCUAAAAGUCUGUUAACUAUGAUUAAAUGAUGAAUGAAACUUGUUCUGAAGUGGUUAGUGCUGAAAAACCAAUGAGUGGCAACCGAGUGAAGGAGGACUGAAACUUGUUUUGAAAUUGCUAAUGCUGAGAAGUUUAUGAAUGAUGAUCAAGUGAUGGACACGACAAUGAUUGGUUGAUAAAAUUUAUUCUAAAGUGCGAAAAAGAUAAAAAUGGGAAAAAGGUGAGAUGAUGGGGUUUUGAGAACCAUGUUACCACAUUUUGAUUAGAAUUUCAUGACAUUGACAUCGAUAUUACAUACAUUGCAUUUGCAUUGUUAUUUGGAGAAUAUUUGAAACUUAGGUUUGGCUAUGCAUUUGCAUUCUAUAAUAAACAUUUGAAUCAUGGUUAAGAAUAUUGCAUUAUGAGAAUCUAGAUUGUUGCAUUUGCAUCAUUGAUCAUGACAUUCAUUACAUACAAAAUUUUGACUUUGGUAAAAGUUUGAAAGUCAUCUGAAAAAGAAAUUUAGAAUCUUUUGAUAAAGUUUUUUAAGGCAAGAUUGUGAAUCCUCAAAUGAGAAUUUUUGAAUUUCAAAUAAGAAUCUUUGAAUUUCAAAUGAGAAUCUUUGAGUUUUCAAAUGAGCAUUUUGGGCUUUGAGUUUUAAAUGAGAAUCUUUGAGGUAUGAGACCCUAAAAUUUAUCGGAUGUGAAUCUUGGAACUCAAAUAAGAAGUUUUGAAUUUUUGGAUGUGAAUCUCAAAAUUCAAACAAAAAGCUUAAACUUUUUGGAUCUGAACCCCAAAUUUUGUCAAAUGUGAAUCUUUGAACUCGAAUGAGAAGUUUUGAAUUUUGGAUGUGAAUCUCUAAAAUUCAAAUGAGGAUCUUUAAAUGUUAGAUGCGAGUCUUAUAAUUUGUAAAUGCGAAUUUAAAAGGUAAGAAUCAAAAUUCAAUGAAUUCUUAUGAAGCUGAAAGGUCCUUGCAAAUUUGAACCUUUGAAUUUCAAUCUCAAAUUAUGAAUCUUUGAGUUCCAUUACAAAUUCCAUCAGACCUAAUCUGACUCUUCCAAACAUAAUUGUCGAGGAACAUUUUAUUUCAAAAGUCGUUGAGCCUCUGUUUAAAGGAGCAUUUAUUUUUCAAAGUUGUGGUGCCUCUGUUUAAAGGAGAAAUUAUUUUUCAAAGUUGUGUGCCUUUGUUUAGAAUUGUUUAAAGGAGUAAUUUAUUUUCAAAGUUGUGGUGCCUUUGUUUAGAAUUAUUUUUCAAAGUUGUAGUGUCUCUGUUUAGAGGAGCAAUUUAUUUUUUAAAGUUGUGGUGCCUCUAUUUAUAGGAGCUUUGUUUACUUUUUCAAAAAAAAAUAGAUGAAUUUGUUGGGGUGAUCAUAUUUGGGGUGUUUACGUCUUUGCAUAAUUUCUAUUACACAAGAAAUGCGUAAAGAGGGGCAGCUGUAGACACCAAAUUUGAUCCAGACCUGGAUCAAUUAGGCCUGAUCCAAUGGGGUCAAUAAUUUUUUGAUUUUCUGAUUAUUUCAUAUUUAUUUUUGUUUUAUUUUAUUAUCAUUUUGAAUUUUAUAUUGAUUAUUUAUUUAUUUAUUAUUAUUAUUAUUAUUUUAGGAGAUAAUGAUGGUGAAAAACAAAGGCAAGGAAUCUUGCUGUGAAUAGGGCUAGAUAAAAUCAUAGUUGGACUUAAUUCUUAUAGGAUAAGUCUAAUGGUUUUAUGAUAAUACAAAAUUCUAAUCAAAGGAAGGCUUAGAAUUGAUCAGAAACUCUUCUGAUCACAGCUUAUAAAUACCCACAUUGAUCAGAGGCAAGAGACAUAGAAAAAAGACACAGAAAUAGAAAUAAAAAAUCACAAGUAGAAAGCAAUAAGAAAAUUUUUUGAAGAUUUUUGGGUUUAGGGGAAAAAAGGAAUUUUUUUUGGAAAAAUCUAGAAAAUUCCUAGAUUCCGACGAAAUUUUCUAGCUUUUGGUUAAUUUUUCGAUGCUAGUUGAAUUUUUUUGUAACUUUCGGUGCUGGUUGAAUUUUUUGGUAGGGUUUCCAGAAUCCGAUAAAGAUUCCAACGAAGUUUGAAUUUUUUGGCGAUCAUCCGGUAAACCAACCCAAAUUCUGGCAGUAUUUUCCAGAAUCCAAUUAAUAUUUAAUCGAAGAUUCAAUCGGGUUAGAGAAAAGGAAGAGGAAAGAAAAAGGAAGAGAGAGAAGGGGAAAGUGAAAUCUAAGGAAAAAGGUUGGGAGCUGCCUUUUAUACAAGGCCCAAAAUGAUGUCAUUUUCACCUUAAAAACACCCCAGGAUCCACGUAUUUUUAUUCAAGUAAUCCAACUUGACUGCAACCUACUUCACCAACCCACGCCCCAACCUAGCCAACUUGAGCCGAGCCGAGCUCCUGAGCUAAGUUGCUGAGCCAUUUUCUAUGUCUGAAGUUGAGCCACGCCGAGCCGUUAAGUUGAGCUAUUUCAUUUUUUUAUUUUUUUUGUAUUCUGUUGGUAUUUUUUAUUUUAUUUAUGUGUUUGUGUUUUAGUAUUUUGUAUAAUUAAAUUGAGAAAAAAUAAAUAAAUAAGGUAAAAAAGUAAAAUAAAUUUUGGGAAUAAAUAUUAAUUAUCCAAUGAUGGAAUUUAUAGAAAUUUCAAAUGGUAAAUUUCUAUAAAAUUUCUAAUGAGAAAUUUUGCCUAAAUUUGUUCUAAAUUGUGAAAUAAUUUAGAUAAAGUUUUAAUAACAAUAAUUAAUAUUUAUUUUCAAAACACAAAAAAUAAAAAAAAAAUAAAAAAUAUUGAUAAAAAUUUUGGAAUUAAGUACAAAUUACCCAAAGAUGAGAUUCUUAGAAAUUUCAAAUUGUAAAUUUUUAAGAAAUCUCUAGUGAAAAAUUUUCUCUAAAUUUGUCCCAAAUAGUGGAAUAUUUUAGAUGAAAUUUUAAUAAAAGCAAUUGUAUUCUUUUUUAAAUUUGGUUGAAAAUAUUUGAUAAUUAUCCAAUGAUGGGAUUUUUAGAAAAUUUAAAUGGUAAAUUCCUAAGAAAUCUUUAGGUGAGAAAUUUCUUUAAAUUUGUCCUAAAUGAUGGAAGAAUUUAAAUGAAAUUCCAAUAAAAAAAUAAUUAUCAUAUUAUUUUUUUCAAAAAAAAAUAAAUAAAAUUUCUAAAUAGGCCUAAAUGGUGGAGAAUUUAGAAAUUCAAAACAAGAAAAUAUUUCUAAUUUGGCCCAAAUAGUGAAAUAAUUAGAUAUAUUUUCAAUAAUAAAAUAAUAAAUAAAUUUUUUUUCGACAACAGAGUCUUUUAAAAAAUUAAUGAAAAUUCUGAAUAUUCUUGAUGGUGAGAAAUAUUUUUAAAAAUUUUACCUAAAUUAAUGGAAAAUCUAUAAAUUAUUUCCAAUAUUUAACAUAAAAAUCCAUUGAGAUUCAAUACAGUAGGAUAAAUUUAAAAUAAUAUUGGUACCAUCAUUCGAAUGGACAUUGGGGUACUAAUAAUCUUUUUUCACAUGUAAUCGAACUUUCGAACCCUGUUCUAGUUUGUAGACCGAACAUAUUCUUUUAGGGACCCUUAGGCAAGCUUAGGAGCUCCUUAAAAUGAUAGAUUAUUAGGUGACCAAUCACACCUAGUUAAAAAAGAUUAGUGGUGACUUUAUUUGAUAAGUCUAGCUAUAGAUUUACGGAUCUAUAUGUUAUGACACUAUGUCCCUCCACCUCUAGGCAUAUUCUUGAAUGAUUCAGUCACCUUCUUUUUUCAUAUUCUACAAAGAUAGGCAAUCAGGGGCUAAGUCUAUCUAAUAUGGCAAUACUGACUAAUGAAAUCGUAGGCCAUAUUACUCCAAGACUGAAUACGCAUUUUAUCCAGCUGAACAUAUCAUUUAGCAGCAAAGCCUAUAAGAUUAUUUUGAAAAACAUGCAUUAAUAGCCUUUCAUUAUGAGAAUGAGUAGCCAUCUUUCGAUAGUAUAUGGUAAUGUGAAUUUUGGGCAUUUUGUACCAUCAUACUUGUUAAACUCCGAAACCUUAAUCACAUUCGGGACUAAAUAGAGCCCAACAGCAUCUACUAAACCAUAAAAACCCUUACCCUUUAUGGCUCAUAACCUUUCCUCUAAUAAGUUCAUUUUCUAUUCAGCUUUUAAAGUGUCAUUCUCUUUAAGCCUUAGUUUUUUUUUUGGAUUAUCCAAGUUAAGGAUUGGUAUUGGUUCUACUGCCUUUUUAGUAAAGACAAGAUUUACAUAAUUCUUGUACUAUCCAGGAUUUGAAGCUAAUGGCAUUUCAGGUAAGUAUAUCCUAUAGGAUAUGUGAACUGUUAUGGUGGUGGAUCUUAUGUGGACUGGGCUUAUUGUGACCCAAAACCAGGAGGGUACAAAAGGUCAUCCAUCUCUUGUGAUGGAUAAUCCUACUGGCUAGUAUUCCUUUUUUAUCUUUUUCCUUUGUUUAACUUAUUCAAGGCCUCCAAUAUCUUAUUCAACUCCCCUUUCAACUUUUCUUAAACUUUCUCUAUCCUCUCAAGACGAUUGAAAUUUUCUUAUUCCAUCUGUCUGGCUUGAGCUCUUGUAUUAUAUUAAUGAGUUAAUUGUGUGAGAUUCUUGGUUGGUGGAGCUAUCCUUGAACCUUGAGUACCAUAAUUAUGUAUUAUUAGAAAUGUUAUGCUUUAUGCAUGAUAUGUUGAUGCAUAAAUGAAAUGUACAUUUUCAUGGAUGAAAUCUAAUAUAAAAAUGAUACAGAUACACAAUGUUACAUAUAACAAUGAAAAUGAUGCAUGACAUGAUAAUGCAAAAUGCACAAAAUCAAACAAACAAAAUGGUUAGAUCAUAAACCAUUCCUUCUUGUGUCCUAACUUCGAGUUACAUUUAUCAAUAGGUACGGAGGGCUUUAUCUUGAGGCUGGCCUCUUAAGUAUACACUAUAUGCAAGGUUAGGUGAUUUUGACCACUAACAGUUCCCAAAUUGUUCCUUACAUCCUUAUCUAUCGCAGCCUAGUAAGGCAUUUCAAUCCUUACCCAUCACAAGCUACCAAUGAAAAAGAUUCAAUUUGAGUGAAAAUAUUUCACUAGCCAUUCGAAGAUUAUCAUCUCAUAAGAGCGUAUAGGUAUUUUAAUCCCUCCUAAAAAGGACAGAGCCUAGGCAUAGAUCUCAUUUAAUGAGAACACAUGUGAUAAUGUGUGUAAAGGAACACAUAAUUGUCAACCCGAUAAAUCAAAUGAGAAACAAAAAAGGUAAAUGUUAGUAAACAAAUAAUUACAAUUUAAAACCAUUAAAUCAGAUGAUAGGAUAUAUUUGAAAUAUUAUGGCCUGACUCUCUAUAGCUUCCCCAAUAGAGUCACCAAAUUGUCAUAACAUAUAGAUAUGAAAAUCUAUAGCUAGACUUAACAAAUAAAGUUGCCAUCAAUAUUUUUUUACCAGGUGUGAUUGGCCACCUAAAGAAUCUAUCCUUUUAAGGAGCUCCUAAGCUUGACUAAGAGUCCCUAACAGAAUAGGUUCGAGUAUACAAACCAAAACAAGAUUUAAGAGUUUAAUUAUAUAUAGGAAAUGUUAUAGCACCCCCACAUGCCCAUAAAAAAUAUGGUACCAUUUUAUUUUAAAUUUCUCCUAAGGUUUUGAUUCUAAUGGUUUUAAGUUUUAAUGUUUAAAUAUUAGAAAUAAUUUUUAAGAUCUUCCAUCAAUCUGGUAGAAUUUUUAAAAAUAUUUUCUCAUUUCAAGAAUAUUCAAGAAUCCCAUUUGUUUUCUUGAAGAGGCUCCGUCGUUUGAAAAAUAGGUUUAACCAUUUUUAUUUAUUGAAAAUAUUUCUAAUUCAUCCAUCAUUUGGGCCAAAACCAAAAAUAUUUUCUCUUUUUAAAUUUUUAAAUUCUCCAUCAUUUAGGCUUAUUUAGAAAUUCUUUUUUAUUUCUCUUUUUUUUAGAAAGAAAAUAAUAUAACAAUUAUUUUUCUUGAAAUUUCAUUUAAAUUUUUCUACCAUUUGGGACAAAUUUAAAGAAAUUUCUCACCUAGAGAUUUCUUUGGAAUUUAUCAUUUGAAAUUCCUAAGAUUCUUAUCAUUGGAUAAUUAUCAAAUAUUUUCAACUAAAAUUUUUAUUUGGAAAAUAAUACAAUUACUUUUAUUGAAAUUUCAUCUAAAUUAUUUCAACAUUUAGGAUAAAUUUAGAAAAAUUUCUCACCUAAAGAUUUUUUUAGGAAUUCACUGUUUGAAAUUUCUAAGAAUCUCAUACUUUGAUAAUUUGUAUUUAAUUCCAAAAUUUUAUAUUUUAUAUUUUAUUAUUAUUUUUUGUUUGAAAAUAAAUAUUAAUUAUUGUUAUUGAAAUUUUAUCUAAAUUAUUUGAACAUUUGAGAUAAAUUUAGACAAAACUCCUCACCUAGGAAUUUUAUAGAAAUUUACCAUUUGAAAUUUUAAAAAUCUCAUCAUUGGAUAAUUAUUAUUUAUUCUCAAAAAAAUAUUUAUUUUGUUUUAUAUAUUUUUUAAUUUUUUCAAAAUUUAAUCAUUAAUAAAUUUAAUAAAAAAUUUUAAAAUAAAUAAAUAAAAUAACUAAAAAAAUACCAAAAACGAAAAUGACUCGGCUCAAGAGCUUUAGCACAGCUCGAUUUCAAAUACAGAAUUUGACUCCAGGGAUGUAGCUUGGAAGCUCGGCUCGACUGAAGGGAUUGGCUAGAACAUGAGUCGGUAGGAGCAGGUUGCGCUUGGUCGAGUCACUCGAAUAAAAACACGCAGAUCCUGGGGAUCGUUUAAGGUGAAAACGACAUCAUUUUAGGAUCGGUAUAAAAGGUCAAAUUCUUUUUUUUCCUCAGAUUUCUCUUUUCCCCUCUCUCUUCUUCUUUUUCUCUGUUUCUCUCUCUAUCCCUGAAGAAGUCCAGUUGAAUCUUCAUCAGAUUCUAAAAAAUGUCAUCGAAAUCUAGGUUAGUUCAUCGAAAGUUCAUUAAAAAAUUUAACCAGUGUUAGAAUAUUUGACCGAAUUCUGGAAAGUUUGUCAAAAAAUUCAACCGAUGCUAAAAAAUUCAAUCAAAAACUAAAAAUUUUCUAGAAAAUUUUUUUUUAAUCUAAAAAUCUUCCAACUAAGUUUUUACUACUUUUGUGUAUUUUUUUUACCUUUGUGUAUUUUUUUGAAUCUUUAUGAUCAGUGUUUUUAUGAUAUGUCCUUGUGUGUUUCUAUGUUGAGGUAUUUAUAGGGCAAAUCAAAAGGAUUUUUGAUUGACUAUAACUCUCUCAUUGAUAAGAUUUCUACAUUAUCACAAGGGAAACUAAAACCAAUCACGAUUCUACCAACACCUAUCCAUGGUAGAAUCUGUCUUAUCCCUUUUUUUACUAUUAUCUAAUCAUUUUACAUUUAAUUUAAUAAUACAAAAAAAUUGAAGAUAAAUCAAAUAAAAAAACCAACCAAAAACUAGAGAUAAACAUAAUCAAAAUAAAAAUAAUAAAUAAAUAAAUAAACAAAUAAUAAAUUAAAAAUGAAAAACAAAUAAAAAAAUAAAAUAACAUAAAAUAACAUACUUGGGCCUAAAUAUUUAGACCUUAUUGAACCAGGCCCGAUAGGUUUGGGCCCGGACCAAUUAGGGUAUUUACACAUGACACAAUGAUAAUUGAUGCAAAAGAAUGUCAUGGAAUACAAAGAUGCUUAAGACAAUUGAUUCUCGUAUGUAUAAAGCUCAAAUGAUAAAAAUCACAUCACCUGUAAAUGUAUAUAUAGAAAAUGUAUUGUCUUGGUGAAUGGUGUUUACAUGAAAUGCAAUUUGUACAAUAAAUAUUUUAUCAGAAUCAUAUCAUUUAUGAAUGUAUAUGCAUAAAAUGCCAUGACACACUACAUGUGUAAUUAGAUGUAUGUAUAUAACUAGUGCAACAUACUUAUACAAAAUGCACUUAUAUAUUAUAUGCAUGACAAAAUAUGUUUACCUAAAAUGCAAUGCUUGUACUGUGCAAAUUUAAUGACAUUAAUACUACCAUUUAAAUGUGCAUAUAAUGAAAUGUAUGUAUAACCUUAUUAUUUUUAAAUAUGAAACAUGAUGAAAAUGAAUGAAAAAAAGAUCAAACGAAAUGCAAAGUGUGAAAUAACAUUCAAAAUAAAAAAUUUCCUUUUUUUCCAUUUUUUAUAAAAAGAAAUAAGAAUUUAAGAAAAUAUAUCCUAUAGAAAAAAAAGCAUAUAAAAUGACUAAGAUUUAAAGAUUUUUUUUCCCAUUUCUAUUUUUUAUUAAGAAAAAUCUUUUUCUUUUGAAAAAUUUUGCUUUUGUUUGUUGAAAAAUACAAAGAGAAUCCUUUUUCUUUUUAAAAGUAUGUUUUAAAGAUGCCAAUUUUGGACAAACAGUAGACAAAUUGAACUACAUGUCAAAAAAAAUUUCUUGAAAGAAUAUUUUUGUUUUUUUUUAUUUUUUCUCAAAAUUUUGGUUUUAUUUGUAUUAUUAUUACCUCUUAAAUACAAAUUGUACCAAAAUGUUUCUCAUGUGUCCUAAUUCGGUAAUUCAUACAAAAAGAUCUGUAUGGCUUUCCUAUCAUUGGUCCCCUGAGGUUUACUAUAUGCUGGGUCGAGAUUUAUACAUUUAAAGGUUCAUAAACUACUUUUUAUAUCAUCGUCCAUUAUAAACAAGUAAGGGACUCAACCUUCACCCAUUACAAGCUUUAAAUGGAAAUUGUUUAAUUUGAGUAGAAAUAUUUUACUAGCCAUUAUGAAGGUAUUUAUCUCACAAGAGCGUAUAUACUUCACUCCCCUUUAAAAGGGUAAAAGUUUGGGUAUAAAGCUCAUGUAUGCAAUGCACAUGUGAUCGUGUGAGAAGGAACAUGCCAACACUUUAUAACAUUAAAAUCCCUAUGCUAAAUGCCUAAACAUUUAUUAAGAAUAAUAUAUAAAAAAUAAUAAAAAAUAAAAUAAAUGAAACAAUCAAAAUACGAAUGCAAUGCAAAAUAUUUUUUAAGAAAAUCAAAAUUAAAGAAACCAAAGUUAAAUGACCAUUAAAUCAAACUUAAGAUAACAUAUAAUCAAUUUCUAACUCUCUAAAAAUAAUAACGUCUCUAUCAAAGUUGCCAAACUAUCAUAACGAUGUUUGAGACCACUAAAUGAAAUUUUUUUUAAAGUUCAAAACAAAGGGAAUCACUACAAAUCUUUUUUGGUUAGGUAUAAUUGGCUAUAUAAAAAACUUAUCUUUCUAAUAAAAUUUUUAAAUUAAUUAAAACUUAUUGAAAAGAUAAUUUUUUGUUUGGUUUGUUAAAAAAAAUUUUGGUUUAAGAGUUUAGUUAUGGGUGAGAAAGGAUUAACACCCAUGCAGUAUCUAUUUUAAAAAUGAUACCUAUUAAUCCCAUGUUAUCCUUUUGUUUUGAUAAAAGUGAUCUUAAUAUUAAUAUUUAAAAUAAUCCUUUUAUUUUUUUAUAUUUUACAAAAAUCAUUUUAAAACCUUUUAUUUAGGAAUAAAGAAAAGAAGACAGUGAUUUGGAUCAUAAAGAAAGAAACAUCCACGAGAAAAAUGGGAUGGAUUAUGUAUAUUUUAUUUAUUUAUUUAUUUUUGUAUUGAUGUUGUUUUGGGGUGUCAGUAAGAUAAGUGGUGACUUGGAGGUUGCGUGAGGAAUGACUUGAACCUGCAACAAGAAAAUAUGGUCAGGGGAUAUCAGAGUUGGAUUUUUAAGAUGUGUUUUGAUGCUUAAGUCAGUCAAGUGUUUAGGAUUUUUAUGAGGAAGAAGGUAUGCUAUCAAGAGUACUGAAGAAGCUUAAGGGAGAUGGGUUUGUUAGUUCUUAUCGUACCUAAGUCUAUUUUUUACCUUAUAUAUGAGAGGAAAGGGUGUGAAUUGACCAGCUUAGUGCACUAAAUACCAAUGCAAGAAAUCUUCUUGAAGCACCAAAGUGCACUAAACCCGCACCUUCAUAUCUAUUGUACUCAAAAUUUUAUUUUUAUAUCCUUUAAAACAGUUUUUAAAAACGUCUAUUAAUGAAGUUUUAGCAGCAACUCUUUCUGCUCCAAUCCAAAAUGCUGAACUGCCUGUACUUAAUUGUCGGUCGAUAGGUUUUCAUCCAGCAUCUGGGGUGACCAUUUUCUCUCAUAUGCCUCAAACAUUAUGGUAAUUUCAAUAAUGGAUUAAUCUUUGUAUAUACAGUUUAAUUACAUUCCAUAUAUAAAAGUACUUAAUUUUCAUUGUUUUCUCAUAUAGGAGGAAGAUCAUGAUAAGAAGGAAGAGCAUCAGAAGCUGAAGAAUGAAUUACAGAAGAUGCUAAUGACUGAUCAGGUUGAUAAACCUUUGGAAAUGCUUAAGUUGAUUGAUGCAAUCCAAGGCCUUGGAGUUUGUUAUCAUUUUGAAAAAGAGAUUAACCAAGUACCGCAUUUCGCCUACAAUGAUUGUGAUAUUGGGGUCAAUGAUGAGAACCUUUAUACCAUUUCUCUCAAAUUUCGUCUGCUUCGACAAAAUGGCUAUGGGAUGUCAUGUGGUAUGAAACUGAUCUUAAUACUUGCUUUUCUAUAUUUAUGGACAGAACUUGACAAUAUUUGUGAGCCAAUUUAAUUUAGGCUUAUUUUCAAGUUUGUGUGGUUAUAAAAAUAGAAAAGAGUUUUGAAAACUUACUAAUUUCAAAUACAAUAACCUUUCCAAUUUUAUAUAAUCAAGUGCUCCUAUCCCUUGCACCUGAUCUUGAUGAUUUUCCUGAAGCAGUUUGAGCAAAAGAGAGGACAUGUGGCUUCAGCCAUUGAAUGUUACAUGAAACAGCAUGAUGCAACAGAACUGGAAGCUGUCAAGGAAUUUCGUGAACAAAUUACUAAAGCUUGGAAAGAUAUAAAUGAAGAAUGUCUCCAUCCAACCAUUGUCUCCAUCUCACUCCUCACUCGGAUUCUAAAUCUUUCUCGUGUAAUCGAUGUUGUUUACAAGACUAAAGAUGGUUAUACUCAUACUGGAGUGAUCCUUAAAGACUUUGUACCCUCUUUGCUUAUUAAUCAUGCUCCUCCUUUAUGAGCAUUUUGUCAUUCUAGUACUUCAAUCACAAAUAUAGACCAAGUGCUGUUAAAUAAAUCUCUUCAAAAAUAAAAUUUCCAGUAUUAUCGAUAAUUUUCAAUAACAUAAUUAUACUGCCUAUAAAUGUUCAUAUUCUAUAAAACAAAUCAUGUAAUAUUCAUUUUUCCAUAUUUAGAUGAACUUUGUAAUUAUUUUUGUAGUGUUUGAAAUGGGGAAUUAAUCCUUUAAUUAGUAUUAACAAAAGCAUUGAGGAAUAAUUUUGCAGAUUUUUUUUGUCAUAUUACUUUCAACUUUUGAUAUUUAAGGAAUCCUACUAUUUUUUGGUCUCGAUUUUUUUGGACAAAAUCUGAUCCCCUACAUUUGUAAAAUUUUCUUUCCUAACUCCUCUUAGAUCUUAAUUUCCUGUGUAUAAAAAUAAAAAUAAAGUUAUCACAAAUAUUUAGGUUAGAAGAGUAUACUCGGCCAUUGGACUUUUAUUAAGUUUCAUCAACUACACACCCAAGGCUGUUGCUGCUAGCCCAGCCCAUUUUGUAACAAAGCAUGUCUUUUGCCAUAACCUAUCAUGUCAUUGGGAAGUUUUAUUUACAUCUAAUUUAUUAUUUUAUAUAUUUUAUUUUUAAAUACAUCUCAAUUUUAAAAUUUAAUUUUUUUAUUUUUACUAAAUAUAUUUCAUCUCUAAUUUUUUAUUUUUUAUUGUUAUCAUUUUUCUUUUCUUUUCUCUUCAUAUUUUGAAAUCGAACUUUUUGAAAAUAAAUAUAUGAAAAGUUUUGAAGAUUUUCGAAAAUAAAUAUAUAUUUUUUAGAUUUAUAAAAAAAAUUUUUAAGAUAUCUAAGCUAUUGAAAGUAUUUUUAUCAUUUAUUAAAAAAUUAAAAUUAAUAUUUUACUAUUUGAGUAUUUAAAAAAAAUUAUAGUAUAUUUAGGAGCCCCUGUCAUUUAUUUCUUUUUCUGAUCACAUGUCAAUUGCUUCAAAUAUUAAACUGAUUAUUAUGCGCCAAUGAAAGUCUGUUUCUAAUGACAAAGCAGAGACCUUAGAAUCUUUAAAUGUCAAAAUCAAAACACUGUGUACUCAUGAUAUUAUUUAUUUUUUUUAUUGAUUUCUUCUUGAAUGUAAUAGUAGUAUUAUAUGCAUUAAUAAAUACUUCAUUUGAUUGUAAUUUUGCAUGUAUAUGUAAUUUCAUUAAAAAAAAAACAAAAAACAUUAACAUAUGCCUGGUAUGGAUGGUAAUUGUGUGAAUUCAAUUAAAAAAGUUUCCCGUAGUUGAUUUUAUAUCUUAGUAUUAUAUUUAAUAAUGAUUUUAUUCUUGAUUUUUUUCUUUAUAUAUGUAGACAUCCUAUUUCGUUCAGAGAUUUUUUCAAAUUCAUUAGGUUUCAAAUUUUAAUUUUGAUUAUGCAAUUGGGUUUUAAUUAAAAAAUAAAUUUUUGACCCAAAGAUUAAAUCUUAAAUUUUAUUUGUAUUUUAAUUUUUUUAGUUUAAUUUUUGGUUUUAUUUUUAUUUUUUUAGUCAAAAAGCCAAAGUCAAUUAGUAAAAAAAAAAAGGAGUAAAAAAAUAAAAAAAAUGUGAGAUUUUAUAUGAAAAAUUUUGGAUUCAAUUCAACUCUUGGAUUCUAUCUCAGAUUUUAACUUUAAUGGUUAAAUAAUUUUGAAAAGAUUUAGGACUCAAUCUAUUGAAAAAUGAAAGAUUACAUGAAGAAUAAAAAUUGAAAAAAAAUCUUAGAUUGGGUUGAAUUAAUUUCUUCCAAAUCGAAAGAGAUUCAAUUUGUAUAAAGAUCUUGAAUCUAUAAUCAAAAGGAGAGGCCUCAUAGCAAUUGACUUCAAGAUCAAACAAAGGUCAUUGAAAAGAGAAAAAAUUUGGGCAAAGUUUUGAAUUAACAAGGAAGAAGCAAUCAAGCAAAAAAUUUUGCAAUAAGAUCCAGUUGGAGUUUUUGGAAAGGAAGCUACGAUUUAUAGUAGGAAGUAUCAAUUUUUGAAAGGUGAAAGUUGGAACUCAUCGAGGUAAUAUUUGCUUUCAUUUUUCCUUUUUUUUGUGAUUUUUGCAUAAGUUUUAUAAUAUUUAAUUACUUACUCUUAUUUUUAUAUUUAUUGCAUGGUAUUUAUUUUUGCAUGAAUUUGCAUGACUAAUAUUAUAUUUGCAUGAUAAUUUAUGCUCCUAAUAUAUUUGUUUGCAUGAUUAAUAUAUUUCUUUGGGUGAUUUAUUAACAUAUUUGCAUGAUUAUUAAUAUAUUUAUUUAUAUGAUUAUAUUUAAUUUGAUUGCAUGGUUGUUAAUAUAUUUAAUUGCUUGAUUAUUAAUAUAUUUAUUUGCAUGAUUAUAUAUUUAAUUGUAUGUUUAUUAGCAUGAUUAUAUAUUUAAUUGAAUAUUUUGCAUGGUUUAUAUAUUAUUAUUUACAUGAUUGCAUGAUUAUAUAUUUAAUUGCAUGUUUAUUUGCAUGAUUAUAUUUAAUUGCAUAAUUACUAAUAUAUUUGUGUGAUUAUAUUUGAUUUCAUAAUUAUAUAAAUGCAUGAAUGGCUAUUAAUAUAUUUGCAUAGUAUUUUAUAUUAUGGCAUGAUAAUUAAUAUAUUUUUGCAUGACAUUCUUGCAUGAAUAUUUUAGCAUGACCUAGCAUGAUAUUAUUACAUGAUAUUUGGUAUAAUUUAUAGUAUUAUAUUUGCAUGACAAUUUUUGCAUGGUAUGAUUUAAUAUUUAUUGCAUUAUUGCAUGAUUGCUUGAUAUUUUGAUAGAAUUUUUGUAUCACCAUUUUUGUAAAUAAAUAAAAGGAUUGGAAUUGAUUUAUUUGCAUGAUAAAACUAUCUUUGAUAAGGUUUAGGUAAGAUAACACAUAAUUAACUUGGGACUAGCUUUAGGCGUAAAGGGGUACUAAUACUUUCCCUGCACGUAAUCAACUCUUAAACCUUAGUUCUGUUGAUGUAGACCAAAAUCUAUUCUUUUUUAGGAAUCCGCAACUUAGGCUUAUGAUAACCAUAAAAAGGAUAAAUCCAUAUAGGUGGCUGAUCACAACUAGCUGAAAAAGAUUGAUGGUGAUUCAAUGAUUUUUAUGUCUAAUGGGUAGGUUUUCUCAACCUAUACGUUAUGACAGUUUGGCGACUCCAUUGGGGACAUUAGAGAUUCAAGCCAUUAGUUAGUUAUGUGUUAUAUUAAGCCUGACUUUGAUAGUUUUUAUUAUGUAAUUAUUUAUGAUUUUUAUGUAUACUAACCUAUUUGUUUAUGAUUUCUUAUUUGUUUGUUUUGCAAAUAUUAUUUUUUAUUCACACCUAUCUAUUUGAUUACUUAGCAUGUCCCUUUAUACAUAUCAUACUUGCAUUCAUGCAUAAGCUUUAUACCUAGGCUUUAUCUUUUAUUAAGAGGGAGUAAGCACCUGCACUCUCUUGAGGUGAUAACUUUUGUGUAAGCUAGCAAGAACUCCCAUUCAAAUUGAACCCUUUUCAUUGGAGCCUAUAUUGGUGGUCAAGGAUUUGGGUGCCUUACUAGUCUAUAAUAGAUGACAAUGUGGGGAACAGUUUAGAAGCCUUUAGAUUGUCAAGCCUUUAAACCUAGUUUGUACAUAAACCCUAAAGAUUCAAACCUAGGCUAAAGCCCUUCUCUCCCUUUAAUUGGAGAAAAAAAAACCCUAAAUAGGACACUUAAUGGGACAAUUAUUAUUCUUGUAAAUUUAUGUUAUUCCUUGUAUAUAUUUUUGCAUACUAACCUUUAUAAGUUGUUAUUCUUUGUAUAUAUUAUAAUAUGAUUACUAACCUUUUUUUCUCUUUCUACUUUAUUGUGCAUGCAUGCAUUAUUGAGAUUUAUAGAAAGAGUAAUUGCUACAUAAUAAUCUUAACAAAAAAAAAUCUUAAUUACAUUUAUAGAGAGCCUAUCAAAGUUCCCUAUGUGCCUGAGAAUGAAGUUCGAGGAAGCUCAGCUUAAAGGAGAUGAUUUUUGGUCAGUCAAUUAUGUAACUACUCUGCUCGUUAAAAUCCAUCUCAAUCUCAAAUGAAAUUAUUUUAGCGAUUUGGUUGAUAUUUAAACCAAUAGAGUGUCACUAUUAAAAAGACUUUCUAAAAGAAGUUUGGGAACCUUGCAUUGCUUCUUUCAGUCCCUAUUGAUGAUCAACUUAUUAGGGCCAUGGUUUAGUUUUGAGACCCUUCAUAUCAUUGCUUUGUGUUCACUGAGGUUGACAUGGUGCCAAUGAUUGAAGAAUAUUUAACUCUUCUUCGCGUGAAUCUCCCUAAUCCUACUAAGGUAUAUUGGAAAAAUAAAAAGAUUGAUUAUUGAAAAAGCUUGCUCAAAUGAUGUCAUAGAUAUCCAAACUGUUGAUAAUUAGGUAAAGGGAAAAAGUGAAAGUGUUGGUAUUCCUUAGUCCAUUUUUCGUGACUUUAUAUACAAAUAUUUUGACACUGAAACAGGAAUGGAGUUGAUGGCAUUGGCUCUAAAUAAGAUGAUGGUAUUUUCAAAAGUAAUUGACUAUAUUGAUGUUGCAAUGGUAGAUUUCUUUGAUCAACUUGGUUACAAAAUCAACCUUAUUCCUAUAAUUUUGGCUGAGACUAUUAGAUCUUUAAAUCAUUGUCAUCAAAAUGGAUAAGGGUGUUUUACUGAAUGCAUUUAAUUGUUAACCAUUUGGAUGAAAAGUCAUAUAAAAAAUAAUGGUGAUAAAUUUUGCAAGCCAUAUUUCACUAUAAGCAAAACCCAUUAAAGAAUUUUAUGAAAAUGAAUGGCCUACACCAAAAUCCAAGGAAACAUGGAUCUUAUUUCUACGUAAGCUCACUAGCCAAGAUGUGAUAUGGAGAGCUCUUUGGAUGCCUUAUUGACCAAUGUUAUAUGGUUGUGAAGAUAAGCUUUGAGUUUCUCUCUUAGGCUUUUGGGGUGCAGUGAGUUAUUCCCCCUUCAUGGUGCAAAGACAAUAUAGUUAUGAAUAGUCUAUCCUAGCCAUUUUCAGACUUAAUAAAAUGGAGUUCUCAUAUGUUGAAACUGAUGCUUCUAUAAAGAUAACCAAAAUCCUAAAAGCUUAGAAUUUGCCUCAAAGAGACGAUAGAAGGAGACGUUCAAAUGAGGUUACCCCUAAAUAUUUUAUAUGGCACAUUAGGUGAGCUAAAGACAUCAAAAUCCUUGAAGAAGUAACUCUAAAUGGCCUAAUGAAAUCACCACUUCUUGAGCUUUUAUUGGUAGUGGAAAUUGGUAAAAGAAAGCUCUAAGUUGAAAAGGAUGAAUUGCAGUUUAAAAAUAAAAGGCAAAAAAGGGAGUUAAAGGGAAAAAUGUACAAAAAGGUUCAAUUCAAAUAAGAAAGGGAUGAAUGGAAGAAUCUUUUUUCUAUCUCAACAUACAUAGUCAUCCACCAAUCAUUAGUUAGCCUAACUUUUGAAAGAAAAUGGACACUUAUAAGCAAAGAUGCAAAGAAAAGAUAAAGCAUUUAAGAAGCAUAAAAGCACAUCCAAAUGCUCAAUGGGUGGUUGGUCAAAAUUAGAAUACAAAUGAGUGUUGUGAAUGAAGAAUGUGAAUAAGCCUAGGGAAGUAUAUAUGAGAAAGCAUAACCAAUUAGAAUGCUUACUUGACCAAAUCACUAUAGCUAUCUAUAAAUCCAAGGACAUGGUAAAAAAAGUUGAAGAAUGUAAGAUAAAGGUACCACUAGUGGGUACACAUACUGCUAGCUUUCCUUAAUGAAGUACAAGACCAAUAUUGACAAAUUAGGGAUUUUUUUUCCACAAUAAACUUUAGACUUUUUAUGGAUAUUCAAUAAAGAUUUUUUUUGUUAACAAUUAUUAUGUAAUAAAUUCUCUUUAUUGCAUCAUACAUAAACAUCUUUCCAAAGUGCACGAUAAUAAGUUAUCCUAAUUCUUAAAAAUUAUGAAAAAUCAAAGUUCAAGAAUAGCUCAAUCUUCAAACAAUUUGAGGCAUUAAAAUACUAGAUAUCAAGCAAGAAUCAUGGAAGAAAACAUUUUUCACCUCCAAAAGUUAGAGAAAACAUAAGAAGAACUGAAAGAGUAGUUGGAAACUAUUACCAAAUUAUUGAAAAACAUGAGUAAAGGAAAGAAAAUGGUGGAAGAAGUGAUGAUACAAAAUGAGAUUGAUUUACUCUACCCUCAUGGCUUUGACCCAUAUUCAGCACUUGCAUCUCAAAAGGCUCAGCACUAAAUGACAUUCACUGCAAGUUAUCCUUAUGUGCAAAUUGACAUGCCAACAACUACUGUUUAUGUUCUCGUUUCCUCUAUUCUUGAUAUCAAAACAUUUGAUCCUACACAAGUUUUAAAUCUUGAUCAUAUCAAAGAACAAGAAAAGUUAAAGAUAGGCUCUAUUAAAACUAAAGAAAGCUCUAGUUCUCGAAAGAUAGAUUCAUAGAAGAGAGACUUAAAGCCAUUGAAGGAACAGAUUUUUAUGGGUCAAUAGAUGCUAUUGGAUUAUGCCUGGUUCUUGAUGUCAUGAUUCCACCAAAGUUUAAAGUGCCCAAGUUCGAAAAGUAUGAUAGGACCAAAUACCCUAUCACAUAUAUUACAAUAUAUUGUCAUAAGAUAGCUGUAUACAUUCAUAAUAAAAAGUUCCUCAUCUAUGUUUUUCAAGACAAUCUUACUAGUUCAACUACUAGGUGGUAUGUGAAACUAGAUAGAUUUCACAUUCAUAAAUGAAAAGAACUUGCAAGAGCUUUCAUUGCACAAUACAACCACAUUAUAGAUUUGGCACCAGAUCACAUAUUUUUACAAAGCAUGCAAAAGAAAGAUAUUGAAAGUUUUAAAGAAUAUGCCCAGAGAUUGAGGGAUAUUGCUACCUAAGUUCAACCACUACUCAUUGAAAAGAAGAUCACAAUCUUAUUUGUCAAUACUCUCAAAACUCCUUACUAUGAAAGGAUAAUUGGAAAUACCACUAAAAAUUUUAAUGAUAUAGUAAUUCCUAGAGAGAUCAUCGAAAAUGCCAUUAAGAAUAAAAAGUUUAAAGUGGGUGAUACAAGAAAAGGGUUUGUACUAAAAAAGAAAGAGGGUAGAUGGCUCAAGCUAUAAUUCAUGAAGAGUAACAAGUGAGGAGGCUUCACCUCAUAUUCUUUUUACCUGAUGUACCCAAUCAUCAAUAAUAUUUCGCAAGUCCCUUUGUUCAUCAACCCUAUAUAGUCACCCAACUCCUUGGUCAAUUGCUCGACCCUAAGAUCGGGUGAAAAGAGAAAAGCUCUAUAGUUCAAUUCCUAUGACAUACACUACGCUGCUCCCUCAACUCAUGAGAACUAUUUGUCACACCAAUUUAUUUGAAACUUUAAAGCCUCUUUAUCUCAAGUGGUAUGAUUACUAAUGCUACUUGUGACUAUCAUCCUAGGAUUAUUGAUCAUUUAUAAAAAAUUACACAACAUUGAAGUAUAAAAUACAAAGUUUGGUAAAAUGAAUUGGUGAAUUUUGAUCAAGAAACAGGACAUGUGUCAUUAAUGACCUUUAACCACACUAGGGGAUAAUUUUGAAUGAGUUUUUAUAAAUGUUUGUUACCUUAUAAACUUUAAGAAAUAAUGUAUGUUUGGAACAUUCAAGUUUUUUAUGUUAAUCUUUUAUUUAUCUUUCAUCAUUUUAAUAAAAUAACGUAUGUAUUUUCAUUACAAUUUCCCAUUUGUUCCAUUGCUUUUAUAUACAUUUUUUUCACAUUUAACCCACUCCUAUGUUUUAAAUAAUGAAUGUUUAAACAAUUAUGACAAUAAUUCAUGAUUUAAUUUUGAAAGUAUCAUUUAGAUUAAUGAAAUUGAUAAGUUAAGACUCUUAAUCUAUUGGGAUUAUUGAAGUUAAAGAGGACAUGUUUCAUGAAAUGAAACUAGUAUGAGAUUUCACUCAUUCAUAGAGAGAAGUGAGGUAGUGUAUAAUUUUUUUUUUUUAUGAUGGUUCGCUCACAAGUUUGCUCUUAGUUAAUAAAUAUUUUUUAUUGAAAAUAUUCAUAUUUGAAAUGAAAAAUGGCUAUCUUUCUUCUACCCUUUACAAAAAUAGUAAAAUUAUCAAUUUACUAUCCCAUUUAAACCUAUUGAAUUUUUUUUGAAAGAAACUCUAACCAAGGAUCAUCCUCUACAUUAAAGGUAAAGUUUGAAAAAUGCUUGAUCAUAAAGAGAAAAACAAAGAAAAAAUAAAAGUAAAGGUCCCUAAUGACUUUAAGGGCAAAAAAAAAAAAACCUCUUUGGUGCUCAGAUCCUUUCUUAAAAAAGGAUGAAAAGUGCAAAUCGAAAAAAUGUGAAACAAAGAAAGAAAAAGAAAAAAAAAGAGAAUUAAUGAAAAAUGGGGUAAAAAAUCAAGUUGCUCCAUAUUAUAAUAAAUUAUCCUUUGGUUUAUAACCUUUCGAAUUAAUUUUAAGCCUACUGUAUCCAUUUUUUUCAUAACCCAUUACCUUAGCCUACGUUACAUCAUUUAAAAGUCCAUUUUGAUUGAAUGUGAAUGCCUAAAGUGAAGAAUUAUGAAUUAGACUAAGACAAACUUGUAAUGGGAAUGUUGAGAAUUUGAUCAAAAUGUCACUAAUAGAUUAAGGGAAAAUGGAAAAUAAGAGAGAAAGGAUGUGAAAAAGUUGUGCAAAAAAAAGCAAAAAAGUAAAACAAAAAAAAAGAGAAAAAGAAAACAAAAUGAAGACUUAAUCUGAAAACCCGAAAGGAUGGUUUAAGUAACAAAAAGAAAACUUGAAAAAUAGCCUUGAUGGGGAUUCCCAAAAAAUAAGGAUAAUGCUUGAACUGAAGAAAGAUAAAAAAACAUCGAUAGAAUAAGCUUUUGAAAAAAAAUUGAAUUAAUUUGUCUAGAAUUAUUUGAAUAUUCAUUAUCUUAGAUUUUGCAUACCCUUCCCAGUAUUUAUCUUAAUGAUUCAUUCUGAAAUGAUUUUUUUACCUAUUUAUUCUUAUUAGACUUGUUCUUAUAAUGAAUACCUUUUUCUUUGAUUUUUCUUGUUCUUUACCAUUUAUUUCUUUCCUUGAUGAAUUAAAAAAAUGUGAUUGAUUACAUUUGGCAUUGAAUUGAAAUGAUGAUAAAUGAAUAAAUAACUGUUAUGAAAGAUCAUUGCAUUAUUUGAAAUGACUGAGGCAUAUUGAAAAUGAAAUGUGAAAGAUGAAAAAGUUUUAAAAUGAUGUUGAUCUUUAUGGCUUACAAAUGAAAAAAAAAAACAUUUCAAAUGUUGAGAUCAAAUGAUGAAGCUAAUAAAGAGGAAUUUUGGAUCACAAAUCAAUUGAUAGAUUUGUUGGCUAGCCAAUUCCAAAAGUGUUGAAGAAAAACAUGAUGAAAAGUUGAAAAGAAGAUAUGAAGAAGAGCCUUUAGAUACCAUUGAAAGAAAAAAACUUUGGAUUUGAACGAUAUAAUGGAUGAAACUACUUGACGAUGCAUGAUAGCUCAUGUUGAAAAUUAUAAGUGUUGAUGGGUUAAAAGAAGUAAGAAGAUAAAUUAAGAGUUUUAAAAACUUUUUGAUUUAUCACAAUUAAAAAGAUGAUUGAAUUACAUAGCAUACAUUGCAUUCACCACAUGCAUUAUAUGUAUGCAUCAUACUGAGAAUAUUGCAUUCAUACAUGGCAUUCAUCAUGCAUAUUUUAAAAAAAGAAAAAAAAAGUUUAAAGUUUGAAAUUGGGUUGGAAUUUUGCAUUCAUUGCAUUCAUGCAUUGUAUUCACUGCAUUUAAUAUAUAUUGCAUAUACCAUUAGAUUUAUUGCACUCAUGCAUUGCAUGUUUGGAGAAGAAAGAUCAAAGUUUAAGUUGUGAAAUUAGAAUUAAAUUUUGAAAAAUCUUUGGCUCAUGCAUUCAUUGUAUGCAUACAUUGAGUUCACCAUAUUCGUCCCAUGCCUCAUGCAUGUUUGAAAGGAAGAAAAAUUAAAGUUUGAAUCUUGAAAAUGAUUUUGAAAAUUAUGGAGAAUCUUUUCAUUCAUUGCAUGCAUUCGUUGCAUAUGUUUGAAAAGCAAGAAGGAAAAAUUAGAUGAGAAAAUAAUUUUGAGAAGAGACAUUGAAAGGCAAUCAAUGAUAAUUGAGAUGUAGAAACUCAAUUUAAGGUAAGAUUUUUUUAAGUUUCAAUACCUCUAUUGAGGAAGAACUUUUUUGAAGGUAAAAUAAUAUUAUUUAUUCAAAGUUCAAAGCCUCAGUUGUGAUGGACCAUUUAAUUUCAAAAGUCAAAGGCCUAUUUUUCAAAAAAUUUCAAAACCCUUAGUUGUAGAAAAGAUUUUACUUUUCCAAAAUUUAAAGCCUUCAGUUGUGGGGAGCAUUUUAUUUCAAAUUCAAGCCUCAAGUUGUGGCGAGAGUAUUUUAUUUUAAAAGCUUUUUCAAAUCCUCUAGUUGUUCGGAAUAUUUCAAAAGUUCAAAAGCCUCAGUUGAUGAGGGAACAUUUAUUUUCAAAGUUUCAAAAGCCUCGAAUUGUGGAGAGCAUUACUUUUUAAAGUUUUCAGCCUUAGUUGUGAUGAUAAAGCAAUUAUUUUUCAAAAAAAAGGGGAAAGCAUUUUUUUUUUCAAAAGUUUCAUAACCUUAAUUGUAAGGGAGCAUUUUAUUUUCAAAAGUUUCAAAGCCUCAGUUGUGGGGGAACAUUUUUUUUUUCAAAGUUUCAAAACCUCAAUUGUAGAGGAGUAUUUUAUUUUCAAAAGUCUCAAAGCCUCAGUUGUGGGGGAGCAUUUCUUUUUUAAAAAAAGCUUCAAACCUCUGAGGAGGAACCUUUGCAAUUUUCUUUUUUGAUUUUUCUUAACCCGAACAAAAUGGAUGUCUUUUAUCUUUAUAGAAUUCUUGUUCCACAAAAAAUGUACAAAGAAGAAUAACUGUAGAUACCCUAUUUUGUUCAGGGAUUUUUUGAAAUUUAUUGGCCUUCAAAUUUUAAUUUUGAUUGUGCAAUUGAGGCUUAAUUGAAAAAGUGAAUUUUGGACCCUAAGAUUAAGCCAUAAAUUUUAUUUGUGUUUUAAAUCUUUUUAGUUUUUUGUUUAAUUUUUGUUUUUUAGUCAAAAGAGUCAAAGUCAAUUGGUAAAAAAAAGGGUAAAAAAUAAAAUAUAUGGGAUUUUGCAUGGAAAAUCUUGGAUUCAAUUCAACUUUUGGAUUCUAUCUCAUAUUUAAACUUUUAUAGUUGAAUAAUUUCGAAAAGACUUAGAGCUCAAUCUAUUGAAAAAUGAAAUAUUACACAAAGAAUAAAAUUUGGAGAGAAAUCCUAGAUUCAAUUGAAGUAAUUUCCUUUUAAAUCGAAAGGGAUUUAAUCAUUUUAUAAGGACUUUGCAUCUGUGAUCAAAAAGGGAGUCCUCACAGUAAUUCAUUUCAAAAUCAAAUAGAGAUCAUUGAAAAGAGAGAAAAUUUGAGCAAAGUUUUCAAUCAACAAAGAAGAAGUAAUCAAGCAAAAAAAUUUGCAAUAUGAUCUGAUUGGAGUUUUUGGAAGGAAGGCUAAGAUUUAUUGUAGGAAGUAUCAAUUUUUGAAAGAUGAAAAAUUGUUGGAACUCAUUGAGGCAAUGUUUGCUUUCAUUCUUUUUUUUGUGAUUUUUGUAUAACUUUUAUAAUAUUUAAUUGCUUACUCUUAUUUUUUUUAUUUAUUGCAUGGUAUUUAUUUUUGCAUGAAUUUGCAUGAGUAAUAUUAUAUUUGCAUGAUAAUUUAUUUGCCUAAUAUAUUUGUUUACAUGAUUAAUAUAUUUAUUUGUGUGAUUUAUUAAUAUAUUUGUAUGAUUAUUCGUAUAUUUAUUUGAGUCAUUAUAUUUAAUUUGAUUGCAUGAUUAUUAAUAUAUUUAAUUGCUCGAUUAUUAAUAUAUUUAUUUGCACGAUUAUACAUUUAAUUGCAUGACUAUGUUUGAUUGUAUAAUUACUAAUAUAUUUGUGUGAUUAUAUUUGAUUUCAUGAUUAUAUAUAUGCAUGAAUGGUUGUUAAUAUAUUUGCAUGGUAUUUUAUAUUAUUGCAUGAUAAUUAAUAUAUUUGCAUGAUAUAUAUAUUUACAUGAUUAUUAUUCUUACAUGAUAAUUAAUAUAUUUGCAUGAUAUUAUUGCAUGAAUAUUUUAGCAUGAUCUAGGCAUGAUAUUAUUGCAUGAUAUUUGGUAUGAUUUAUAGUAUUAUAUUUGCAUGAUAAUUUUACAUGGUAUGAUUUAAUAUUUAUUGCAUUAUUGUAUGAUUGUUUGAUAUUUUGAUAGAAUUUUUGUAUCACCAUGUUUUGUAAAUAAAUAAAAGAAUUGAAAUUAAUUUAUUUGCAUGAUAAAAUUAUCUUUGAUAAGGCUUAGGUAAGAUAACACAUAAUUAACUUGAUAUUAAUUUUGACUAGAUGCUACUACUUUUUCUAUAUGUAACCAAUUUUCAAACUUUCAUUCUGUUGAUAUAGAUCAGAAUCUAUUUUUUUUAGAGACCCUCAGCUUAAGCUUAGGAUAAUUAUAAAAAAGAUAGACUCACAUAAGUGACCAAUCACACUUAACUAAAAAAAGUUAAUAACAACUUCAUAAUUUUUAUAUUUAAUGUCUAAAUUUUCUUAACUUAAAUGUUAUGACAAUACAUAUCCUUUUUAUUCCCUUCGAGGCGUUAAAUUUUUUGGUGGGUUAAGUAAUUGCAAAUGUUAGUAUUAGCAUUACUAGAGUGUCUUUUUUUUUUUUUUAAUUUUUAUGGCCACCUGAUUUCCACAUACGGUGGUUUGAUGAUUGAAAUUUGAAAGUUCAAUUAUUAGUUAGAAUUGUUCUGAAAAGAUUUCCAAGAAUAUGGGGUUUUAAAAUGUGUAGAAGCUAGGUUCUUAACUUUUUGCUUUCUCUUAUUUGUACCACAAAAGCCAAGAAAAGAUGUCAUUCUUUUCUUUUUCGGGUCACAUAUCAAUUGUUUCAAACAUUAAACUAAUUAUUAUGCGCUAAUAAAAGUCUGUUUCUAAUAACAAAGUAGAGGCCUCAGAAUUUUUAAAUGUCAAAAUCAAAUCAUUGUAUACUGAUGACAUAUUUAAUUUGUUUAUUGAUUUCAUCUUGAAUGUAAUAGUAGUAUUAUAUCUAUUAAGAAAUACCUCAUUUCAUUGUAAUUUUUGCAUGUAUAUGUAAUUUCAUGAAAAAAAAAAAAACAUAUGCUGGUAUGGUAAAAUUUUGUGAAGAAAAAUGCAUCUUAUUCUUCAUUUUUAUAUUUAAAAUAUUUUUUGGGUCAAAAGGUUUUAAAUAAUUCUUUUAUAAAAAUUAAAUAAGAUUAUUUAUGAUAUUUUUAGUAAAAAUAUCAUAAAUAAUCUUAUUUAAUUUUUUAUAAAAAAUUAUUCAAAGUACUUCUGAUCAAAAUAUUUUAAAUAAUCUAAAAAAAAUGACAGUUUAUUAUUCAAGGUGUUUUUUAUUUAAUUUGAUAAAAAAAUAGUUGUAAAAGAUCUCGAUCUUGAGUUUGAGUAUAAAUAAUCAAGUUUUUAUUAAGUAAGAAUCGAAUUUAUUUUUAUAUAUAAAUCAAACCUAAUCGAACGAGCUUGAAUAGCUCAAUUUCUAUCACGAAUUGAGCUCGAACUAAAAAAAUAAAAUUCGAUCAAGUUUGAGUCGAGUAUCAAGUCGUGAGUUAAGAGUUGAGCUUGAGCUCGAGCUUUUCACUGUAUCAUCUCAAUUCAGUUCACUUACACCUCUAGUCACAAAUAAAAAUUUAAAUUGAUGAUAAAAUUAUAACAUCGCAUAAGAAAAAAAAUGUCAUAAAAAAUUUUCCAUCAAAUAAAUUUGGCAGUAAAAGUUUAUGACAUUUAUGCUAUCAUCAUAUAAUACCAUAAAUUGACGUAACAAAAUUGUAAUAUUAUUAAUAGUUAACUAAAGUAUUCAAUCUGAGAUAAAAAUUAAUAACGUCACCUAAAAUCUAUUAGAAAAUAUUCGUCAUAAAUAAAAUUUUAAAUUAGUGAUAUAUUUAUAACAUCACUUAAAAUAAAAUAAUGUCGCAAAAAAUUUUUUCACUAAAUAAAUUUGAUAGUAAAAGUUUGUGAUAUAAUACCAUAAAAUAAAAGUGACAAAAUUGCAAUGUUAUAAUAGUUAACUAAAGUGUUACAUUUAUGACAAAAAUUGAUAAUGUCACCUAAAAUCUAUUAGAAAAAAUCGUCACAGAUAAAAUUUUAAAUUAGUAACAAAAUUUAAAUGCCACAUUAAGUAAAAAAAUGUCAUAAAAAAAUUUUUCAUCAAAUUUAAGUUUGUAACAUUCAUAUUAUCGUCAUAUAACACUAUACAUUAAUGUGACAAAUUACAAUGUCAUUAAUAGUUAACAAAAGUAUAUAAUUUGUGUCAAAAAUUAAUAAUGUCACCUAAAAUAUAUUAAAAAAAUUUAUCAUAUAUAAAAUUUUAAAUUGGUGAUGAAAUUAUAACUUCACCUAAAAUAAAAAAAACAUCACAAGAAUAUUUUUCAUCAAAUAAAUUUAGCAAUAAAAUUUAACGGUAAGAUUUUGAUGAUAUUAUCAUGUGACGAUUUUAUAUAUUAUCAUAUAAAAUAUCAAAAUAAUAUAAAAAUAUGAUGAAAUAUAUUUUUCGUCAUCUUUUACGUACUUUACAUGAUAAAAUAUAAUGCAUCACUUAAAAAAAGUGUCACAUAUUAUCAAAUUUAUUGUAGUGUGUGUAUGUACUUGUUAAAACAUUAAAGAUUUAAUAAAAAUUGAUAAAUCAUGUUCCACUAUUGAAACCAUGAUUAAUAUGAAUAAGCUUUAAAAUAUAAUUUAUUAUAAUAAAAGUUUCAUUUAAAUUUUCACUUCUAGGUACAUUCAUACACAAAAAGAAUUAGUAUUAGAGGUUUAUUGUCAAACUAAUAAAACUCAUGGCUAUCUAAAUGUAUUCAUUUAUUUAUUUAGAUUUCGUCCUCAAAGCAAUUUUUUUUGUUAAAGCAACUUUAUUUAGUUACUAGACAUAAUUCCUUUAAUUUUUUUUCUUAUCACCGAUCCCUUAAAACAUGAGCUUUUUGUGAUAUUAUAUAUUUUAGAGAGUACAUACAUAAACAAAAGAUAAAGUAAAAAAUUUUUAUUAUUUCUUUGAUUUAAUAUUUUUAAAAAUAAUUUAUUCUCCAUUUAUUUUUAUGUAAUGUUAUAUUUCCACACAAUAUAUACAAAUAAUAAAUGUUUUUAUCUUUUUUAAGUAUAAAUUAGUUUAAAUAAAAAAUCAUAAUAUGAAAAGUCAUCAUAUUCAAUAUUUGCAAGUAUUAAUUUUUUUAAUAUAUUAAUUAAAAAAUAAAAUACGAAGAGUUGGCAUAUUUAUCUACAUAUAAUUUGAUUCUAAGCAAUAAGUAUGCUUAUUAGUGAUCUAUGUAUUACAUGUUAAGUUGUUAAUUCAUUAUUUAUUUGAAACAAAAAGUAAAAUUUGAAAUGUUAGAAUAUUAAUUUUCAUAUUUUUAUAUUUUAGUAAUUAAUGAUUUAAAACUAAAUAUUUAAAAAGAGAAAUAUAUAUAAAUCAACCUUUCAAACUUUUAUAAUUUUCUAUCACCAAAACAAAUUAAAAUGAUAGAGAAAGGAAAGUCUAUAAAAUAUUAUCAUAUUAAUUUCAUAUUUUCAUAAUCAAUUUAUUUUUAAAAACUUUCCAUAUUCAUCUAAUCAUUGAAUUUAAGAAAAAUGACAUAGAUACAAAAGUCACAAAAAAUAUUAUAUUAAUUUUAAUAGAGGAAUCAAAUAAUCUAAUUGUUAAAUUAAUUUGUUUUGCACCUUUUAUAACAUUUUAUACACAAUAAAUAUUUUUAUAAAUUGACUAUUAGAUUUAACAACCUACUUGUACAUAAUUUUUCACGUAAAGUUUCAAAUCUAUACUAUAUUCCUAUCAUUUUGAUCGAGAAUAUUAUUGCUUUUAAUAUAUACCAAUGAUUAAAGUUUUAUUAUUAUCACAUAAAUAGUUAUAUAUUUGAAAUAUGUUUGAAAUUUGGUAUGUAUGAUUUACUUGAAUAGAAUAUAAAAUUCAUUGGUUAAAUUAACAAAUAUAAAUCAUAUAGAAAGAUACGAGACGGUGUAAAACUAAAUUAGUUUUACACUUGUCUAAAUAAAUCCCUAUAAUUUUCAUUUUCAUAUUUAAUUAUUUAAUGAUUUAAAAAAAUCUUUGAAAAAAAAGAAAUAUAAAUUAACCUUAUUUAAAAAUUUUUCAUAUGCCAAUAAUCACUUAAAAUUAAUUAAUAUUAGAGAGAUUAAAAGCCACAAAUCAUCAUUAUAUAAAUUUCAAUCUAUACAUAUUUCAUAAAUUAAUGAUUUGAAAAUAAAUCUUAAAAUAUAUAUAUAGAUAAAUUUUACUGAUUUUUAGUUUUAUUUCUUUUGUAGAUUUCAUGAUUUCAUUUGUCUUUCAUAAUAAUGUUUUUUCUUCAAAAUGGUUGUUUUGUUAAAUUUGUUGGUUUAUUUCUUUUUUUAAAUUUUUUUAUUUUAUUAAAGUAAUAUAAAUAGAUUAUUUUUAAGGAAAAUUUUUUAAAAUUUAAAAAAUUUAUAUAUAUAUGUGUAUAUAUAUAUAUAUGUAUACAUAUAUAUUUAUGUACGUAUAUUAUUUAAAUAUUUUAAAAAUAAAAAGAUUAAUCAUGUAAAGUACGAGUCCAAAACCUAAUGAAGUAAAAAAGAUUUGAUUCUUAUUCUUUCUUAAUUAUAAUAUCAAUUAAUUUAAAUGUAACCAUAAUAUAGAAUUUAAUGGAGGGAACUUAAAAAGUAACAAAGAAGGAAUCUUUGUUGCAGUUAUUACCUGUGUGGCACCAAAAGUGAGGAGGACAGCAUGCAUGGGUCGGGAUGGUAGCGGAUUCGGUCAAAUUUUUACUCGUUUUGAAUUUAAUAUAAUUUAAUAUUUAUAAUAUCGAAUUUGAUUUAAUUAAUUAUUAUUUUUUUAAUAUUUAAAUUUAAUAUGAUUUAAUAAUUUUUUAUUUUUUAAAUAUUUAAAUUUAAUUUAAUAUUAUAUAAAAUUAUAUUCGAUUAUAAAUUUAAUUAAAAAAAAAACAAUCCUAAAAAAAUGCGUUAGGUUGGAACCUACUAGGAAUGGGUUAAACUAUCAUUCCUAUCUAUGGGUGAUAAUUUGGAUCGAUUUUAAAAAAUUAAAAAUUGAUUUAAUUAAUUUUUUUAAAGAAUCCAUUGUUUUAUUUUUAACAAGCAAAAAUAAUGGAAUUGAAAUAAGAUGGCUUUAAAUUUUGAUUUAUUUUACUUUUUAAAUUUCAAACUAAAGAAUUUAAUAAAAAAAUAGGCUUGUAAAAAAUUAAUGAUUUAUUUUAAUUUUAUAUUUUUUAGUUUUAAUUGUUACUUUUUAUUUUAUUUUAGUUUUAAAUUAAUUUUUUGAUAAAAUGAUAAGACAAAAUUUACUUUUUUAUUAUCAAUUUUUAUAAUAAUAUAAUUUUGAUUAAAUUGUUAUUUUAUAAUUUCUAAAUUGACCUAAAUAAUAUAAUUUAAAUAUCAAAUUACUAAUUAACAAAAACAAAUAAUGUCAAUAUUCGUUUUCUUCUCUUAAGUUUUCAUAACUUGAUAUAUUUGUUUUCUCUAUUUUAUACGUUCUCUUAAAAAAAAAAAUAGUGAAGUCUUUUAUUUUAUUUAUUAUUAAUAUUUUUUUAUAUGGAGACGAGUGAGCUAGGACAAAUUUGAAUUGUUCAACUCAAUUAUUCAAAAAUAAAUGUCAGUUCAACCAGACAUUAUUAUUACACGUACUUCUGUAGGUCCUGUUAUAAAAGUAAAACGAUUCCCAAAACAACUGGUUAGAAGAAGGAGACCCAACUAAAAUUAAGCUUCACCGACAAACGGACGGAUCGGUUUACGUAAGCAAACUAGUUUAAGUCUCAGUCAAUUAAACCUAACCAGAAAAUGCUGAUUCAUAAAGAAUACAUUUUUUUUUAGAAGAGAACCAAGAACAGUCAAUUUAUAUGCCAAUAUUAUUGCAUAAAAAAUUUUCCUCCAACUCUCUUAGAAAGGGAAAAUAAUGUUUAAAGAAAGUGAAAUCUGCUUAUUUGAUAACAAAUUUUUUUAAAAUGUUAAAAUUAAUAAAAUAAUAUAAUUUAAAUAUCAAAUAACUAAUUAGCCCAAAAUAGCGUGUGUCCAUAUUGGUUUUGUUGUUUAAAGUGUUCUUAUUCUUUGUUCCAUUUUAUAGGGUUCUCUUGAAAAAUGAAUUACUAGAAAUGGUAACAAUUUUGACUGGAUUAGAAUUGAUCUGAUUUUUUUUAAGGUAAUAUAUAAAAUUAGAAUUUUUUAAAAUUUGAUUUGAAUUCAAUUAAAAUUUUAAUUGUUUAAUUUGAUUUAUUAUUAUUAUUAUUUAAUUUUUAAAUUUUUCAUAUAUUAUUUUAAUAUGAUUUGUAAAAUAUUUAAAUAAAUUUAAAUAUAAAAUAAUUAUUUUAUUUUAUAAAAAUUUAAAAUAUAUAAAAAUUAAUAAAAAUUUAUAAUUGAGGUCAAAUUUUUUUAAUUUUUAUGUUUUAUUCAAAAUUCAACACAAAUCUAAUAUAUAUGUAAUAUCUAAAUUAAAUUAAAAUUAAAUAAAAAUAUCCAAAUCAAAUUAAAUAUUAUAAUUUUAAAUUAAUUUUUUUUCAACCCUACCAGUGAGUCAGGACAAAUUCAAGCUGUUCAACUCAAUUAUUAAAAACAAUGAGUUAGUACUACUGUGUAAGUUCUAAAGGCAAAAGAUUCCCAAAAUCUUUUGACAUAUCAUUCCAUAAAAAUGGUACGUGAUUAUAUGGUGAAAAAUUUUGAACAUUUUUAGCAAUUAUUUUUAAAAUGAUUUUAUUGGUAAUAAAAAUGUAAAAAUUAAAUCCAUUAUAAUUAAGAUACCAAAGGUCACCUCAUUAUUUUAGGUUAGUUUAGUUCGAUAAUGGGAUGCCAAUUUGAAGAUACAAUAGUCAUCGUGAUUUUUUCUCCUUCGAUUUUAUUUGUAUGUUUCUUAUUGAUUUUUUGGUUAAAUAAAUUUAAUUUUAAAAUUUUUUUUAAAAACAUUAUAUUCAAUCAAAGUUUUUUUAAAUAUAUUUUAAAAAUUUUGAAACUCAAAUUUAUAAUUUUUAAUAAAAAUAAUCAAAAUCGAGUUAAUUUAAUUAAAAUGUCAAUAACAAAACAAAAUUGAGUAGGAAAAAUAUAUUAUAAAAUAUAAUGAAAUCCCUCACAUGGUAGUUGGAUUUUUUAAAAGUACUUCUUAUAAUUUUUUUUUCAAGUUUUUAGAUGUUUCAAAAUUAUGUUAUAUAUGUUUUAAAUAUCUAAAAUUUUUAUUUUUAUAUUUUAAAAUUAUUUUUAUGAUUUUUUUAUUUUUGAUAUUAAAAAUCAUAAAACUUUAAUUUUAUAAAAAAAUUUAAAAUUUAAUAUUAAAUAUAUUAAAAUUAAAAAAAAAUUUUAACUCCAUAAAAAUAAAACAUAACAAAUAUUUUUUAAAAAAAUAAUAGUCGAAGGCUCCACGUGUUAGUAUGACCCAAGUCUAUUUUUUUUUUUUUAUAACUAAAAAAAUAUUAACCCUUUUCUGUUUUCCAGGAAAGCGACUCUCACACAGCUAAUUUUCAAAGUAUUUCAAUUCUGGUAGUUACCAUCUGACACGAGUAUUCUUGAAAAAAAGUGAGGUUCUUUAAUUUAUUUAUUAUAUUAUUAUUUUUGAACGGGAGUGAGGUUCCUCCUUCACAUGGAGACGAACGAGUUGGGACAAAUUUGCAUUGUCCAUCUCAAUUAUUCAAACUCAGACAUUAUUUUACACCACUGUCAUUGAUACUGCAUUUAAAACCCUAGUGCAAGUGCGUUCAAAAAAUUAAUGUGGGUCCAAUAUUGACUUGUAAAAGAUUCCGUAAAUCAAUCAGCAAAAGAAGGAAAGAGAACAAAAAUCAUCUAAUACAAACAAUUCAUCUUUACCCAGCUUCAUUACUUACUGCUAGCUCAAACUCUUUUCUCAGCUUCCUCCAAUCUUAUUUCUUCCCCUAAUUUCUUCCAACUACGCAAUCCAACCAUGUCUUUGUUUAGCGAAGCCUUGUCCGCUAUACGAGAAGUUGCUCUCUCCAAGUUCUUUGACUAUCUCCUAGACAAGUUGGGUUCCUUUGAAUUCUUUCAAUUUGCCAGUGAAAAGCAGAUUCAAGAGGAGCUUGAGAAGUUGAAGAAGGAAUUGCUGGAGAUUCGUGCGUUGCUUGAUGAUGCUGAGGAGAGGCAGAUCAAAGAUCAAUCUGUGAAAAUUUGGUUGUCAGACCUCCAAAACAUGGCAUACGAUGUGGAUGACAUUGUGGACGAGGUUGAAACCGAAAUUGCCAAGCGCAAUUUGAAGUUGGAACGUCAUGGUAGCUCAAGUAAGAAGCCCAGACUUGAUACAUUCAACGAUGUUUUCUGUAACAGUGACAUGAUGUCAAAGGUAAAAGAUAUCACUUCCAGAUUGAAAGAUUUAGAGCCUCAAAAAAAUAAGCUGCAACUGAGAAUGAUUCACUGCUCGAAAUCCAACAGAAUAAAAGAAAGGCAGCAGCCUACUUCUCUGGAGAUCGAAACUCAGGUGUAUGGCAGAGACAAAGACAAGAAGACAAUACUUGAAUUGGUCUUCAACGGUGAUGAUGACGGAAAAUUUGUGAUUCCCAUCGUUGGAAUGGGAGGGAUCGGUAAGACAACCUUGGCCCAACUUGUUUACAAUGAUGCUACCGUUCACGAUCAUUUUGAUCUCAAAGCAUGAGUUUGUGUUUCUGAUGAUUUUGAUGUCACAAGAAUAACAAAAGCAAUUUUCCAAGCAGUCAGUUCAGAGCCAUGUAAUGACAAUGAUUUGAAUUCUCUUCAAGAAAAAUUGAAGAAUAAGUUGUCAGGGAAAAAUUUUUUGAUUGUUUUGGAUGAUGUCUGGAAUGAGAAUUAUCAUGACUGGACGAUUUUACAAUCUCCUUUUCUAGCAAGGACUCCGGCAAGCAAAAUUAUCGUGACAACAAGAAGUCUUGAUGUUUCAUCUGCAAUGGGUGCUUCUUUUGCUCAUUCUUUGGAAGUUUUGUCAGAAGAUGAUUGUUUGUCUGUAUUUGCUCAACAUGCAUUGGGAGCAAAGGGAUUUGAAGGACAUCCAAAUCUAAAAGAAGUUGCUAAGAAAAUAGUGAGAAAGUGUAAAGGCUUGCCUUUGGCUGCUAAAACCCUUGGAGGCUUGGCUCGUACUGAUAUUGACCCUGAUGCUUGGGGGAAAAUAUUGGAGAGUGAGAUAUGGAAGCUAUCAGACCAUCGGUUUGACAUAAUUCCGGCUCUCCAAUUGAGUUACCAUCAUCUUCCUCCACAUUUGAAGCGGUGCUUCGCAUAUUGCUCCAUUCUUCCUAAGGACUAUGAAUUUCAAGAGAGAGAAAUAAUCUUGUUAUGGAGGGCAGAGGGCUUUUUACAAGAAGCAAGAGAUAAGCAUAGCAUUGAAGAUCUAGGCCACAAGUAUUUUAGAGAUCUGGUAUCAAGGUCUCUUUUGCAAAUAUCAAACAAAGAUAGAUCUCGAUUUGUUAUGCAUGACCUCAUCAAUGAUUUGGCUCAAUCAGUUGCCGGAGAAAUAUGCUUCAGAAUAGAGGGUAAUCAGCAAAUUUCAAAGCACGCUCGCCACUUGUCUUACAUUGGUGGUCGGUAUGAUGGCAUCAAAAAAUUUAAGGGCAUCAAAGAAGCGCAGCAUUUACGUACUUUUUUGCCAUUUAGGCUGUCAAAUUAUUGGAGUUGCUUUGUAACCAAUAAUGUUCUAACACAUUUGUUGCCAAUUUUGGGAUGCCUAAGGGUGCUUUCUUUGAGAGGGUAUCAAAUCUCGAAGUUGUCAGAUUUUAUUGGAGAUUUAAAACACUUACGGUACCUAGAUUUUUCUCGCACUCAUAUUAAAUGCUUGCCGGAGUCCGUAAGUACCCUCUAUAAUUUAGAAACCCUUCUAUUAAGGGAGUGUGAGAUGCUUGAAAAGCUACCUUCAGAUAUGGAAAACCUAGUCAACCUAUGUUAUCUUGAUAUCACAGGUGCAAAUAAAUUAGAAGGCAUGCCAAGUAAUAUUUGCACGCUAAGUGAUCUUCAAACACUAUCCAAUUUUGUUUUGCAAAAGGGCAAAGGAUGUCAAAUAAGGGAGCUAGAUGGUUUAUCAAAUCUCAAGGGUCAACUUUGUAUUUCAGGGUUGGAGAAUGUGGUUGAAACUCAAGAUGCAUUGAAGGCUAAGUUACAUGAGAAAUCAGGACUGGAUAAGUUAGAAUUGAUGUGGAGUUAAGACUUUGGGAAUAGAAAUGGAGUAAUCGAGACAGAAGUGUUGCAUUUGCUUCGUCCUUCAGAAAAACUUAAGGAGCUUCGCCUCAAGUGCUAUUAUGGUGUGAGGUUGGUGGAAUGGAUAGGAGAUUCUUCAUUCAAUAAAUUACUAUCUUUAUGUCUUGAAUAUUGUCCAAAUUGCACAUCAUUGCCAUCAAUUGGGCAAUUGCCAUUGUUGAAAAAAUUAUGCAUCAAGGGAUUGGACAAUGUAACUAGUGUGGGGGCUGAGUUAUUUGGAAAGAAUGCAUCAAAUGCAUUUCCUUCAUUGGAGACUUUAGAAUUUGAAAACAUGCCUAAAUGGGAGAAUUGGAACUUUCGUGAAGUUAAUGAGGAAGCUAAGAAGUUUUCUAAUCUUCGUGAGCUUCGUAUUGUGAAUUGUCCGGAACUGUUGGGGAGUAUACCAGAAAAUCUCCUUUCGUUGGAGAAACUUGUGAUUUGUGAUUGUGAGAAAUUGGUGAUUUCAAUUCAAAACCUUCCAAUGCUUUCAGAAUUGAAUGUUCAAGGGUGCCAGGAGGUAGUGUAUAAAGGUUUUGUAGACGGCAGCUCAUUAAAAAGGGUAUGUUUUUCAGGAAUUCCCAAAGUUUACUUGUGCAGCAGAAUGGGUUGACGUUAGGAUCAAUAAAAGUGGAAUCCUUAAGAUCGAAGAUUGUGCAGGAAUUGGCUCUUUGCAAGGAACAGUGGGGAUUGCUAACUCAGUCGAUGUCACUUGGAUUGAAUUGAGAUUGGAAAGUGGUCGCAACUUGUCUCCAUAGGGGCAAGAGGGAGAAAAGAGAAGAAUUGAUGACAUUUGAAGAUCCCUUGACACCAUUCAAAACUGACAAUAAGGAAUUGUGAAAGGUUAGAAAAGCUAUCAACAACCUUGAACUAUGUCUCAUCGCCUAGGGUGCUAAAGCUUAGGUCUUGCCCAAAUCUGAUUUCUCUUUUCAAACAACAAAUUGCCUUCGAAUCUAAAAACCCUAGACAUUAGUGAUUGUGAAAAUUUACGGUGUUUGUUGGAAGAGGGAGAGAAUGUUAACCUCAGCAGUGCAUGUCUUCUUGAACGGUUGUCUGUUAGCAGUUGUCCAUCUCUGAUUUCUCUUUCAAACAACAAUUUGCCUUCGAAUCUCAAAAGCCUAGAGAUUAUUCAUUUUAAAAAUUUACGGUGUUUGUUGGAAGAGGGAGAGAAUGUUAACCUCAGCAAUGCAGGUCUUCUUGAGACGUUGUAUGUUAACGAUUGUCCAUCUCUGGUAUCUUUAUCAUCAAGAGAGAAGUUACCCAGGAGGCUUGAACGACUGUCAAUAGUCAGUUGUGAAAAGCUAGAGUUCAUAGCUCAAGAAAUUCAAGAUAACUCUUCUCUUGAAAGUAUUAGGAUCCUUGGGUGUAGUAUUAAGUAUUUACCUCAAGGCCUGAACAAGCUCAGCCAUCUCCAGUCCAUAGCCUUAUAUGCUUGUUCAAAUUUGGUUUCCUUUCCAGAAAGUGGUUUGCCCACCUCAAACCUCAAAGUCCUCCGCCUCAGUUCCUGUGAAAAACUCCAAGCUCUGCCCGACAGUAUACACAACCUCAGCUGUCUAGAACAACUAGAAAUAGAAAAUUGCUCAAGUCUGACAUCCUUCCCAGAAGAGGGCAUUCCUACUAAUCUCAAAAGACUUACCAUCAAAGGACCCAAUAUUUGUAAGCCACUAAUUGAUUGGGGAUUGCAUAGACUCACUUCUCUUAAAUCUCUCUGUAUAGAAAAUGGAUGUCCCGAUGCAGUGUUGUUUCCACAAGAAGAGAUAGGAAUGACGCUGCCCUGCUCUCUCACCUCUCUCGUCAUCAGCAAUUUCCCAAAACUAGAAACCCUAACCUCCAUGGGCUUUCAGGACCUCACCUCUCUGGAGUUCUUGUACAUCGAUUUUUGCCCAAACCUCAAGUGUCUCCCGGAAAAGAAGAUGCUUUCUUCGCUUUUGCAGCUAGAUAUCUGGGGUUGUCCAGUGCUAAAAGAACGGUGUGAAAAGGAUAAAGGAUCAGAGUGGUUCAAGAUUGCCCAUAUACCUUGUGUGAAAAUUGAUAACAGAUACAUCUAUGAUUCCGGCUAAUUCUGUUUCGGAGGAUAAGGGUUCAGACAAUAAUUCUUCAGAACAGCAAAGUUGACAAGAAAAGAGUUAAGGACUCAAAGUCGCAGGUAAGUCAAUUUCAAAUUUAUUAUAAACCCUUACAAAAUUUUUUAAUUAUUAUAAUGUUCCUUACAAAUUCAAAUUUAUACACUAAAGAUAAAGGAAAACACUUUCAAUUUUAUUUUAUUAAUCUUGAGGCAUUUAAUUAUUUUUAGGUUCAUGGUCCUUCGAUUUUUUUUGCAUUAAUUCAAAAAAAAUUGAGAUUUUUGGUUAUUUUCGCAGGAUAUGAUACUAACCACGACCUUAUCUACAAAAUGCUUGUUGUCUGUUGAGUGUAAAGAUUGAAGUUGCAGAAAGGGAUUUCACAUAGGUCUCCUUGGUGCUGGAUGUUAUAUGGAGCAGAGGUUUAUGAAUUUUCUUUGGUAUUUUUGGGUAAGUAAGUGAUUUUUUUUUUCUAUAAAUAAAAUCUUUUCAUGGCAAACUAUCCAUACGUUGGCAUUAAAUUGACACCUUUGCCGCAAAAACCUACCAAUUUUGAUAACACAAGUAGUUUGGAGCAUUGACACAAGUUUUAUUUCUAUGUUCAAUCUAAAUAUUUACUAUUUUGGAGCAUUAGCAAAUUUGUUUUUAUCAUAUUAAUCGUUGAAUUGAAAAUACGAAAGUAGAGGCUGGUCAAGUUAACCAUGCCAUUGUUAUCCUUCUUUUAAACUGUGAUUUAGUCUAUUUGGUUUUUGUAGGACCUGCCAACUAUGGAUGUCUGGAAGGUUGAAUGACCUGUGAGACCAUAGCUGCAGUUGUGAAAAUGACAUUGGUUGCAUCUGGAAACUUGAACUCAUCUUCUUUAAUCAAUAGUUCCGGACUAGUAUAACUAAAGGUUCUUUCAUUUUAUUGAAAAGAAUCAGAAAAUCCAGGUAUGUCUUUUUGAAAACAAUAAUUUUUUCACGUUAACAAUUUUUUUGGGAUAAUUUUACAUGUUUUAGUUUCUUCUAUAGCUAUUGGACAUGUAAUUAUUGGGAGUUAUGAUCCAUCACUGCAACAUUUUAAGACGCCCUCAUUAUUUGUUCUUGCAGCGUUCCUGUGCUCAAUUGUGAAAUAACGGCCUAUCAUCUAUGAAUACAUGGAUAAAAGAUUCAUCUAUUACUUGAAGGUGGAAAAAAAACAAUCAUUUCAUCUCAUCAAGAAGAAAAUGGCACAAGUAAAGAGUAUAACUUCUUCCAUAUUUGUAAUGAAACCUAAGUAUGGAAGUUAAAAAUUCCUUUUUAUUCUUCUCUUUUACACCACUUUUAAUAACCUUCAUUAUUUAUAUAUUUAUAAUUGUACAUUGCUAACAGAAUGGUGCAAAGGAAGGUGAUAAAGAACAAGAGUGUUUCAACAUUGUCCACGUGUUCUUUUCCAAAUUGAUGAUAGUUUCAUAUGUUAUCAAGACGAAUUUGACUAAAAUCAGUUAGAGGAUGUCCCAGGUAUGACAAUUUGGAAAUGCAUUGGAAUAGUUGUAAAACUUAGAACUUUAGGAGGAUUUUGGUCCACAAUUAUUUAUGAUAUUGCAUAUAAAAAACAAUUUUGAGAAAUUUGCGUUGCUGGUGACCAAAUCUUGCAUAUGUUACAUGUGGCAUACAAAAGUUCAGUAAAUUUGGAUAUAUAUUUCAAAGAUGAAAUAGAUUGUAUAUUCAUCUAUGAUCCAGAGAAGUCAAAUUGAAAGCUGCUAAUAUCUGAAAAGUCAAGGUAAGGAUGAGGGGUUACAAGUUACAUUAUCCUUUGCUUAUACUUAAUGUUAGGUAUUUCAAUUUGGAAAAGCAUUUCCCCUUUCUUCCUAAUAGAUUUCAAAUUUCAAAAAACAUUUUUGUUCAUCUUGCUACCAUUUUGAAACUUAUACGAAUAUUAUCAUUGUUCAUUUUUCAGGUAUGUGCGGAGUCCAUAUCACUUGUCGCAUAGAUCUUUGUCAGGUGUCUGUCUUUCCUUUCAAUUUGAUUUUCAUCCUUUUUCUAGCAUGAAAUGACAUUAAUUAGGACCUGCAUCCCAACUUUGAGUUAGGAAAGAAGGAAUACAGGCAUUCAUGGAAGUUGCAAAAUGUGCGAGACAAUGUAGAUGGUAAGAAGCUAGUUUUAUUUAAUGUUCAGGUAUUUAAGUAUUUGUAGCUUCUUUUUGUACUUCAAUUUCAGUAACUUCAGUCCAAUUGCAGCUCAGUGAAGGUCUAGCAGCUUGUGCCAUAUUGAAACAAGGUGUGAAAAUGGAUGAUGGGAGGAAAAGAUAGUAAUUACCAACAGAAUUAAUACUUUUUCUGAUACAAUGGUAAAAUUCAAAGAUUUCUAAUUCUGAAACCUUUGAUAAGGUCUUUUAUCCCUAAGUACUUCUUAUUUGCAUGUUAAAUUACAAAACUUUAUUAUUAAUUGCUUUAAUUGAUAGAUAUUUUAAAAACUCUUCUAUGUUUUCAUAUCAUUUGAUUAUUUCUCAGAGAAAGAGUAUUUGUUCUUGUUGCAUGUUGUUUAACCUAUAGAUUGCAAGUUCUAAGAUAUUGACAUGAAACUUCUAAUUUUUUCCAUUUUUAUCUUAUAAGAUUGUCAUAAAACUUGAACCAUGGAACUUAAAGAAGAUAAAAAAUGGUAAGUGGCAGUAUAUAACAGAUACUGCUUCUUACCAGAACAUGCAGUGCAGCACUUAUAUUGUUUCUUACUAGAACAACUGUACAGAUGCAUUGAGCUUAUGCUUUUAUGGAGAAGCUUCCCUGCCUGUGCCUCGAUGUCUGAGAAAUGUAGAUACUGUACCAGCAGUGACAUCGAACCUGGGCAUCAGUAAGUGACACCAUUGAUGCAACAAUUAAAAGAAACACCCAUGCUUUUGCUCUUCUUUUCCAUUAAACCGUCUUACCUGGUUGAGUUUUUCUUUGUAGUUAAUCCAUGCCAUUGUUUAAAGCUGUCAAUAAAAGCGGGUACCUUUUUGUUUGGAGACAUGAUAUAUCCAGGUUACAAGCAUGUUAAACCACUUAGAAGGUAGCUAGUAACCAAGUACUGAUAUCUUGCUAUAUGAUAUUUGGUAGCAUGGAGAUGCCGAUAAUUAUGAUUUGCAUCUGAAAUUCAAAUCUUGAAGAAAUUAUCUGAAGUAAUCUUGAUGUUUUGAAAUUGAUUUUGUGGGCAGUGUGCAAGGUUUACAAAUUACAAUCUGUGAACACAGCGAUUCUGAUAGCAGGCUAACUGAAGAUAGAGAUCAGGUAUGGUUCAAAUCUAAACAAUAUUUUGUUCCAUCUGAUUUGAACAUGAGUAAAUGAAAGUUCCAAACCAUUAAUCCUGCUUCUUGAUAUACAGGAAUAUUGAAUGCUCCUUUCACCUAAAAGGACGAGGUAAAUUUCUCUUGGAUCUCUCUGUGGAUACGGCUUUCUGGCGUAUAAAAGGUUAGUUCUUUCUCCAAGACUUUUAAAUGUUAUCUAUAUUUACAUAAUUGAAAGAAAAAUGGAGCAUACCGAGCUUUGAUUGACUUAAAUACAUGUUAUCUUUUAAAUACAUGGAGGUUUAAUUUGAUUAUUGAUGUUGGUUGCUGUUCAAGUUGCAGAAGCUUUCGUUCUACAAAAGCAAAUGAAGGAAGUUUAGAAAUGCAGUGUUCAAUUUAUGUUAAAAUAGCAUAAAGGACAACUGGAAAAAGUGAAGGAACAGAGGUUGCAAGAACUAUGACAGAUAGAGUUGUUGCUCAAUUGCUGCAUGCGUGCCCUUGAGAAGGCCUCAGCAAGCACCUUAGAGAAUCACACCUGCUAGAGAGGUUUCAAUUAAAGCUUCAUGAAAGACCAAUAACCUUUGCAGUGGCAGUGUCAAUAUCAAUUUCAUAGAAGCAAAGCCUUGUGGGUAGCCCUGGGCAUUGUGCUUAUUGUACCAACUAAAGGAUAAAUAAACCCAGCUGCUAUGCUGGCUCUCACAUCCCUUAUUGGUAAAGUUAAAAACACUUGGCGAUCCUUUCUCCGAGGCAUUUUGUAAAAAUGAGUACUAUGUUUUUGCCAUGCAGAUUGAUAGAUCAGAAAACCCUUGUCUGCUGUACAUCUUGAUCUGUUUCUCUGCCUGAUUUGACAAAAAGAAAAGACGGUGAUUGUAGCAGCAGGCUAACUCAAGUUUGAGAUCAGGUAUAGAUCGAAUCUAAACAAUAUUUUGUUCCAUUUGAUUUGAACAUGAGUAAAUCAAAGUUUGAAACCUUUAAUCCUGCUUCUGGAAAUACAGGAAUGUUGGAUGCUUCUUUCAUCUAAAAGGAUGAGUUAAAUUCUCUUUUGGAUCUCUCUGGAUUUAGCUUUCUUGCCUAUAAAGGGACUGAAAAGGUUUAUGAAGAGGUUAGUUCUUUCUCCAAGACUUUUACAUGUUAUCUAUGUUUACAUAAUUGAAAGAGAAAUGGAGCAUACUAAGCUUUGAUUGACUUUAAUACAUGUUAUCUUUUAAAUACAUGGAGGUUUAAUUUGAUUAUUGAUGUUGGUCGCAGUUCAAGUUGCAGAAGCUUUUGUUCUACAAAAGCAAAUAAAGGAAGUUUAGAGAUGCAGAUGGAAUGAAUUUGCAACAAUCAGCUAAUAUUGGUAGCUAGAAGGACAAUGCUACACUGAUUUAUCUGCUGACACUACCAUUCACCAUAGCCAUGUGCAGCUUGAUGGGCUACCAUCAACUUCUCUUCCUCUAAGAUUUGUUAAUGGUGAUACUAACAUCAGUGGCACAAUCAUCCAAACCAGGAAAACAAAAAUCCCUCCAAAAAUGGUGAUGUAUUUUACUAUUACUACAUGGAAGAUUAAACUGAAAUCAUCCAAAACUUUCUUUCUUGGUAUGUAAUCGGUUUGAACUUUGAAGUGAUCUUUCUGUCUUCCCUUAACACAUAUGUUAAUACAGAUUCCAAUUUGAACUUUGAAAGUUGAUUUCAUUUUCAGAAGAAUUCUUGUCCCAAAGUUUGAAAAAGUUGUGCAGUCAAGGUUGUGACUAGAUAUAAUUUUUGCUUCGAAAAAAAAGAAUAAAUUUGUCAAUACUUUUUUUAUAUGUUAUAAGUGAACACUAAAAAAAAAAAAAUCUUAGAUCCACCAUUAAUUCAACCGUGCCAAUUUUGGUUGAAUGCACAUAUGUUAGACUAUGUACAAAGUAUAAGCUUUCCAUUUAAACCCUGUGAAUACUGAGGAUGGCAUUCUCUGCUCUAAUGACCUUGCAAUCACAACCUUUACAUCAUCAACUUACUUCUGCAAGUCAUUAACAGCAACGCUAAAUGCUUUUUGCUGUUGUUGAAACUGGGAUCAGUUUCUUACGUUCUUUCUUCCACCCUCAGCAGCCAACAGCUUUUGUAUAAGGAAUUAAGCUGUCAGUCUAUGCAGAACAUAAUUUUGAAAGUUCAUUUUGUCCCAUUUUGACAAGUUUAUUCAAUGAUAAUGUAAGAUUCUUAAGGCAUUGGAAGGUUAAUUCCAAUCUUCUAUUCAGUGAGAACAUUUUAAAGAAGUGUAUGAUUUAUGCUUGUUUUUAGUCUGUACCAUUGUUGAGGGUAGAUUUCUUGCCCUAGAAAUGCUACAAUUAUGGAACUAGAGAAGAUUUAGUGCUCAAUGCCUGAAAGAGAUUAAAAGAUCCCAUUACAUACAAGGAAGUUAGAAGCUUAGCACAUAACCAGUAUAAAAGAUAACAAAUACAAAUAAUAUAUAAGAAUAAUAUAAUAAAAUGUGGACUCUGAUAUUAAUUUAAAAUUAAUUUGUAAUAAGUGAUUGAAGAAUCCAAUUUGAAUAUAAAAUCAUUAAAAAACUAAAUAUUUAAUAUAUGUAGGAUAACAUUGCUUUAACCCCUUUUCCAUUAAAACUAUUAUAUGAGUCAUUGGUGAGGAAUAAUAUGAAUUAUGGACACUUUUUAUUAUUUGCAGAACUUCCUCCUAAUAUCAGUAACCAUUUAACCUUCUGAGGGAUCAUUCUACAUCCAGCCCAAAAUUAAUACACUGUACGCUAUGGACAGUGAGGACAAUCUCUUGCAACUGAAAUGAGAGCAUUGUUUGUGCUAGACCAGUUUCUUGCAGCUAUUUUUUUUUUUAUUGAAACUUGCAUUGGCAUUGGGCCUCAUAAUUUGGAAGCCAUUAUCAAAUCCUGUUAUAGAACAGACGUCAUGCUUAUUAUUUUCCACAAUAAUGACUCAAGUCCAUGGGUCAAGUCAUAAAUGUCAGGAUAGGAGCAGGCCUUGCUUGAUUUGGGGACUUUUGGCAACCCAUCAAGCUCAUUAAAUCGGUCCAAUUACAAUGAUUUUUUGAAACGGUCCCUUCUCAAGGGCAAUGGCCAUUGAAUUGGUUGCUGCCUCAAGAACAGAUAAUGUUUUGGCAUUGCUGUUAAUGCAAUAGACUUUGAUGUUCUAACAUAACUGAAGUAGGCCGAGUGUGUAUUGCAAACUCCCCAACGUGAUCUGCCUGUUUGUUGUUCUUCCCUCCUGCAGGCAAAGGUAGAUUUAAAGUUGAUUGGCCCUGGAGGGAGAUUGCUGCUUAGACUUGGAAUGAAGAGAAUGAUAGGCUGAUGCACUAAUUUUCUCAAGAAAAACCUGUAAAAAAAGGUAAGAGAACUAUUAAGAGAAUAAUUAUAAGAUACUAGUAGUUCUUAUACACUACUCCAACUGACUAAAUGAAUUCUUCAAAAUUUCCAACCCCAAUCAGUCAUCCAUUUAUAGAAAAAAAUAGGCAUAUCAAUCAGAAAGGCAUGGAAUAGAUAGAAUAUUUUUUAUUUUCAUUUCGUAUUCUUUAUAUUAUAUGUAUUUUUGUAUUCAUAUAUAAUAAGUAUUUUAAAUUCAUUCACAUUUUUAUUUUUGUAAAUAUUUAAUAGAUAUGUGUAAUUUCGUACUUAUAAUUUUUAUGUAAUUUUUAUAAAUAUAUUUUAAAUAUAAAUAUAUUAAUUUUAAUUAAUUUAAAAUUAAAUUUAUAAUAUUAAAUAAAAAAUUAAUUUACUAAAUAUAUAUAAGAUACAUUUAUAGAACAUGUGCUAUAUAUAAAAGUUUAUGAAAAGGUUAGCUCUUUCUCCAAGACUUUUACAUGUUAUCUAUAUUUACAUAAAGCAGAAAUUAUUGAAUUAUUACAAACCCUGAGUACAAAAAAUGUUUGUUCUAGACUGAAAGAAUGAUAAAAGAAAAAAAAAAGAUUCAAUUUUCUUCACAAAAUAUUCAACGUUACGUUAAAAUAGCACAAUGGACAAUAGGGAAAAGUGAAGAAACAGAGGUUCAAAGAGCCGUAACAGAGUUGUUGCUCAAUCGCUUUUAAAAUAAAAGGUUUUCCAUGCAAUUUGCUUUUAAAAUACAAUGUCCAGCCUCCAUUAUUUUUGUUUUCUACCCUUUAAAAUUUUUGCAGCCUUUUGGAUUAUAUCUAUGCCUUUUAUAAUUUAUGAGUUGUUUUUUUCCCAUAGAUUAUUGUGUGUGCAGCCAUAAUUAAAAAUCAGGUUUUGGUUUAUUGGUUAAAUGUGAAUUUCAUUAAAUAACUAAUCACACUUUCCAGAUUUAUUUAUUCCUUUAGGAGUUGAUCAUAUGCCAAACAAAAAAAAUUUAUAGAAGAAUCAUGUAAGUGAAAGACUUUUGGUAUUGAUUCCAUGCAUGAUUAUUUAAUAAACAUGAUUAUAUGGUUAUAACAAGUAUGACCUACUCAAUUCUAGAAUAUCAUUUUUGUGUAUAAAAAAAUACUUUUUUUUUUUUUUUUGUAGUUGUAUUAAAUGUUCCAAUUAUUACCUAUGUCGGACCAAUAGUGGGGAGGAUAGCAUAAGUCUUGCUUCAAAAGCUAACCAGAAAAUACUGAUUCACAACGGACAUAAUUUUUUAGAAGAUAACCACGAACAGUCAAUCUAUACACCAAUAUUAUUGCAUAAAAAAUUUACUACUAACUCUCUCAUAAAGGGGAAAUAAUGUUUAAAGAUACCAGAGCUCAAAUUUUAACUUCUUGUACUUUAUNNNNNNNNNNNNNNNNNNNNNNNNNNNNNNNNNNNNNNNNNNNNNNNNNNNNNNNNNNNNNNNNNNNNNNNNNNNNNNNNNNNNNNNNNNNNNNNNNNNNNNNNNNNNNNNNNNNNNNNNNNNNNNNNNNNNNNNNNNNNNNNNNNNNNNNNNNNNNNNNNNNNNNNNNNNNNNNNNNNNNNNNNNNNNNNNNNNNNNNNNNNNNNNNNNNNNNNNNNNNNNNNNNNNNNNNNNNNNNNNNNNNNNNNNNNNNNNNNNNNNNNNNNNNNNNNNNNNNNNNNNNNNNNNNNNNNNNNNNNNNNNNNNNNNNNNNNNNNNNNNNNNNNNNNNNNNNNNNNNNNNNNNNNNNNNNNNNNNNNNNNNNNNNNNNNNNNNNNNNNNNNNNNNNNNNNNNNNNNNNNNNNNNNNNNNNNNNNNNNNNNNNNNNNNNNNNNNNNNNNNNNNNNNNNNNNNNNNNNNNNNNNNNNNNNNNNNNNNNNNNNNNNNNNNNNNNNNNNNNNNNNNNNNNNNNNNNNNNNNNNNNNNNNNNNNNNNNNNNNNNNNNNNNNNNNNNNNNNNNNNNNNNNNNNNNNNNNNNNNNNNNNNNNNNNNNNNNNNNNNNNNNNNNNNNNNNNNNNNNNNNNNNNNNNNNNNNNNNNNNNNNNNNNNNNNNNNNNNNNNNNNNNNNNNNNNNNNNNNNNNNNNNNNNNNNNNNNNNNNNNNNNNNNNNNNNNNNNNNNNNNNNNNNNNNNNNNNNNNNNNNNNNNNNNNNNNNNNNNNNNNNNNNNNNNNNNNNNNNNNNNNNNNNNNNNNNNNNNNNNNNNNNNNNNNNNNNNNNNNNNNNNNNNNNNNNNNNNNNNNNNNNNNNNNNNNNNNNNNNNNNNNNNNNNNNNNNNNNNNNNNNNNNNNNNNNNNNNNNNNNNNNNNNNNNNNNNNNNNNNNNNNNNNNNNNNNNNNNNNNNNNNNNNNNNNNNNNNNNNNNNNNNNNNNNNNNNNNNNNNNNNNNNNNNNNNNNNNNNNNAUAAAAAAAAAAAAUUGGUUCAUACUAACACGUGGAGCCUUCGACUAUUGCUGUUUCCAUCUCAAACAUUUGUUAUAUUUUGAUUUUUACGAAAUUUUAAAAAAAUUUAAUUUAAAUAUAUUUAAUAUUAAAUUUUAAAAUUUUUCUAUAAAAUUAAAGUGUCAUAAUUUUUAAUAUCAAAAAAUAAAAAAAUCAUAAAAAUUAUUUUUAAAUAUAAAAAAUAAAAAUUUUAAAUAUUCAAAAAAAUAUCUAAUAUAAUUUUGAAACAUCUAAAAAAAUUGAAAAAAAAAAAAAGAGACAGAGGGAUUUCAUUGUCUUCUAUAACACAUUUUUCCUGUUCCAUUUUUUUAUUAACAUUUUAAUUUAGCUAACUCAAUUUUAAUUAGUUUUAUUAAAAAUUAUAAAAUUGAGUUUCAAAAAUUUUAAAUAUAUUUAUAAAAGCUUUGAUUUAAUAUAUAUUUUAAAAAGUUGUUAAAAUUAAAUUUAUUUAACCAAAAAAUCAUUAAAAAACAUACAAAAUGAAAUCGAUGGAGAACAAAAAAAUCAUGAUGAGUACUGUAUUUUCAAAUUGGCGCCCCAUUUUCGAACUAAACAAAAUGAAAAAAAUGAGGUGAGGUUUGUUAUCUUAAUUAUAAUGGAAUUAAUUUUUACACUUUUAUUACUAAUAAAAUCAUUUUAAAGAUAAUUGCUCAGAAUGUUCAAAUUUUUUCACCAUAAAAUCACGUAUCUUUUUUAAUGAAAUGAUAAUAUGUCAAAAGAUUUUUGGAAUCUUUUUAUUUUUACAGCUGACCUGCAGGUAGCUUUGGUGUCUUAAUGACAUGUCACGUGCCUUUCUGGACGCAUGCAGUACUAACAAAAGCUGAUGUAAUAGUAAAUGGUUAGGGUGAUGUUGUUUUGAAUAAUUGAGUUGAACAGCUACAAUUUGUCCUAACUCAUUAGUAGAAUUGAAAAAUAAAUAAUCAAGAUUUGAAAUUGUAGUGUUUAAUUUGAUUUUGAUUAAUUUUUUAUUUAAUUUAAAUAUUAAAUAUAUAUAUUAAAUUUAAAUUAAAUUUUGAAUUGGAAAUUAAAUUAAAAAUUUUAUAUAUUUAUAUUUCUUAAUAUAAAAAAAGUUUACAAUGAAAUGUUAAAAAUUAUAUGCUAUUAUUCAGUAGCUUCUUAAGAAUGCUAGUGACCAAGGUAAAAAAUUUUUUCAUCAAUUGACAGUUUUCAAAAUGUAUGCGAUCAUCAAUUUCAUACAUUUUAAUUUUUAUUUUGUUAAUGUAUUAAAAAAUUAGAAUGUUAUUAUACUAAUUAUUAAAUUUUACGUUAAUUAGAUGCAUAUUUGAACGUGAAUUAAGUUUAUAUUAAUGUUAGUAUAUGAAUUUAAGCUCGUUUAUGAAAAUAAUAAAUAUUAACAGAAAUUUUUUAUUUAAAAAAAAUACAUUUCUCAAUUUCACGGCAUUUUGUAUUCAAGAAUGUCAUUAAAUAAAUAAUUUAGUAACGUUUGUAUCAUAAAACGUCACUAAAAGUAGCAGUGCUUUUGCUAGAAAAUGAACUAAAUUAGCAACAUUUUUGUGAUACAAAUGCCACCAAAGUAAAGGUAUUUUUUUUAUAAAAAUGUCACUAAAUUAACGGCGUGUCAAAGGUACAAACGCCGCUAAUAUAACAGUAUUUUUUCAUAUACAAAUGCUAAUAUAGUAGUAUUUUUCAGAUACAAAAACAAAAAAUGUAGCGGCAUUUUAUAGAAAACGUUACUAUUUUUCACAACGAGUGUAUAGCCAGCACUCUAACUGACGAUUUUCGCAAGCGUCGCUAAUCUUUUAGUGACAUUUUAUAAACGCUUGCCAAACGUAAAAAAAAAAAAUGCCACUAAAUACCAAAACCCCUAUAGUAAAUGAAUAAAUAGAUUCAAGAAGGGAAAAACAUUUACAAUUUUAAAUAGUCUAACCAAUGAAAAAUGGAAAGUAACUUAUGUAGUCAAAACAAUUAAAAGAAAAAUCAUAAAUCAUGAAGCAAAUAAAAAAGUUUGUAAAAAUUUUAAUAAAACAACUGAAAAGAGUAUAAAUGCAAAGAAAAUAAUAAGUCAAGAACUUAUAUAAAUGCAAGGAAACUAAAUGUCUAAAAAAUAAAAAUUUAAAUGGUUGACUGAAUUUUAUAUAAUAAAAUUUAGGGACUUAGGCUUCACAUGAAAUUUUAUGUAAACAAACACUACACAAUGUAACAUGACAUUUAUUGAAAAAUGAGUUUAUUAUUUUAUUUCACAAGAUAGAAACAAAUUUUAAAAAGUAGAAAUUUUAGCAAAUCAAUCAUACUUCAAUUAAAAAUUAUAAAAAAUUUAUUAUUCAAAUUCACCUAAUUAUCAUUAAAUAAUUAUGUAAAUAUAAUAUAAAUGUUUAAUGGAAGAGUUCCUAAUAAAAACAUUUGAAGUAUUUAUUAAAAUAUCUUUUCAACUCCUAUAUUUAUUUAUUUCUAUUAAUAUUUUAAUGUUAUUACAUAAAAAAAAUAAAAGUUUAGUGAAACUCAAUAAAAUGAUAAGUAAAUAUUAAAUGAUCAUAAAAUAUUAUUAUUAUUUCUUCAACUUUUACAAAAUAUUUAUUUUUUAACAACUAGCUACAUUAAACAUACAAAAAGGAGAAAGUAUUUUAAUUAUAACUCGUUAUUUAAUAUAACAUAUUCUGAAAAGUUUUUAAAGAAAAAUAAAAAGAAAUAAUAUUUUUGAGUGUUAUGUCAUUUACUACUAAUUUGAAACAACUUGUGCUCAACUUUUUUUUCUAUUUUUUAUAAUUAAAAUUAUGAUAAAAUCUAAAAAAAUCUUGAGUUAUUUGCAUAAGUAACACCUAUUUUUUAUGCUUUUUUUAAUAUUUUUAUUUAAAUCAAUGUUAAUUAUUUACUUUAAUUUUUAAAAUAUAAUAAUAUUAAUGCAAAAUUAUUAUGAGAAUGAAACCUUUUAUUUUAGCUUUAUAAAAGUUUGCAACAAGAAAUUGAAAUACUUUUGCAUCCUCUUAAAAAUAAAUUAUUUUUUGUGUCAAAUAAAUGAUUAAAUAAAAAACUUUAUUAAAGAUUAAUAAGUGGAUUUUUUUCUCAUUUUCAUAUCUACAUGGAAUUGAAAAAAUAUCAUUAAACAUAAUCACUAUCUUAUACGAUAUACGUUAAAUGAUUAAAAUGAUAUACGAUGUACGUAAGAUGAUUAAAAUGAUAUUUACUUCUAAAAAUAAUAAAAAAGUUAUUUUUAUAACAAAUCAUCACUCUUAUAAUAUUGUCAAUAUAGAAAAUAUUAAAAAAAAAACCUUAAACUGCACAAUUAAUAGACUCAUCAUAACAAUUUGAUGAAGAGAUAAAUUUAUGCAAACAACACAAAUAAUAUCUAAUAAAAAAUUUUGAAAUAUAAUUUUUUAAAGAAAAGCACAAAAUCUCAAAAUCCAUAACAAAUUAUCAAAAAAGGAAACUAUUAAGCACUGAGUUAAAUGUACAUAAAAAGAUGGUUACAAACAAAAAAUAUAUCAUGGAAUAUUUAUACUUUUAUCAAGCAUCUCUUUGAUGAUAGUAUUAACAAGAAAAUGAAUCAUAUCAUUCGCAUUAAUUACCUUAUAAUCAUCUUUAUUUUUUACAAUAAAAUUUUUUUUUAUAUAACAUACACCUCUUUCAUGAAUCUUAUUCUUCAAUCUAUAUACAUUAUGGCUCCAAAAAAUAUUAUGAAUAUAAAAUCUCUACAUAAGUACAAAAAAUUAUAAAAUAAAUAAAUAAUAAAAAAUAUAAAUAUAAAUAUAACAAAAAUAAAUGUAUUUUUUACAAUAAAUUUUUUUUAUAUAUAACAUACACCUCUUUCAUGAAUCUUAUUCUUCAAUCUAUAUACAUUACGGCUCCAAAAAAUAUUAUGAAUAUAAAAUCUCUACAUAAGUACAAAAAAUUAUAAAAUAAAUAAAUAAUAAAAAAUAUAAAUAUAAAUAUAACAAAAAUAAAUGUAUUUACAUACCUUUUAAUCAACUAACAUCAUUUAUAUGCUAAUACAUUGUUUAGUCUUAUAAUUAUAAACAUCCCACAAUUGACAAAUACAAAAAUUUGUUAAUCUAAUAAUCUCUUUCAAAAAUCAAUUUAGCAAUCAUGAAAUAAUGUAAUUGGCUAAAAGGUAAAUUUGAAAAUAAAAAAAAAAUUAUGAUCAUGACAAAAAAAAAAGUGAAUACUAAAAAAAAUCAAUCGGUUAAAAUAAUUGAUAUAUUAAAUAAAAUUAUAGAUCAUGAUUAAAAAAUAAAAAAUUAUAAAAUGCAAACACAAGAAAAAAACCUCACGAUAGGGAAAAUAAAAUAUAAUACAUAUAUAAAAUAUACUUAUAUAACUCUUUCGUACCUAACGAAAGAUAUGAAAAAGCAAAAAUUAUAAGAAAAUUAAAAGUAAAAUACAUAAACGUUAGAAAAUCAAAGAUGUAAUGAAUUUUAACAAAUAAUGAUUUUAAAAGCGUAAGUAGAAGAAAAUCAAAAGUCAAAAUCUAUAUAAAUGAUAGGUAACUAAAAAUUUAUUGUAUUUAUGUAAUAAAAUUAGGAGAUAUAAAUUUAAAAUUUAUGUGUAAAAGACUUGACAUUUAUUACAAAAUAGUUAAAUUUUAUAUAUUUAUAUGAUUACUGUGAAAAAUAAAACCGCUCUUCAAGCAUUUUAACCAAUUUGACGUAGCGGAAAAAAAAUUAGAAAGAACAUGAUACUUUUAUUUAUUAUAUUAUUAAAAGAUUUUUAGGUUAAAUUGAAAAAUUAAAUUUAUAUAUUUAUAUUAUCUCAUCAAUUUGAUAAAAAACUACACUGAAAUAUUAUUUCAUAGAUAUGAUACAACCAUUUUUUAUUGGUGCUAAUUGAGAUUGUUUGAUUAUAUUUUGUUUUUUUUUUAAAUAAGUAUUUAUUUUGAUACAAUAAUAAAUAAUAUUUUUUGAUAAAUAAAACUUAAUUUUUAAUAAUGAAAAAUAUUAAUUGAAAAAAUUAUAUAAAUACAUAUAUAUAUUUAUAUGUGUAUAUAUCUGAAAAUGAUAUAAACAUUUAUAAUUGCAUGAUUGUCACAUUUACCUUUAAAUCAAAUAUGCUUAUAAUUAAGUAUUGUCAUCUUCGUAUUAAUGUAAAUAGAAAAUUUUUUUAAAUUUUUAUUUCUUACUUAUUAUCAGUAUAAAAUAAAAUAAUAAUUUUAUCGUUCGAUCUCUUCUCUCUAGAAUUUUAGGUGUUAAUUUAAUAAAAUUACAAAAAAAAAAUUACUAUUUUUAUGUAGAAACACAAUAUUCUAGAGUUGAGUGGGGUCAUGCUUUUUAUAAUCAUAUAAUCAUGUUUUUUAAAUAAUCAUGCAUGGAAUCAAGACCGAAAAGUCUUUCACCUACUUGAUUUUUUUAUAACCUUUUUUUUUUUUUUUUUUGCGUGUGAUCAACUCCCAAAGGAAUAAAUAAUUCCGGAAAGUGUGAUUAGUUAUUAAAUGAAAUUCACAUGAAACCAGUAAACCAAAACCUGAUUUAUAAUUAUGGCUGGAGCACACAAUAAUCUAUAGGAAAAAAAAACAACUCCUACAUUAUAAAAGGGAUAGAUAUAAUCCAUGCCUUACUGAUUGACAUAACCUGCAACAAGGCAUACAUCAUGAAAGGCAUAGAUAUAACCUGCAACAAGUUUAAAAGGUAUAGAAAAAAAUAAUGGAGGCUGGACAUUGUAUUUUAAAAGCAAAUUGCAUGGAAAACCUUUUAUUUUAAAAGCGAUUGAGCAACAAGUCUGUCACAGUUCUUUGAACCUCUGUUCCUUCGCUUUUCACUAUUGUCCAUUGUGCUAUUUUAACAUAAAGUUGAAUAUUUGUGAAGAAAAUUGAAUCUUUUUCUUUUUCUUUUAUCAUCUCUUUCAGUCUAGAAUAAACAUUUUUUGUACUCAGAGUCGGGUUGUAAUAAUUCAAUAAUUUCUGCUCCUUCAAUUAUGUAAAUAUAGAUAACAUGUAAAAGUCUUGGAGAAAGAACUAAGCUCUUCAUAAAUUUUUAUAUAUAACACAUGCUCCAUACCUAUAUUCUAUAUAUAUUUAAUAUAUUUAAUAAAUUAAUUUUUAUUUAAUAAUAUAAAUUUUAUUUUAAAUUAAUUAGAAUUAACAUAUUUAUAUUUAAAAUAUUUAUUUAUAAAAAAUUAUAUAAAAGUUAUAACUAUGAAAUUACACAUAUCUAUUAAAUACUUACAAGGAUGAAGAUGUGAAUGAAUUUAAAAUAUUCAUUACGUAUGAAUGUAAAAAGAAAUAUAAUAUAAAAAACACGAAAUGAAAAUAAAAAAUAUUCCAUCUAUUCCAUGCCUUACUAAUUGAUAUGCUUAUUUUUUCCUAUAAAUGGAUGACUGAUUGGGGUUGGAAAUUUUGAAGAAUUUAUUUACUAAGUUUGGUUAGUGUAUCUUAUAAUUAUUCCCUUAAUAGUUCUCUUACCUUUUUUCAUAAAAGUUCCUCUCGAGGAAAUUAAUGCAUCAGCCUAUCAUUCUCUUUAUUCCAAAUUUAACCGUCCAUCUCCCUCUGGGGUUAAUUAGUUAGGGAAUCUAUCUUUGCAUAUGCAACAAGGAAGAACAACAAACAAACACAUCAAGUUAGGGAGUUUGCAAUACACACUUGGCCUACUUCAGUUAUGUUAGUACAUCAAAGUCUAUUGUAUUAACACUUUAACAGCAAUGCCAAAACAUUAUCUGUUCUUGAGGCAGCAACCAAUUCAAUGGCCAUUGUCCUUGAGAAGGGACCAUUUCAAAAAAUAAGCGCAAGUUGACAGAUUUAAUGAGCGUGAUGGGUGCCCAUUAGUCCCCAAGUCAAGGACGUUGGGCUGUCAAGCAAGCCCUGCUCCUAUCCUGACAUUUCUGUCUUGACCCAUGGACUUCAGUCAUUAUUGUGAAAAAUCAUAAAGCAUGACAUCUGAUAUAUGAUAGGAUUUGAAAAUGGGUUCCAAAUUAUGAGGCCCAAUGCCAAUGAAAGUUUCAGUCAUAAAAAAAAUGGCUGCAAGAAACUGAUCUAGCACAAGCAAUGCUCUCAUUUCAGAUGCAAGAGAUUGCCCUCACUGUCGAUAGCCUGCAAGAUCGCAAUUUUAGGCUGGCUAGAGUGAUAUCACAGAAGGUUAUCUGGUUAUGGAUGGAUACAAGGAGGAAGUUCUGCAAAUAAUAAAAGCAAUUAAUUUUAAAUUGAUAUAAGAGUCCUACAUAUAUUAAAUAUGGAGGCCCUUCAAUUUUUUUACAGUGUUAGCACUAAAUCUUUCCUAAUUCCAUAAUUGUAGCAUUUCUAGUGCAAAAAAUCUACCAUCAACAUUGGAACAGACUAGAAACAAACAUAAAUCAUAUAAUUUUUUAAAAUGUUUUCACUGAAUACAAGAUUAGAAUUAACCUUCCAAUGCCUUGAGACUAUUGCAUUAACAUUGAACAAACUUCUCAAAAUGGGACAAAAUGAAUUUUCAAAAUUAUAUUCUGUAUAGAUUGACAGCUUAAUUCUUUAUGCCAAAGCUCUUGGUUGCUGAGGGUGUAAAAGAAAGUAAGAAGCUGAACCCAGUUUCAACAACAGCAAAAUGCAUUUAGCAUUGCUUGGGACUAGCCGAAGUAAGUUGAUGAAGUAAUGGUUGUGAUUGCAAGGUCCAUAAGAGCAGAGAAUGGCAUCCCAUGUCUUCACAGGGUUACAAUGGAAGGCAUAUGCUUUGUACAUAGUCUAAUAUAUGUGCAUUAAACCAAAAUUGGCAGUGUUGAAUCAAUGACGGAUAUAAGAUUUUUUUUAUUAAAGUGUUCACUUAUAACAGAUAAAAAAAAAUUGAUAAAUUUACUAAUGUUAUUGACAAAAAGAGUGUUUUAAAGAAUUUUGAGAAUCUAUGAACAUUAUCUAUAUAUGUAGAUCUGUUUUAAGUUGAAUCAUAAUCAUCACCUAGCACACAGACACAAUCUCAUGAAAAGUUAAAAAAUAAUCUCAUAAAAUAUCAAGUCGAAGCAAAUAAAAAUAUUUUCCAAGCAGAUGAAACAGUAAAAAGUAAAUUGAAAAUUCAAUAUGACAGUGCCACUGAUAUUAGUAUCAUUGUUAUCUCUCAUCAUUUAUCAGUUCAGUUCUGAUCAAGGCAAAGAAGUUGAUAUUAGCCGAUCAAGCUGCACAAGGCUAUGGUGAAUGGUAGUGGCAGCAGAGGAAUCAGAGUAGCAUUGUCCUUCUACCUACCUAGAUUUGGUGAUUGUUGCAAAUUGUUUCUAUUUGCAUUUCUAAACUUCAUUUGCUUUUGUAGAACAACAGCUUCUGUAAUUUGAACUGCAACGAACAUCAAUAAUCAAAUUAAACCUCCACGUAUUUAAAAGAUAACAUGUAUUUAAGUCAAUCAAAGCUUAGUACAGUCCAUUUCUCUUUCAUUUAUGUAAAUAUAGAUAACAUGUAAAAGUCUCGUAGAAUUUACUAACCUCUUCGUAAACCCUUUUAGUCCUUUUAUAGGCCAGAAAGCCAAAUCCACAUGGAGAUCCAAGAGUUCUUGUAUUUCAAGAAGCAGGAUUAAUGGUUUGGAACUUUGAUUUACUCAUUCAAAUCAGAUGGAACAAAAUAUUGUUUAGAUUUGAAAUAUACCUGAUCUCCGACUUGCGUUAGCCUGCUACAGUAAUCACAAUGUACACAGAUUGUAAUUUGUAAACCUUGCACACUGCCCACAAAAUCAAUUUCAAAACAUCAAGAUUACUUCAGAUACUUUCUUCAAGAUUUGAAUUUCAGAAGCAAAUCAUAAUUAUCAGCACCUCCAUGCUACCAAAAAUCAUAAAGCAAGAAAUCAGUAUUUCGUUACUAGCUACCUUUUAAGUGGUUUAACAUGCUUGUAACCAGGAUACAUCAUGUCUCCAAACAAAAUAGUACCCACUUUUACCGACGGCUUAAAACAAUGGCAUGGAUUGACUACAAAGAAAAACUCAACCAGUUAAGAUGGUUUAGUGGAAAAGAAGAGAACAAGCUUAGGUGUUUCUUUUAGUCAUUGCAUCAAUGGUGUCACAUACUGAUGCCUAGGUUCAACGUCACUGCUGGUACAGUAUCUACAUUUCUCAGACAUUGAGGCACAGGCAGGGAAGCUUCUCCAUAAAGCAUAAGCUCAAUGCAUCUGUACAGUUGGUCUGGUAAGAAACAACAUAUGUCCUGCAUUGCCUGUUCUGGUAAGAAACAGUAUCUGUGCCGCACUGCCACUUACCAUUUUUUAUCUUCUUUAAGUUCCCUGGUUCAAGUUUUAUUACAAUCUUAUAAAAAAAAUAGAAAAAAAAUUAAAGGUUUCACAUCAAUUUCUUAGAAAUUGUAAUCUAUAGGUUAAACAACAUGCAAUAAGAACAAAUACUCUUUCUUUGAGAAAUAAUCAAAUGAUAUGAAAACAUAAAACAGUUUUUAAAAUAUCUAUCAAUUAAAGCAAUUAAUAAUAAAGUUUUGUAAUUUAACAUGCAAAUAAGAAGUAAUUUAGGAAUAAAAGACUUUAUCAAAGGUUUCAGAAUUAGCAAAAUUUUUAAUUUUAUAUCAGAAAAAGUAUUAUUUCUGUUGGUAAUUAAUAUCUCUUCCUCCCAUUAUCCAUUUUCACACCAUGUUUCAGUAUGGAACUAGCUUGUAGACCUUCAUUGAGCUCCAAUUGGUUUGAAAUUACUGAAAUUGAAGUACAAAAAGAAGCUAUAAACAUGUAAACAGCUGAACAUUAAAUAAAACUAGCUUCUUACCAUCUACACUGUCUCGCACAUUCUGCAACUUCAAUGAAUGCCUGUAAACAGAUAAUUAUCAGUUCCCUUUUUCCUAACUCAAAGUUGGGAUGCAGGUUCUAAUUAAUGUCAUUUCAUACUACAAAAAGGAUGAAAAUCAAAUUGACAGGAAAGACAGACACCAGAUAAAGAUCCAUGUGACUGGUGGUACAGACUCCCCGCAUACCCUGAAAAAUGAACAAUGAUAAUAUCGUAUAAGUUUCAAAAUGGAAGUAGGAUGAACAGCAUUGUUUUUUGGAAUUGGAAAUCCAUUAGGAAGAAAGUGGAAAAGCUUUUCCAAAUUGAAAUACCUAACCUUGAGUAUAAGCAAAGGAUAAUGUAAAUUUGUAGUCAUUCAUUCUUCCCUUUACUUUUCAGAGAUUAAACAGCUUUCCAUUUGUCGUCUCUGGAUCAUAGAUGAAUAUACAAUCAAUUUCAUCUUUGAAAUAUAAUCAACUAAACUAAACCUUUCUAUGCCACAUGUAACAUAUGCAAGAAUUGGUCACUGGCAAUGCAAAUUUCUCAAAAUUGUUUUUUAUAUGCAAUAUCAUAUAUAAUUGUGGACCAAAAUCCUCCUAAAGUUCUAAGUGUUACAACUAUUCCAAUGCAUUUCCAAAUUGUCAUACAUGGGUCUAAUUGGUUUCAGUCAAGUUCCUCUUGAUAACAGAUGAAACUAUCAUCAAUUUGGAAAAGAGCAAGUGGACAGUGUUGAGCCACUGUUGUUCUUUAUCACCUUGCUUUGCACCAUUCUAUUAGCAAUGUACAAUUAUAAAUAUAUAAAUAAUGAAGGUUAUUAAAAGUAGUGUAAAAGAGAAGAAUAAAAAGGAACUUUUAACUUCCAUACUUAGGUUUCAUUACAAAUAUGGAAGAAGGUAUACUCUUUACUUGUGCCAUUUUCUUCUCGGCGAGAUGAAAUGGUUGUUUUUUUUCCACCUUCAAGUAAUAGAUGAAUCCUUUAUCCAUGUAUUCAUAGAUGAUAGGCCGUUAUUUCACAGUUGAGCUCAGGAACUCUGCAAGAACAAACAAUAAGGGCGUCUUAAAAUGUUGCAGUGAUGGAUCAUAACUCCCAAUAAUUACAUGUCCAAUAACUAUAGAAGAAAUUAAAACAUGUAAAAUUAUCCCAAAAAUAUUGUUAACGUGAAAAAAUUAUUGUUUUCAAAAAGACAUACCUGGAUUUUCUGAUUCUUUUCAAUAAAAUGAAAGAACCUUUAGUUAUACUAGUUCGGAACUAUUGAUUAAAGAAGAUGAGUUUCCAGAUGCAACCAAUGUUAUUUUCACAACUGCAGCUAUGGUCUCACGGAUCAUUCAACCUUCCAGACAUCCAUAGUUGGUAGGUCCUACAAAAACCAAAUAGACUAAAUCAUAGUUUAAAAGAAGGAUAAAAAUGUCAUGGUCAACUUGACCAGCCUCUACUUUAGUAUUUCAAUUCAACCAUUAAUAUGAUAAAAACAAAUUUGCUAAUGCUCCAAAAUAGUAAAUAUUUGGAUUGAAAAUAGAAAGAGCUAUACGUGUGUUAUCAAAAUUGGUAGGUUUUUGCGUAAAAGGUGUCAAUUUAAUGCCAAAGCAUGGAUGGUUUGCUAUGAAAUUACUUUAUUUAUAGAAAAAAGAAAAAAUCACUUUACUUACCCAAAAAACCAAAGAAAAUCCUUUUCUGAAAGUUCAAUCUUUACCCUCAGCAGAUAACAAGCAUUUUGUAGAUAAGGUCGUAGUUAAUAUCAUAUCCUGCAAAAAUAACCAUAAAUCUCAAUUUUUUUUGAAUUAAUGCAAAAAAAUCGAAGGACUAUGAACGUAAAAAUAAUUAAAUGUCUGAAGAUUAAUAAAAUAAAUUCCAAGUGUUUUCCUUUCUCUUUAGUGUAUAAAUUUGAAUUUGUAAGGAAUAUAAUAAAAAAAAAUUUUGUAAGGGUUAUAAUAAAUUUGAAAUUGACAUACUUACGACUUUGAGUCGUUAACUUUCUUGUCAACUUUGCUGCCCUGAAGAAUUAUUGUCUGAACCAUUAUCCUCUGAAACAGAAUUAGCUGGAAUCAUAGAUGUAUCUGUUAUCAAUUUCCACAUAAGGUAUAUGGUCUAUCUUGGACCACUCUGGUCCUUUAUCCUUUCCACACCGUUCUUUUAGCACUGGACAUCUCCGAAUAAGUAGCAGCAAAAGCGAAGAAAGCAUCUUCUUUUCCGGAAGAGACUUGAGGUUUGGGCAAGAAUCGAUAGACAAGAACUCCAGAGAGGUGAGGUCCUGAAAGCCCUUGGAGGAUAGGGUUUCUAGUUUUGGGAAAUUGAUGAUGUCGAGAGAGGUGAGAGAGCAGGGUAGCGUCAUUCCUAUCUCUUCUUGUGGAAACAACACUGCAUCGGGGCACCCAUUUUCUAUCCAGAGAAAUUUAAGAGAAGUAAGUCUAUGCAAUCCCCAAUCAAUUAGUGGCUUACAGAUGUUGGGUCCUUUGAUGGUAAGACUUUUGAGAUUAGUAGGAAUGCCCUCUUCUGGGAAGGAUGUCAGAAUUGAACAAUUUUUUAUUUCUAAUUCUUCUAGACAGCUGAGGUUGUGAAUACCGUCGGGCAGAGUUUGGAGUUUUUCACAUGAACGGAGGCGGAGGACUUUGAGGUUUGAGGUGGGCAAACCACUUUCUGGAAAGGAAACCAAAUUUGAACAAAUACAUACGUCUAUGCACUGGAGAUGGCUGAGCCUGUUCAGGCCUUGAGGUAAAUACUUAAUAUUACUACACCCAAGGAUAAUAAUACUUUCAAGAGAAGAGUUAUCUUGAAUUUCUUGAGCUAUGAACUCUAGCUUUUCACAAUCGUGUAUUUCAAGUCGUUUAAGCCUCGUGGGUAACUCCCCUCUUGAUGAUAAAGAUACCAGAGAUGGACAAUUGUCAACAUACAACCGUUCAAGAAGACAUGCACUGCUGAGGUUAAUAUUCUCUCCCUCUUCCAACAAACACCGUAAAUUUUUACAAUCAAUAAUCGCUAGGCUUUUGAGAUUUGAAGGCAAAUUGUUGUUUGAAAGAGAAAUCAGAGAUGGACAACUGCUAAUAUUCAAAUGCUCAAGAAGACAUACACUGCCGAUGUUAACGUUCUCUCCCUCUUCGAACAAACACCGAAUAUUUGUACAACCAAUAAUCACUAGGCUUUUUAGAUUCUUAGGCAAAUUGUUGUUUGAAAGAGAAAUCAGAUUUGGGCAAGACCAAAACUCUAGCACCCUAAGUGAUGAUACGUAGUGCAAAGUUUUUGAUAGCUUUUCUAACCUUUCACAAUCCCUUAUUGUCAGUUUUUGAAUGGUACAAGGGAUCUUUAACUGCAUCAAUUCUUCUCUUUCCUCCUCUGCCCCUAUGGAGACAAGUUGUGACCACUUUCCAAUACUCAAUUCACCAAGUGAAAUCGACUGAGUUAGCAAUCCCCAAUUGUUCUCUUGCAAAGAGUACAACUCCUCACAAUCGUCGACCUUAAGGGAUUCCACUUUUAUUGAUCCUAACGUCAACCAUUCUGCUGCACAAGUAAACUUGGGAAUUCUUGAAAAACAGACUCUUUUUAAUGAGCUGUCAUCUACAAAACCUUUAUACACUAUCCCGUGGCACCCUUCAAUAUCCAAUUCUGAAAGCAUUGGAAGGCUUUGAAUUGAAAUCACCAAUUUCUCACAAUAAGAAAUCACAAGUUUCUCCAAAGAAGGAAGAUUUUCCGGUAUACUCCCCAACAGUUCUGGGCAAUUCACAAUACGAAGCUCACGAAGUUUAGGGAAUUUCCUAGCUUCCUCGUUAACUUCACAAAAGUUCCAAUUCUCCCAUUUAAGCAUGUUUUCAAAUUCUAAAGUCUCCAAUGAAGGAAAUGCAUUUGGUGCAUUCUUUCCAAAGAACUCAACUCCCACACUAGUUACAUUAUCCAAUGCCUUGAUUAUUAAGUUUUCCAACAAUGGCAACUGCCCAAAUGAUGGCAAUGAUAUGCAAUUUGGACAAAAUUCAAGGCACAAAGAUAGUAACUUAUUGAAUGAAGAAUCCCCUAUCCAUUUCACCAACCUCAUACCAUAAUAGCACCUGAGGCCAAGCUCCUUAAGCUUUGUUGAAGGAUGAAGCAAAUCCAACACUUCUGUCUCGAUUUCUCCAUUUCUAUUGUUAAAGUCUUCACUCCACAUCAAUUCUAACUUAUCCAGUCCUGAUUUCUCAUGUAACUUAGCCUUCCGUGCAUCUUGAGCUUCAACCACAUUCUCUAACCCUGAAAUACAAAGUUGACCCUUGAGAUUUGAUAAACCCCCUAGCUCCCUUAUUUGACAUCCUUUGCCCUUUUGCAAAAUAAAUUUGGAUAGUGUUUGAAGAUCACUUAGUCUGCAAAAAUUACUUGGCAUGCCUUCUAAUCUAUUUAUACCUGUGAUAUCAAGAUAACAUAGGUUGACUAGGUUUUCCAUCUCUGAAGGUAGCUUCUCAAGCUCUACACACCAACUUAAUAAAAGGGUUUCUAAAUUAUAGAGGGUACUUAUGGACUCUGGCAAGCAUUUAAUAAAAGUGCGAGAAAGAUUUAGGUACCGUAAGUGUUUUAAAUCUCCGAUAAAAUCUGGCAGCUUAUAGAUUAGAUACCCUUCCAAAGAAAGCACCCUUAGGCAUUUCAAAUUUGGCAACAAAUGUGUUAGAACGUCAUUAGUAACCCAGCAAGGCAUAUAAUUGGAAAGCCUAAAUGGCAAAAAAGUACGUAAACGUUGCGCUUCACUAAUGCCGAUAAAUUUUUUGAUGCCAUCAUACAUGCCACCAAUGUAAGAUAAGUGACGAGUGUGCUUUAAAGUUUUCUGACCACCUUCAAUUUUAAAGCAUAUGUCUCCGGCAAUUGAUUGAGCCAAAUCAUUGAUGAGGUCAUGCAUAACAAAUCGAGAUCUAUCUUGGUUUGAUAUUUGCAAAAGUGACCUCGAUACUAGAUCUCUAAAAUACUUGUGGCCUAGAUCUUCAAUGCUACGUUUAUCUCUUGCUUCCCGUAAAAAGCCUUCUGCCCUCCAUAACAAGAUUAUUUCUUUCUCUUGAAAUUCAUAGUCCUUAGGAAGAAUGGAGCAAUAUGCAAAGCACCGCUUCAAAUGUGGAGGAAGAUGAUGGUAACUCAAUUGGAGAGCUGGAAUUAUGUCAAACCGAUGGUCUGAUAGCUUCCAUAUCUCACUCUCCAAUAUUUUUUCCCAAGCAUCAAGGUCAACAUCAGUACGAGCCAAGCCUCCAAGGGUUUUAGCAGCCAAAGGCAAGCCAUUACACUUUCUCACUAUUUUCUCAGCAACUUCUUUUAGAUUUGGAUGUCCUUCAAAAUCUUUUGCUCCCAAUGCAUGUUGAGCAAAUACAGACAAACAACCAUCUUCUGACAAAACUUCCAAAGAAUGAGCAAAAGAAGCACCCAUUGCAGAUGAAACAGCAAAACUUCUUGUUGUCACGAUAAUUUUGCUCGCUGGAGUCCUUGUUAGAAAAGGAGAUUGUAAAAUGGUCCAGUCAUGAUAAUUCUCAUUCCAGACGUCAUCCAAAACAAUCAAAAAAUUUUUCCCUGACAACGUCUCCUUUAAUUUUCUUUGAAGCGAAUUCAAAUCAUUGUCAUUACAUGGCUCUGAAGUGACUGCUUGGAAAAUUGCUUUUGUUAUUCUUGUGACAUCAAAAUCAUCAGAAACACAAACCCAUGCUUUGAGAUCAAAAUGAUCGUGAACAGUAGCAUCAUUGUAAACAAGUUGGGCCAAGGUUGUCUUACCGAUCCCUCCCAUUCCAACGAUGGGAAUCACAAAAUUUCCGUUAUCAUCACCGUUGAAGACCAAUUCAAGUAUUGUCCCCUUGUCUUUGUCUCUGCCAUACACCUGAGUUUCGAUCUCCAGAGAAGUAGGCUGCUGCAAUUCUUUUAUUCUGUUGGAUUUCGAGCAGUCAAUCAUUCUCAGUUGCAACUGAUUUUUUCGAGGCUCUAAAUCUUUCAAUCUGGAAGUGAUAUCUUUUAUCUUUGACAUCAUGUCACUGUUACAGAAAACAUCAUUGAAUGUAUCAAGUCUGGAUUUCUUACUUGAGCUACCAUGACGUUCCAACUUCAAAUUGCGCCUGGCAAUUUCGGUUUCGACCUCGUCCACAACGUCAUCCACAUCGUAUGCCAUGUUUUGGAGAUCUGACAACCAAAUUUUCACAGAUUGUUCUUUGAUCUGCCUCUCCUCAGCAUCAUCAAGCAACGCACGAAUCUCCAGCAAUUCCUUCUUCAAUUUCUCAAGCUCUUCUUGAAUCUGCUUUUCACCGGGAAAUUGAAAGAAUUGAAAAGAACCCAACUUGUCUAGGAGAUAGUCAAAGAAAUUGGAGACAACAACUUCCCGUAUAGCGGACAAGGCUUCGCUAAGCAAAGACAUGGUUGGAUUGCGUAGUUGGAAGAAAUUAGGGGAAGAAACAAGAUUAGAGAAAGCUGAGAAAAGAGUUUGAGCUAGCAGCAAGUAAUGAAGUUUGGUAAAGAUGAGUUGUUUGUAUUAGAUUGAUUUCGGGAAUCUUUUACAAGUCAAUAUUGGACUCACAUUGAUAUUUAAAUAUUAUUUUUAUUAAUUUUAAUAUUUAAAAAAAUAAAAAAUUACUAUCAAAUAAUCAAAUUUCACUUUCUUUAAACAUUGUUUUCCCUUCCUAAACGUGCAUUUAAAUUCAUCUAAAGCUUUCAUUAGGCUACGAUUAUAAUGAAAAAAUGUGUAAAAAAUCACAAAAAGACACCAAAUAUCCAUUUGGCUGGCACAAUAGUUUACUCUGGUGGGAAAACGACCUCGACUUUUUUUUUUUUUUUCAAGACAAUUAUUUGCAUCCUAACUUCUUUUUAAUACAUCUCAAAAAUUUUACUAUAAAUUAAUAAUAUUUGACAAUUUUUUAAAAAAGUUUAUAUUUUUAAAUUUUCCUUUUUACUUUAAUACUACAUUUGAAUGCUUUAAAUGAAAUAAUAAUUGUCAAAUAUUGUUACAGAAGAUUUUAUAACACAAUAAAUAUGAUUAUUUACUGAAUUUUUUUUUUAAAAAAUACAGUAAUUGUUUACUGCAUCCACGAAUGGAUAUAAAGCGUCCACGUCUCCCUAUGUGCAAAAACUCUGCACAACUUACUGACAAGAUGCCCGUAAAAAAAAGGAAAACCCUCUCAUUGUUUUUUUUUUUUUUUUGAACGUUUGUUUCAUGAAAUUGUAAAUUUUAAAAAAAAUUGAUUUUCAAAAUUUUUUUUCAUUUAUAUAAAUUAUUAGUUAUUUAUUGUAUUUUUUUUAUAUAUCAUAUUCACCUAUCAUAAUUCAUAGUAAUAAAAUUGUGGGGGCCAUGUUAGACUUUUGUUGUGAUUUAAUCUUUGGGAAUUAACCGUCGCCCAAUUUGAUCGCAUGGUUGAUCAAAAAAUUUCAUGUGAUGAGCUCAUCGGAACAAAAAUCCCAUGUAAAAUAAAAGAGUAAAAAUUCAUUUUUCAUACGAAUACAAACAGUAAAAUUGGGAUUUAUUUAUCCUUUAAACAUUUUUAAAAAAUAAUAUAUAUGUAUAUAUAUUCUAUUAUUGUUUGUUAUUAAUUCUUUUGUUUAAAUAAUUGUUUUUAUUUUAAUACAUUUAUAAUUAUAAAUAAAUGAAUUUAUAUAAUUUAUAUUUUUUAUAAAAAUAUCUGUAAUUUAAUAAUAUAGAUAUAUAGAUUUUAUUAUUACUGUUAGAUUUAAUAAUUUGUAUAUUUUUAAAAUAUAAAAUAUUAAAAUUUAUGUAUUAAUAUCAUAUUUUAUAUAAAAUUAUAUGUUAUAAUUUAUAUCGAUAAAAAAUUAUAAAAUACAUAUUUUUAAUUUUAUUAAACUUAAAUAUAAUAAUUAUUAAAAUUUUAAAUUAUAUUAUUUUAAUAUUUUAUAUUCAUAUCAUAUUAUUAUGUUAUAUUUUAGAUUAUCAAAUUUAAUUAUUACAUAAAAAUUUAAACUUUUGUUGAAUAAAUAAAAAUUAAAUAGGAAAGAAAAUAAUAAAGUACAAGAAGUUAAAAUUUGAGCUCUGGUAUCUUUAAACAUUAUUUCCCCUUUAUGAGAGAGUUAGUAGUAAAUUUUUUAUGCAAUAAUAUUGGUGUAUAGAUUGACUGUUCGUGGUUAUCUUCUAAAAAAUUAUGUCCGUUGUGAAUCAGUAUUUUCUGGUUAGCUUUUGAAGCAAGACUUAUGCUAUCCUCCCCACUAUUGGUCCGACAUAGGUAAUAAUUGGAACAUUUAAUACAACUACAAAAAAAAAAAAAAAGUAUUUUUUUAUACACAAAAAUGAUAUUCUAGAAUUGAGUAGGUCAUACUUGUUAUAACCAUAUAAUCAUGUUUAUUAAAUAAUCAUGCAUGGAAUCAAUACCAAAAGUCUUUCACUUACAUGAUUCUUCUAUAAAUUUUUUUUGUUUGGCAUAUGAUCAACUCCUAAAGGAAUAAAUAAAUCUGGAAAGUGUGAUUAGUUAUUUAAUGAAAUUCACAUUUAACCAAUAAACCAAAACCUGAUUUUUAAUUAUGGCUGCACACACAAUAAUCUAUAGGAAAAAAACAACUCAUGCAUUAUAAAAGGCAUAGAUAUAAUCCAAAAAGCUGCAAAAAUUUUAAAGGGUAGAAAACAAAAAUAAUGGAGGCUGGACAUUGUAUUUUAAAAGCAAAUUGCAUGGAAAACCUUUUAUUUUAAAAGCGAUUGAGCAACAACUCUGUCACGGCUCUUUGAACCUCUGCUUCUUCACUUUUCCCUAUUGUCCAUUGUGCUAUUUUAACGUAACGUUGAAUAUUUUGUGAAGAAAAUUGAAUCUUUUUUUUUCUUUUAUCAUUCUUUCAGUCUAGAACAAACAUUUUUUGUACUCAGCCUUGGUUUGUAAUAAUUCAAUAAUUUCUGCUUUAUGUAAAUAUAGAUAACAUGUAAAAGUCUUGGAGAAAAAAUAAUUUUUUUCAUUUUGAGUGUAAAAGUCUUCGAACUUCCAAGAUCACUUCGAAGUUCAAACUAAUUACACACCAAGAAAGAAAGUUUUGGAUGAUUUGAGUUAAUCUUCCAUGUAGUAAUAGUAAAAUACAUCACCAUUUUUGGAGGGAUUUUUGUUUUCCUGGUUUGGAUGAUUGUGCCAUUGAUGUUAGUAUCACCAUUAACAAAUCUUAGAGGAAGAGAAGUUGAUAGUAUAGCCCAUCAAGCUGCACAUGGCUAUGGUGAAUGGUAGUGUCAGCAGAUAAAUCAGUGUAGCAUUGUCCGUAUAGCUACCAAUAUUUGCUGAUUGUUGCAAUUCAUUCCAUCUGCAUCUCUAAACUUCCUUUAUUUGCUUUUGUAGAACAAAAGCUUCUGCAACUUGAACUGCAACCAACAUCAAUAAUCAAAUUAAACCUCCAUGUAUUUAAAAGAUAACAUAUAUUUAAGUCAAUCAAAGAUUAGUAUGGGCCAUUUCUCUUUCAAUUAUGAAAAUAUAGAUAACAUGUAAAAGUCUUGGAGAAAGAACUAACCUCUUCAUAAACCUUUUCAGUCCUUUUAUAGGCCGGAAAGCUAAAUCCAGAGAGAUCCAAGAGAGAAUUUAACUCAUCCGAAAAAAGCAUUCAACAUUCCUGUAUUUCCAGAAGCAGAAUUAAUGGUUUCAUACUUUGAUUUACUCAUGUUCAAAUCAAAUGGAACAAAAUAUUGUUUAGAUUUGAUCUAAACCUGCUCUCUAACUUGAUUUAGCUUGCCACUAUAAUCCACCGUCUUUUCUUUUUGUCAAAUCAGGCAGAGAAACAGAUCAAGAUGUACAGGAGACAAGGGUUUUCUGAUCUACCAAUCUGCAUGGCAAAAACAUAGCACUCAUUUUCACACAAUGCCUCGGAGAAGGGGGCGCCAAGUUUAUUUAACUUUACCAAAAAGGGAUGUGAGAGCCAGCAUAGCAGCUGAGUUUAUUUAUCCUUUAGUUGGUACAAUGAGCACAAUGCCCAGGGCUACCAACGAGGCCUUGCUUCUAUGAAAUUGAUAUUGACACUGCCAUUGCAAAGGUUAUUGGUCUUCAUGAAGCUUUAAUUGAAACCUCUCAAGCAGGUGUGAUUCUCUAAGGUGCUUGCUGAGGCCUUCUCAAGUGUGCACAUGCAGCAAUCGAGCAACAACUCUUAUCUGUCACAGUUCUUGGAACCUCUGUUCCUUCACUUUUUCAGUUGUCCUUUGUGCUAUUUUAACAUAAAGUUGAACACUGCAUUUCUAAACUUACUUCAUUUGGCUUUGUAGAACGAAAGCUUCUGCAAUUUGAACCGCAACCAACAUCAAUAAUCAAAUUAAACCUCCAUGUAUUUAAAAGAUAACAUGUAUUUAAGUCAAUCAAAGCUUAGUAUGCUCCAUUUUUUUUCAAUUAUAUAAAUAUAGGUAACAUGUAAAAGUCUUCGAGAAAGAACUAACCUUUUAUAGGCCAGAAAGCCAAAUCCACAGAGAGAUCCAGGAGAAAUUUAGCUCAUCCUUUAGGUGAAAGAAGCAUUCAAUAUUCCUGUAUUUCAAGAAGCAGGAUUAAUGGUUUGGAACUUUCAUUUACUCAUGUUCAAAGCAGAUGGAACAAAAUAUUGUGUAGAUUUGAAUUAUACCUGAUCCCUAACUUCAGUUAGCUGGCUACUAGUGUCACGGACGUAAGGGGGAGUCCUGAAUCCCACAUCGAACAUAAUAGGAGGGUCACUAGGGUAUAAAAGGGUUCACACCAUCUCCGCCUUGUGAGGCGCCUUUUGUAGGACAAAACCGUGAGGCCAGGGGGGUCAGAGCGGACAAUACCUCACAAGGGUGUGAACCGUGGCGGAAGGCUGAUCUGGGACGUCGAAAAGGUGAAUGCCCGGGUCCCAGAGCCGCACGGGUUCGAAGCUUUAGUCUCGACCCGUGACAAGUGGUAUAAGAGUCAGCCCUAAACCGUUCGAUCCACGCCGAGCGCCUCGAGGGAGGUAGGCAGGGUGGCCGGCCUCCGUGACGAGAGCGUCAUGAGGUUGAGUGCGGGAGAAUGUCUCGAACCUAAGAGGGAGUCCUAAAUCCCACAUCGAACAUAAUAGGAGGGUCACUGGGGUAUAAAAGGAUUCACACCAUCUCCGCCUUGUGUGAACCGUGACGGAAGGCUGAUCUGGGACGCCGGAAGGGUGAAUGCCCGGGCCCCGGAGCCGCGCGUGUUCGAGCUUUAGUCUCGACCCAUGACACUAGAAUGUUAUGUUCACAGAUUGUAAUUUGUAAACCUUGCACACUGCCCACAAAAUUAAUUCAAAACAUCAAGAUUACUUCAGAUAUUUUCUUCAAGAUUUGAAUUCAGAUGCAAAUCAUAAUUAUCGCAUCUCCAUGCUACCAACAGUCAUAAAGGAAGAUACCAGUAUUUGGUUUACCAGCUACCUUCUAAGUUGUUUAACAUGCUUGUAACCUGGAUAUAUCAUGUCUCCAAACAAAAGAGUAUCCACUUUUAUGACAGCUUUAAACAAUGGCAUGGAUUGACUAAAAAGAAAAAACUCAUCCAGGUAAGAUGGUUUAGUGGAAAAGAAGAGCAAAAGCUUGGGUGUUUCUUUUAAUCAUUGCAUCAAUGGCUUCACUUACUGAUGCCUAGGUUCAAUGUCACUGCUGGCACAGUACCUACAUUUCUCAGACAUUGAGGCACAGGCAGGGAAGCUUCUCCAUAAAGCAUAAGCUCAAUGAAUCUGUACAGUUGUUCUGGAAAGAAACAAUAUAUGUGCUGCACUGCCUAUUCUGGUAAGAAACAGUAUCUGUGCUGCACUGCCAUUUACCAUUUUUAUCUUCUUUAAGUUCCCUGGUUCAAGUUUUAUGACAAUCUUAUAAGAAAAAAUGGAAAAGAUUAAAGGUUUCAUGUCAAUUUCUUAGAAAUUACAAUCUAUAGGUAAAACAACAUGCAACAAGAACAAAUACCCUUUCCUUGGAGAAAUAAUCAAAUGAUACAAAAACAUAGAAGAGUUUUUAAAAUAUCUAUCAAUUAAAGCAACUAAUAAUAAAGUUUUGUAAUUUAACAUACAAAAAAGAAGUAUUUAGGAAUAAAAGACCUUAUCAAAGGUUUUAGAAUUAGCAAAUUUUUUAAUUUUACCAUUGUAUCAGAAAAAGUAUUAUUUCUGGUGGUAAUUUCUAUCUUUUCCUCCCAUCAUCCAUUUUCAUUCCAUGUUUCAGUAUGGAACUAGCUUGUAGACCUUCAUUGCACUCCAAUUGGACAGAAAUUACUAAAAUUGAAGUACAAAAAAGAAGCUAUAAAUAAGUUAAUGCAUGAACAUUAAAUAAAAAUAGCUUCAUACCAUCUACAUUGUCUCGCACAUUCUGCAACUUCCAUGAAUGCUUGUAAACUGAAAAUUAUCAGUUCCCUCUUUCCUAACUCAAAGUUGGGAUGCCGGUCUUAAUCAAUGUCAUUUCAUGCUAAAAAUGGAUGAAAAUCAAAUUGACAGGAAAGACAGACACCAUACAAAGAUCCAUGUGACAGGUGGUGUAGACUCCUCGCAUACCUGAAAAAUGAACAAUGAUAAUAUUCGUAUAAGUUUCAAAAUAGAAGUAUGAUGAACAAAAAUGUUUUUUGAAAUCGGAAAUCCAUUAGGAAGAAAGUGGAAAAGCUGUUCCAAAUUGAUUUACCUAACCUUGAGUAUAAGCAAAGGAUAACGUAAAUUUGUAACCCCUCAUCCUAACCUUUACUUUUCAGAGAUUAACAGCUUUCAAUUUGACUUCUCUGGAUCAUAGAUGAAUAUACAAUCUAUUUCAUCUUUGAAAUACAUAUCCAAAUAAACUGAACCUUUCUAUGCCACAUGUAACAUAUGCAAGAAUUGGUCACUAGCAAUGCAAAUUUCUCAAAAUUGAUUUUUACAUGCAAUGUCAUAUAUAAUUGUGGACCAAAAUCCUCCUAAAGUUCUAAGUGUUACAACAAUUCCAAUGCAUUUCCAAAUUGUCAUACAUGGACAUCCUCUAAUUGAUUUUAGUCAAAUUCCUCUUGAUAACAUAUGAAACUAUCAUCAAUUUGGAAAAAAGCACGUGACAGUGUUGAACCACUCUUGUUCUUUAUCACCUUCCUUUGCACCAUUCUGUUAGCAAUGUACAAUUAUAAAUAUAUAAAUAAUGAAGGUUACUAAAAGUAGUGUAAAAGAGAAGUAUAAAAAGGAAUUUUUAACUUCCAUACUUAGGUUUCAUUACGAAUAUGGAAGUAGGUAUAUUCUUUACUCGUGCCAUUUUCUUCUCGAUGAGAUGAAACAGUUGUUUUUUUCCCACCUUCAAGUAAUAGAUGAAUCUUUUAUCCUUGUAUUCAUGGAUGAUAGGCCGUUAUUUCACAAAUUGAGCACAGGAACUCUGCAAGAACAAAUAAUGAGGGAGUCUUAAAAUGUUGCAGUGAUGGAUCAUAACUCCCAAUAAUUACAUGUCCAAUUAGCUAUAGAAGAAACUAAAACAUGUAAAAUUAUCCCAAAAAUAUUGUUAACGUGAAAAAAUUAUUGUUUUCAAAAAGACAUACCUGGAUUUUCUGAUUCUUUUCAAUAAAAUGAAAGAACCUUUAGUUAUACUAGUCCGGAACUAUUGAUAAAGAAGAUGAGUUCACGUCUCCAGAUGCAACCAAUCUGCAGCUAUGGUCUUACAGGUCAUUCAGCCUUCCGGACAUCCAUGGUAGGUCCUACAAAAACCAAAUAGACUAAAUCAUACUUUAAAAGAAGGAUAACAAUGUCAUGGUUAACUUGACCAGCCUCUACUUUAGUAUUUUCAAUUCAACCAUUAAUAUGAUAAAAACAAAUUUGCUAAUGCUCCAAAAUAGUAAAUAUUUAGACUGAAAAUAGAAAGAGCUAUACUUGUGCUAUCAAAAUUGGGAGGUUUUUGCGUCAAAGGUGUCAAUUUAAUGCCAAAGUAUGGAUGGUUUGCUAGGAAAUGAUUUUAUUUAUAGAAAAAAAAAUCACUUUACUUACCCAAAAAUACCAAAGAAAAUUCAUAAACCUCUGCUUCAUAUAACAACCAGCACCAAGGAGACCCAUGUGAAAUCCCUUUUUGCAACUUAAAUCUUUACUCUCAGCAGAUAACAAGCAUUUUGUAGAUAAGGUCGUGGUAGUAUCAUAUCCUGAAAAAAUAACCAAAAAUCUCAAUUUUUUUUGAAUUAAUGCCAAAAAAUUGGAGGACCAUGAACCUAAAAAUAAUUAAAUGUCUGAAGAUUAAUAAAAUAAAUUCAAAGUGUUUUCCUUUCUCUUUAGUGUAUAAAUUUGAAUUUGUAAGGAACAUUAUAAUAAUAAUAAAAUUUUGUAAGGGUUACAAUAAAUUUGAAAUUGACAUACCUGCGACUUUGAGUCAUUAACUCUUUUCUCUUCAACUUCGCUGCCCUGAAGAAUUAUUGUCUGAACCAUUAUCCUCUGAAACAGAAUUAGCUGGAAUUAUAGAUGCAGCUGCCAUUAAUUAGCACACAAGGUAUAUGGUCUAUCUUCGACCACUCUGGUUCCUUAUCCUUUCCAGACCGUUCUUUUAGCACCGGACAUCCUACAAUAUCUAGCUCCAAAGCGAAGAAAGCAUCUCCUUUUCCGGAAGAGACUUGAGGUUUGGGCAAUGAUAGAUGGACAAGAACUCCAGAGAGGUGAGGUCCUGAAAGCCCUUGGAGGAUAGGUUUCUAGUUUUGGGAAAUCGCUGAUGAGAGAGGAGGUGAGAGAGCAGGGCAGCGUCAUUCGUAUCUCUUCUUGUGGAAACAACACUGCAUCGGGACACCCAUUUUCUAUCGAGAGAGAUUUAAGAGAAAUGAGUCUAUGCAAUCCCCAAUCAAUUAGUGGCUUAUAAAUGUUGGAUCCUUUGAUGGCAAGUCUUUUGAGAUUAGUCGGAAUGCCCUCUUCAGGGAAGGAUGUCAGACUUGAGAAAUUUUUUAUAUCUAAUUCUUCUAGACAGCUGAGGUUGUGUAUACCGUCGGGCAGGGCUUGGAGUUUUUCACAGUAACUGAGGCGGAGGACUUUGAGGUUUGAGGUAGGCAAACCACUUUUUGGAAGGAAACCAAAUUGAACAAUCACUUAAGCCUAUCCACUCGAGAUGGCUGAGCUUGUUCAGGCCUUGAGGUAAAUACUUAAUAUUACCACACCAGUUGAUAACAAUACUUUCAAGAGAAGAGUUAUCUUGAAUUUCUUGAGCUAUGGACUCUAGCUUUCCACAAGCCUCUAUUUGUAGUCGUUUAAGCCUCGUGGGUAACUCCCUUCUUGUUGAUAAAGAUACCAGAGAUGGACAAUAGCCAAUAUACAACUCCUCGAGAAGACUUGCAUUGCUGAUGUCAACAUUCUCUCCCUCUUUCAACAAACACCGUAAAUUUUUACAAUUAGCAAUCUCUAGGCUUUUGAGAUUCGAAGGCAAAUUGUUGUUUGAAAGAGAAAUCAGAGAUGGACAUUUGCGAAUUUUCAAAUGCUCAAGAAGACAUGCACUGCUGAGGUUAACAUUCUCUCCCUCUUCCAACAAACACCGUAAAUUUUCACAAUCAAAAAUCUCUAGGCUUUUGAGAUUCGAAGGCAAAUUGUACUUUGAAAGAGAAAUCAGAGAUGGACAUUUGCUAAUAUUCAACUGCUCAAGAAGACAUAUACUGCCGAGGUUAACAUUCUCUCCCUCUUCCAACAAACACCGUAAAUUUUCACAAUCAAAAAUCUCUAGGCUUUUGAGAUUCGACGGCAAAUUGUACUUUGAAAGAGAAAUCAGAGAUGCACAGUCGCUAAUAUUCAACUGCUCAAGAAGACAUACACUGCCGAUGUUAACAUUCUCUCCCUCUUCGAACAAACACUGUAUAUUUCUACAACAACCAAUGUCUAGGAUUUUUAGAUUCGAAGGCGAAUAGUUGUUUGAAAGAGAAAUCAGAUUUGGACAAUACCAAAGCUCUAGCACCCUUAGUGAUGAGAUGUAGUGCAAGGUUGUUGAUAGCUUUUCUAACCUUUCACAAUCCCAUAUUGUCAGUUUUCGAAUGGUGCAAGGGAUCUUCAAUUGCAUCAAUUCUUCUCUUUCCUCCUCUGCCCCUACGGAGACAAGUUGCGCCCACUUUCGAAUGCUCAAUUCACCAAGUGACAUCGACUGAGUUAGCAAUCCCCAACUGUUCUCUUGCAAAGAGCACAAUUCCUCACAAUCGUCGAUCUUAAGGGAUUCACUUUUAUUGAUCCUAACGUCAACCAUUCUGCUCUACAAGUAAACUUGGAAAACUCUUGAAAACCAGACAUUUUCUAAUGAGCUGCCGUCUACAAAACUUUAUACACUACCUCCUGGGACCCUCGAACAACCAAUUCUGAUAGCAUCGGAAGGUUUUUGAAUUGAAAUCACCAAUUUCUCACAAUCACAAAUCACAAGUUUCUCCAAAGAAAGAAGAUUUUCCGGUAUACUCCCCAACAGUUCCGGACAAUUCACAAUACAAAGCUCACGAAGAUUAGAAAAACUUCUUAGCUUCCUCAUUAACUUCACAAAAGUUCCAAUUCUCCCAUUAGGCAUGUUUACAAAUCUAAAGUCUCCAAUGAAGGAUAUGCAUUUGGCGCAUUCUUUCCAAAAACUCAACUCCCACACUAGUUACAUUGUCCAAUCCCUUGAUGCAUAAUUUUUUCAACAAUGGCAAUUGCCCAAUUGAUGGCAAUGAUGUGCAAUUUGGACAACAUUCAAGGCAUAUUGAUAGUAACUUAUUGAAUGAAGAAUCCCCUAUCCAUACCGCCAACCUCACACCAUAAUAAAACUUGAGGACAAGCUCCUUAAGCAUUUUGGAAGGAUGAAGUAAAUCCAACACUUUUGUCUCGAUUUCUCUAUUUCUAUUCUCCAAAUCAUCACUCCACAUCAAUUCUAACUGAUCCAGUCCUAACUUAUCAUGUAACUUAGCCUUCAAUGCAUCUUGAGGUUCAACCACAUUCUCUAACCCUGAAAUACAAGUUGACCUUUGAGAUUUGAUAAACCAUCUAGCUCCCUUAUUUGACAUCCUUUGCCCUUUGCAAAACAAAAUUGGAUAGUGUUUGAAGAUCACUUAGCGUGCAAAAAUUACUUGGCAUGCCUUCUAAUCCAACUGCACCUGUGAUAUCAGGAUAACAUAGGUUGGACUAGGUUUUUCCAUUCUCUGAAGGUGCUUUUCAAGAUUCUGGAUUCCCUUAAUAGAAGGGUUUCUAAUUAUAGAGGGUUACUUAUGGACUCCGGCAAGCACUGAAUAGAAGUGUGAGAAAGACUUAGGUACCGUAAGUGUUUUAAAUCUCCAAUAAAAUCUGGCAACUUAUAUGAUUAAGUACCCGUUCCAAAGAAAGCACCCUUAGGCAUUUUACAAAUUUGGCAACAAAUAUGUUAAAACAUUCAUUACUAACCCAGUAAGGCAUACAAUUUGAAACCUAAAUGGCAAAAAAAGUACGUAAAUAUUGCGCUUCACUGAUGCCCCUUUAAUUUUUAAUGCCCAUCAUACACCACCACCAAUGUAAGAUAAGUGGCGAGCUAUGCUUUGAGAAUUUGCUGAUCACCCUCUAUUCUGAAGCCAGAUUUCUCCGGCAACUGAUCGAGCCAAAUCAUUGAUGAGGUCAUGCGAUAACAAAUCGAGAUCUACCCUUUGUUGAUAUUUGCAAAAGAGACCUCGAUACUAGAUCUCUAAAAUACUUGUGGCCUAGAUCUUCAAUGCUAUGCUUAUCUCUUGCUUCUUGUAAAAAGCCCUCUGCCCUCCAUAACAAGAUUAUUUCUCUCUCUUGAAAUUCAUAGUCCUUAGGAAGAAUGGAGCAAUAUGCAAAGCACCGCUUCAGAUGUGGGGGAAGAUGAUGGUAACUCAAUUGGAGAGCUGGAAUUAUGUCAAACCGAUGGUCUGAUAGCUUCCAUAUCUCACUCUCCAAUAUUUUUUCCCAAGCAUCAAGGUCAAUAUCAGUACGAGCCAAGCCUCCAAGGGUUUUAGCAGCCAAAGGCAAUCCAUUACACUUUCUCACUAUUUUCUCAGCAACUUCUUUUAGAUUUGGAUGUCCUUCAAAAUCUUUUGCUCCCAAUGCAUGUUGAGCAAAUACAGACAAACAAUCAUCUUCCGACAAAACUUCCAAACAAUGAGCAAAAGAAGCACCCAUUGUAGAAUAAACAGCAGAAAUUCUUGUUGUCACGAUAAUUUUGCUUGCCGGAGUCCUUGUUAGAAAAGGAGAUUGCAAAAUGGUCCAGUCAUGAUAUUUCACAUCCCAGACAUCAUCCAAAACAAUCAAAAAAUUUUUCCCUGACAACUCCUUUAAUUUUUCUUGGAGCGAAUUCAAAUCGUUGUCAUUGCAUGCCUUUGAAGUGACUGCUUGGAAAAUUGCUUUUGUUAUUCUUGUGACAUCAAAAUCAUCAGAAACACAAACCCAUGCUUUGAGAUCAAAAUGAUCGUGAACAGUAGCAUCAUUGUAAAACAAGUUGGGCCAAGGUUGUCUUACCGAUCCCUCCCAUUCCAACGAUGGGAAUCACAAAAUUUCCGUCAUCAUCACCGUUGAAGAUCAAUUCAAGUAUUGUCUCCUUGUCUUUGUCUCUGCCAUACACCUGAGUUUCGAUCUCCAGAGAAGUAGGCUGCUGCCUUUCUUUUUAUUCUGUUGGAUUUCGAGCAGUCAAUCAUUCUCGGUUGCAACUUAUAUUUUUGAGGCUCUAAAUCUUUCAAUCUGGAAGUAAUAUCUUUUAUCUUUGACAUCAUGUCACUGUUACAGAAAACAUCGUUGAAUGUAUCAAGUCUGAGUUUUUUACUUGAGCUACCAUGACGUUUCAACUUCAGAUUGCGGCCUGGCAAUUUCGGUUUCAACGUCGUCCACAAUGUCAUCCACAUCCUAUGCCAUGUUUUGGAGUUCUGACAACCAAAUUUUCACAGAUUGAUCUUUGAUCUGCCUCUCCUCAGCAUCAUCAAGCAGCGCACGAAUCUCCAGCAAUUCCUUCUUCAACUUCUCGAGCUCUUCUUGAAUCUGUUUUUCGCUAACAAAUUGCAGGAAUUUAGAAGAACUCAACUUUUCUAGGAGAUAGUUCAAAGAACUUGGAGACAACAACUUCUUGUAUAGCGCACAGGGCUCCAAGCAAAGACAUGGCUGGGUUGCGUUGUUGCAAGAAAUUAGAGGAAGAAACGAGAGUAGAGAAAAUUGAGAAAAGAGUUUGGGUUAGUCGGAAGAAAGUGAAGUUGGAUAAGAUGAAUUGUAAUGUAGGGAUGAUUUUUUGUUUCUUUUGCUCGUUGAUUUUGCGGAAGCUUUUACAAGUCAAUAUUGGACCCACAUUAACGUGGCUUUAACUUUUUGAACGCACUAGCACUACCACUACGGGCUUUUGGUAAAAAAGGGGGUUUCAAUUGGGUUCUUUCUGCAAUUUCAUCGAUCCUACACAACAAAACCCCCACCCCCUUAACUCCCUUUUCUUGGUAAUUUCCAUGUUUGAAUGUUGAAAUAGGGGAAAUAUAUACGUUCAAUUGCUUCCCAAGUUUUAUCAACAGAUUUUGGUGUAUACAUAUUUGCUAAUUUCUAUUGUCAUCCUAUAUUUUUUUUAUUUGUGAUUUUUAAAAUAAUAGUGUGCUGGAUAAUUCAGUAAAAAAGGCAUAAAAAAACUUAAAUGCAAAUCUAAAAAAAAAUUGAUGAGAAAAUCAUGGAUUAUAUAUUAAUCCUCGGAAAAUUUAUUCGCAAAUUCGGUUUUUUUAUAUUUAAAUAUUUUAAUCACUAAAAUUAAACAUAUUAAUAUAAAUUAUGUAAUAAUGUGAAAUUAAGUAUAAGUACAUAGAAGUAUUGGAGACUAUAUUAUAUCAUACUAUAUUAUUGGAAACUCUUUACGUUGCUAUCUUCCUAAGGCUAAGGUUGGUCUGAUAGCUUCCAUAUCUCACUCUCCAAUAUUUUUUCCCAAGCAUCAAGGUCAAUAUCAGUACGAGCCCAGCCUCCAAGGGUUUUAGCAGCCAAAGGCAAGCCAUUACACUUUCUCACUAUUUUCUCAGCAACUUCUUUUAGAUUUGGAUGUCCUUCAAAAUCUUUUGCUCCCAAUGCAUGUUGAGCAAAUACAGACAAACAAUCAUCUUCUGACAAAACUUCCAAAGAAUGAGCAAGAGAAGCACCCAUUGUAGAUGAAACAGCAAAACUUCUUGUUGUCACGAUAAUUUUGCUUCCCGGAGUCCUUGUUAGAAAGGAGAUUGUAAAAUGGUCCAGUCAUGAUAGUUCUCGUUCCAGACGUCAUCCAAAACAAUCAAAAAAUUUUUCCCUGACAACUUCUCCUUUAAUUUUCUUUGAAGCAAAUUCAAAUCAUUGUCAUUACAUGGCUCUGAAGUGACUUCUUGGAAAAUUGCUUUUGUUAUUCUUGUGACAUCAAAAUCAUCGGAAACACAAACCCAUGCUUUGAGAUCAAAAAUGAUCGUGAACAGUAGCAUCAUGUAAACAAGUUGGGCCAAGGUUGUCUUACCGAUCCCUCUCAUUCCAACGAUGGGAAUCACAAAAUUUCCGUCAUCAUCACCGUUGAAGACCAAUUCAAGUAUUGUCUCCUUGUCUUUGUCUCUGCCAUACACCUGAGUUUGAAUCUCCAGAGAAGUAGGCUGCUGCCUUUCUUUUAUUCUGUUGGAUUUCGAGCAGUCAAUUAAUAUCAGUUGCAACUGAGUUUUCCGAGGCUCUAAAUCCUUCAAUCUGGCAGUAACAUCUUUUAUCUUUGACAUCAUGCCCCUGUUAAUGAAAACAAUGUUGAAUGUAUCAGAAAUGAGUCCGGGUUUCUUACUUUGAGCUACCACGACGUUCCAACAUCAAAUUGCGCCCUGGCAAUUUCGGUUUCAAGCUCGUCCACAAUGUCAUCCACAUCGUAUGCCACGUUUUGGAGGUCUGACAACCAGAUUUUCACAAAUUGAUCUUUGAUCUGCCUCUCCUCAGCAUCAUCAAGCAGCGCACGAAUCUCCAGCAAUUCCUUCUUCAACUUUUCGAGCUCUUCUUGAAUCUGUUUUUCAGUGGCAAAUUGCAGGAAUUCAGAAGAACCCAACUUGUCUAGGAGAUAGUCAAAGAACUUGGAGACAACAACUUCUCGUACAGCGGACAGGGCUCCAAGCAAAGACAUGGCUGGAUUGCGUUGUUGCAAGAAAUUAUAUGAAGAAAUGAGAGUAGAGAAAAUUGAGAAAAGAGUUUGAGUUAACGGAAGAAAGUGAAGUUGGAUAAAGAUGAAUUGUAAUGUAUGGGUGAUUUUUUGUUUCUUUAUGUUUCUUUUGCUCGUUGAUUUUGCGGAAUCUUUUACAAGUCAAUAUUGGACCCACAUUAACGCGGCUUCAACUUUUUGAACGCACUAGCGCUGCCACUGCGGGCUUUUGGUAAAAAAGGGUAUUUCAAUUGAGUUCUUUCUGCAAUUUCAUCGAUACUACACAACAAAACCCCCACCCCCUUAACUCCCCUUUUCUUGGUUUUUUAUAAAGAAAGUUGUAACACGAUAAAAGAAGAACAGAGACGUCUGUUUCUGUCGGUGGAGAUUAAUUUUUGUGGUGUCUUUUUCUUCUGAACAGUUAUUUUGGGAAUCAUUUUACUUUUAUAGCAGGGCCACUAGGGUUUUAAAUGCAGUAUUAAUGACAGCUGGUGUAUGAAUAAUUUAAUAAUAAUGUCUGAGUUUGAAUAAUUGGGAUGAACAAUUCANNNNNNNNNNNNNNNNNNNNNNNNNNNNNNNNNNNNNNNNNNNNNNNNNNNNNNNNNNNNNNNNNNNNNNNNNNNNNNNNNNNNNNNNNNNNNNNNNNNNNNNNNNNNNNNNNNNNNNNNNNNNNNNNNNNNNNNNNNNNNNNNNNNNNNNNNNNNNNNNNNNNNNNNNNNNNNNNNNNNNNNNNNNNNNNNNNNNNNNNNNNNNNNNNNNNNNNNNNNNNNNNNNNNNNNNNNNNNNNNNNNNNNNNNNNNNNNNNNNNNNNNNNNNNNNNNNNNNNNNNNNNNNNNNNNNNNNNNNNNNNNNNNNNNNNNNNNNNNNNNNNNNNNNNNNNNNNNNNNNNNNNNNNNNNNNNNNNNNNNNNNNNNNNNNNNNNNNNNNNNNNNNNNNNNNNNNNNNNNNNNNNNNNNNNNNNNNNNNNNNNNNNNNNNNNNNNNNNNNNNNNNNNNNNNNNNNNNNNNNNNNNNNNNNNNNNNNNNNNNNNNNNNNNNNNNNNNNNNNNNNNNNNNNNNNNNNNNNNNNNNNNNNNNNNNNNNNNNNNNNNNNNNNNNNNNNNNNNNNNNNNNNNNNNNNNNNNNNNNNNNNNNNNNNNNNNNNNNNNNNNNNNNNNNNNNNNNNNNNNNNNNNNNNNNNNNNNNNNNNNNNNNNNNNNNNNNNNNNNNNNNNNNNNNNNNNNNNNNNNNNNNNNNNNNNNNNNNNNNNNNNNNNNNNNNNNNNNNNNNNNNNNNNNNNNNNNNNNNNNNNNNNNNNNNNNNNNNNNNNNNNNNNNNNNNNNNNNNNNNNNNNNNNNNNNNNNNNNNNNNNNNNNNNNNNNNNNNNNNNNNNNNNNNNNNNNNNNNNNNNNNNNNNNNNNNNNNNNNNNNNNNNNNNNNNNNNNNNNNNNNNNNNNNNNNNNNNNNNNNNNNNNNNNNNNNNNNNNNNNNNNNNNNNNNNNNNNNNNNNNNNNNNNNNNNNNNNNNNNNNNNNNNNNNNNNNNNNNNNNNNNNNNNNNNNNNNNNNNNNUAUUUAUAUAAUUUUAUAAUGACAUUAUGUGAGAUUUAUAUGUAUUAUAAUAUGCUUUUUAGAUUUGUCAUUUACGGGUAUAUAAUUGAAUAGAUAAGAUUUUCAUAAAGAGGUGUAUGUUAUAUAAAAAAUUUUAUUGUAAAAAAUAAAGAUGAUUAUAAGGUAAAUUAAUGCGAAUGAUAUGAUUCAUUUUCUUGUUAAUACUAUCAUCAAAGAGAUGCUUGAUAAAAGUAUAAAUAUUCCAUGAUAUAUUUUUGUUUGUAACCAUCUUUUAUGUACAUUUAACUCAGUGCUUAAUAGUUUCCUUUUUUGAUAAUUUGUUAUGGAUUUUGAGAUUUUGUGCUUUUCUUUAAAAAUUAUAUUUCAAAAUUUUUUUUAGAUAUUAUUUGUGUUGUUUGCAUAAAUUUAUCUCUUCAUCAAAUUGUUAUGAUGAGUCUUAUUAAUUGUGCAGUUUAAGGUUUUUUUUUUAAUAUUUUCUAUAUUGACAAUAUUAUAGAGUGAUGAUUUGUUAUAAAAAUAACUUUUUUAUUAUUUUAGAAGUAAAUAUCAUUUUAAUCAUCUUACGUACAUCGUAUAUCAUUUUAAUCAUUUAACGUAUAUCGUAUAAGAUAGUGAUUAUGUUUAAUGAUAUUUUUUCAAUUCCAUGUAGAUAUGAAAAUGAGAAAAAAAUCCACUUAUUAAUCUUUAAUAAAGUUUUUUAUUUAAUCAUUUAUUUGACACAAAAAAUAAUUUAUUUUUAAGAGGAUGCAAAAGUAUUUCAAUUUCUUGUUGCAAACUUUUAUAAAGCUAAAAUAAAAGGUUUCAUUCUCAUAAUAAUUUUGCAUUAAUAUUAUUAUAUUUUAAAAAUUAAAGUAAAUAAUUAACAUUGAUUUAAAUAAAAAUAUUAAAAAAAGCAUAAAAAAUAGGUGUUACUUAUGCAAAUAACUCAAGAUUUUUUUAGAUUUUAUCAUAAUUUUAAUUAUAAAAAAUAGAAAAAAAAGUUGAGCACAAGUUGUUUCAAAUUAGUAGUAAAUGACAUAACACUCAAAAAUAUUAUUUCUUUUUAUUUUUCUUUAAAAACUUUUCAGAAUAUGUUAUAUUAAAUAACGAGUUAUAAUUAAAAUACUUUCUCCUUUUUGUAUGUUUAAUGUAGCUAGUUGUUAAAAAAUAAAUAUUUUGUAAAAGUUGAAGAAAUAAUAAUAAUAUUUUAUGAUCAUUUAAUAUUUACUUAUCAUUUUAUUGAGUUUCACUAAACUUUUAUUUUUUUUAUGUAAUAACAUUAAAAUAUUAAUAGAAAUAAAUAAAUAUAGGAGUUGAAAAGAUAUUUUAAUAAAUACUUCAAAAUGUUUUUAUUAGGAACUCUUCCAUUAAACAUUUAUAUUAUAUUUACAUAAUUAUUUAAUGAUAAUUAGGUGAAUUUGAAUAAUAAAUUUUUUUAUAAUUUUUAAUUGAAGUAUGAUUGAUUUGCUAAAAUUUCUACUUUUUUAAAAUUUGUUUCUAUCUUGUGAAAUAAAAUAAUAAAACUCAUUUUUCAAUAAAUGUCAUGUUACAUUGUGUAGUGUUUGUUUACAUAAAAUUUCAUGUGAAGCCUAAGUCCCUAAAUUUUAUUAUAUAAAAUUCAGUCAACCAUUUAAAUUUUUAUUUUUUAGACAUUUAGUUUCCUUGCAUUUAUAUAAGUUCUUGACUUAUUAUUUUCUUUGCAUUUAUACUCUUUUCAGUUGUUUUAUUAAAAUUUUUACAAACUUUUUUAUUUGCUUCAUGAUUUAUGAUUUUUCUUUUAAUUGUUUUGACUACAUAAGUUACUUUCCAUUUUUCAUUGGUUAGACUAUUUAAAAUUGUAAAUGUUUUCCCUUCUUGAAUCUAUUUAUUCAUUCACUAUAAGGGUUUUGGUAUUUAGUGACAUUUUUUUUUUACGUUUGGCAAGCGUUUAUAAAAUGCCACUAAAAGAUUAGCGACGCUUGUGAAAAACGUCAGUUAGAGUGCUGGCUAUGCACUCGUCGUGAAAAAUAGUGACGUUUUCUAUAAAAUGCCGCUACAUUUGCUGUUUUUGUAUCUGAAAAAUGCUACUAUAUUAGCAUUUGUAUAUGAAAAAUGUUGCUAUAUUAGCGGCGUUUGUACUUUUGACACGUCACUAAUUUAGUGACAUUUUUAUAAAAAAAAAUGCCUUUACUUUGGUGGCAUUUGUAUCACAAAAAUGCUGCUAAUUUAGCUCAUUUUUUUGCAAGAGCACUGCUACUUUUAGUGACGUUUUAUGGUACAAACGUCACUAAAUUAUUUAUUUAGUGAUAUUCUUGAACACAAAUGCCGUGAAAUUGAGAAAUGUAUUUUUUUUAAAUAAAAAAUUUAUGUUAAUAUUUAUUAUUUUCAUAAACGAGCUUAAAAUCAUAUACUAACAUUAAUAUAAACUUAAUUCACGUUCAAAUAUGCAUCUAAUUAACGUAAAAUUUAAUAAUUAGUAUAAUAACAUUCUAAUUUUUUAAUACAUUAACAAAAUAAAAAUUAAAAUAUAUGAAAUUGAUGAUCGCAUACAUUUUGAAAACUGUCAAUUGAUGAAAAAAUUUUUUUACCUUGGUCACUAGCAUUCUUAAGAAGCUACUGAAUAAUAGCAUAUAAUUUUUAACAUUUCAUUGUAAACUUUUUUAUAUUAAGAAAUAUAAAUAUAUAAAAUUUUUAAUUUAAUUUCCAAUUCAAAAUUUAAUUUAAAUUUAAUAUAUAUAUUUAAUAUUUAAAUUAAAUAAAAAAUUAAUCAAAAUCAAAUUAAACACUACAAUUUCAAAUCUUGAUUAUUUAUUUUUCAAUUCUACUAAUGAGUUAGGACAAAUUGUAGCUGUUCAACUCAAUUAUUCAAAACAACAUCACCCUAACCAUUUACUAUUACAUCAGCUUUUGUUAGUACUGCAUGCGUCCAGAAAGGCACGUGACAUGUCAUUAAGACACCAAAGCUACCUGCAGGUCAGCUGUAAAAAUAAAAAGAUUCCAAAAAUCUUUUGACAUAUUAUCAUUUCAUUAAAAAAGAUACGUGAUUUUAUGGUGAAAAAAUUUGAACAUUCUGAGCAAUUAUCUUUAAAAUGAUUUUAUUAGUAAUAAAAGUGUAAAAAUUAAUUCCAUUAUAAUUAAGAUAACAAACCUCACCUCAUUUUUUUCAUUUUGUUUAGUUCGAAAAUGGGGCGCCAAUUUGAAAAUACAGUACUCAUCAUGAUUUUUUUGUUCUCCAUCGAUUUCAUUUUGUAUGUUUUUUUAAUGAUUUUUUGGUUAAAUAAAUUUAAUUUUAACAACUUUUUAAAAUAUAUAUUAAAUCAAAGCUUUUAUAAAUAUAUUUAAAAUUUUUGAAACUCAAUUUUAUAAUUUUUAAUAAAACUAAUUAAAAUUGAGUUAGCUAAAUUAAAAUGUUAAUAAAAAAAUGGAACAGGAAAAAUGUAUUAUAGAAGACAAUGAAAUCCCUCUGUCUCUUUUUUUUUUUUCAAUUUUUUUAGAUGUUUUAAAAUUAUAUUAUAUAUUUUUUUGAAUAUUUAAAAUUUUUAUUUUUUAUAUUUAAAAAUAAUUUUUAUGAUUUUUUAUUUUUUGAUAUUAAAAAUCAUGACACUUUAAUUUUAUAGAAAAAUUUUAAAAUUUAAUAUUAAAUAUAUUUAAAUUAAAUUUUUUUAAAUUUCGUAAAAAUCAAAAUAUAACAAAUGUUUUGAGAUGGAAACAGCAAUAGUCGAAGGCUCCACGUGUUAGUAUGAACCAAUUUUUUUUUUUUUUUAUAACUUCCUUUCAACUGUAGAAAAAUUAACCCUUUUCUGUUUUUCAAGUAUGCGACUUUCGCCGUAAUUGUUAAUUUCGUUUUUGUAUGGAUUGUAUUAAUUAAUAUAUUUUAAUUAUAUUAAAAUAUAAUAUAUUUAAAAAUUCUUUUUGUAUUGAAUUUGAUAGCGAGUAAUGUCAAUUAUUUUGUUAACUUCGAUCGGUUUUGUGAGUUUUAAUAAAAUAAUAUAUUUUAAUCUAUACGUGAAUAUUAAAUAUAUUUUAAAAUUUUUAUUUAUUUUUUGUUAUUUAAUUAUUUUUAAUUUAAUAUAAAUAAAAUUAAUUAAUAAAAUUAUUUUUAAAAAUUAAUUUUUUUUAUUUUUUAUUUUUAUCUUUUAUUUUUUCAAACCAAAUUUUGUAUUUUGUAUGUUGUCUUUCGAGCCAAAAUUUAUAAAUAUUUUAAUUUUUUUUAGAAAAAUAAUUAUGCUUCUUUUAUAAAAUUUAAUAAUCAUAAAAUCUUAGUUAAUUUUUUCAUCAUUUUAUUUUUAUCUUAAUAUUUAUAUAAAAAAAUACUUAUUUAAUAUGAUAUGAUUAGAUUAAAUAUUUAAAAAUAUUAUAAAAAAUUUAUGAUAUUAUUUUUAUGCUUUUAAUUAAUUUAUUUAAUUUUUAAAAAUAUUAGAUAUUUGUUUUAUAAAUUAAUAAUAAUAUUAUAAUAUACAAAUUUUAUAUAUUUAUAAAUAUAUUUAUACUAAAUUAAAAAAUUUAAAAUAAUAUAUCAAAAAGACUGAUGCUUAUAUAUAUCGUUUUUUUCUAAAAAUCAAAAUAUUAUUUGAUACGAUCAACCUUGACUCCAACACAACUAAUGUUCAACGUAAUUCGAUUCUGGUAGUUUCCCAUUUGACGCGAGAAUUCUUGAAAUAAAGUGAGGUUCUUUAAUUUAUUUAAUUAUAUUAUUAUUUUUGAACAGAAGUGAGGUUCCUCCUUGACAUGGAGACGAAUGAGUGAGGACAAAUUUGAAUUGUUCAUCCCAAUUAUUCAAACUCAGACAUUAUUAUUAAAUUAUUCAUACACCAGCUGUCAUUAAUACUGCAUUUAAAACCCUAGUGGCCCUGCUAUAAAAGUAAAAUGAUUCCCAAAAUAACUGUUCAGAAGAAAAAGACUCCACAAAAAUUAAUCUCCACCGACAGAAACAGACGUUUCUGUUCUUCUUUUAUCGUGUUACAACUUUCUUUAUAAAAAAUCACAAUGAAAUUUGAUUAUUUGAUUGUGAAUAUUAAAGUGAAAGGAUUAAAGGAUAAAUUAAAUAAAAAUUUAAAAAAACUUUUUUUUUGAAUAUUCUCUACUUUCAAUUACUUCUUCUAAGCAAUUAAAUUUAUUUUUAUUUUUUACUGUUAUUCAUAAUUAAAACAAUACUAAUUUGUAAAAAAAUAUAAAAUAAACUAAAAAAAUUUAGGUUUAUUAAAUAUUAGUAAAUUAUUAAUUUAUGUUAUUUUUAUUAAAUUAAUAUUUAAAAAUAAAAUAUUAAUUUGAAUUAUUUUUUAUUAAAAUCAAUUUGAGUCAUUUUGAAUACUCAAAUUAAUUUAAAGUCACGUUAUUUACGAAUUCGAAUUACUUUUAGAUCAAAUUGAGUGAGCUCAAAUUAUUAACUUUUUCGAUUAAAUUUAAUUCGUUGAAUUCAACCCAUUUAUUUUUCAAACGCCAUUUCCUUUUGUUAAAAACAUCUUUGUCAACUUUUGUUAGUGGCAAUUCCACUUUAGUUUGUCGCAAUUAUUGCGUCUGCAAGUAGGACAAACCAUAGCCUUAGGAAGGCUAGCAUUAGCAACGAAAAGAGUUUCCAAAAAUAUAGUAUCAUAUAAUAAUACUAUUUACUUGUAUUUAAUUUGACAUUAUUACAUUAUUUGUAUUAAUAUGUUUAAAUUUAGUGAUUAAAAUAUUUAAAAAUAAAAAAAAAUCGAAUUUGCCAAAUAAAAUUUCCAAGGAUUAAUAUAUAAUUCAUGAUUUUCUCAUCAAUUUUUUUUUAGACAUGCAUUUAAAAUUUUUUAUGCCUUUUUACUGAAUUAUCCAGCACACUAUUAUUUUAAAAAUCACAAAUAAAAAAAUAUAUAGGAUGACAAUAGAAUUAGCAAAUAUAUAUACACCAAAUCUGUUGAUAAAACUUGGGAAGUAAUUGAACGUAUAUAUUUCCCCUAUUUCAACAUUCAAACAUGGAAAUUACCAAGAAAAGGGGAGUUAAGGGGGUGGGGGUUUUGUUGUGUAGUAUCGAUGAAAUUGCAGAAAGAACUCAAUUGAAAUCCCCUUUUUUACCAAAAGCCCGCAGUGGCAGUGCUAGUGCGUUCAAAAAGUUGAAGCCGCGUUAAUGUGGGUCCAAUAUUGACUUGUAAAAGAUUCCGCAAAAUCAACGAGCAAAAGAAACAUAAAGAAACAAAAAAUCAUCCAUACAUUACAAUUCAUCUUUAUCCAACUUCACUUUCUUCCGUUAACUCAAACUCUUUUCUCAAUUUUCUCUACUCUCAUUUCUUCAUAUAAUUUCUUGCAACAACGCAAUCCAGCCAUGUCUUUGCUUGGAGCCCUGUCCGCUGUACGAGAAGUUGUUGUCUCCAAGUUCUUUGACUAUCUCCUAGACAAGUUGGGUUCUUCUGAAUUCCUGCAAUUUGCCACUGAAAAACAGAUUCAAGAAGAGCUCGAAAAGUUGAAGAAGGAAUUGCUGGAGAUUCGUGCGCUGCUUGAUGAUGCUGAGGAGAGGCAGAUCAAAGAUCAAUCUGUGAAAAUCUGGUUGUCAGACCUCCAAAACGUGGCAUACGAUGUGGAUGACAUUGUGGACGAGCUUGAAACCGAAAUUGCCAGGCGCAAUUUGAUGUUGGAACGUCGUGGCAGCUCAAGUAAGAAACCCAGACUCAUUUCUGAUACAUUCAACAUUGUUUUGAUUAACAGGGGCAUGAUGUCAAAGAUAAAAGAUGUUACUGCCAGAUUGAAGGAUUUAGAGCCUCGGAAAACUCAGUUGCAACUGAGAAUAAUUGACUGCUCGAAAUCCAACGGAAGAAAAGAAAGGCAGCAGCCUACUUCUCUGGAGAUCGAAACUCAGGUGUAUGGCAGAGACAAAGACAAGGAGACAAUACUUGAAUUGGUCUUCAAAGGUGAUGAUGACAGAAAUUUUGUGAUUCCCAUCGUUGGAAUGGGAGGGAUCGGUAAGACAACCUUGGCCCAACUUGUUUACAAUGAUGCUACUGUUCACGAUCAUUUUGAUCUCAAAGCAUGGGUUUGUGUUUCCGAUGAUUUUGAUGUCACAAGAAUAACAAAAGCAAUUUUCCAAGCAGUCACUUCAGAGCCAUGUAAUGACAAUGAUUUGAAUUUGCUUCAAAGAAGAUUAAAGGAGAAGUUGUCAGGGAAAAAUUUUUUGAUUGUUUUGGAUGACGUCUGGAAUGAGAAAUAUCAUGACUGGACCAUUUUACAAUCUCCUUUUCUAACAAGGACUCCAGCGAGCAAAAUUAUCGUGACAACAAGAAGUUCUGAUGUUUCAUCUACAAUGGGUGCUUCUUUUCCUCAUUAUUUGAAAGGUUUGUCAGAAGAUGGUUGUUUGUCUGUAUUUGCUCAACAUGCAUUGGGAGCAAAAGAUUUUGAAGGACAUCCAAAUCUAAAAGAAGUUGCUGAGAAAAUAGUGAGAAAGUGUAAGGGCUUGCCUUUGGCUGCUAAAACCCUUGGAGGCUUGGCUCGUACUGAAAUUGACCUUGAAGCUUGGGAAAAAAUAUUGGAGAGUGAGAUAUGGAAGCUAUCAGACCAUCGGUUUGACAUAAUUCCAGUUCUCCAAUUGAGUUACCAUCAUCUUCCUCCACAUUUGAAGCGGUGCUUUGCAUAUUGCUCCAUUCUUCCUAAGGACUAUGAAUUUCAAGAGAGAGAAAUAAUCUUGUUAUGGAGGGCAGAGGGCUUUUUACAAGAAGCAAGAGAUAAGCAUAGCAUUGAGGAUCUAGGCCACAAGUAUUUUAGAGAUCUAGUAUCGAGGUCUCUUUUGCAAAUAUCAAACAAAGAUAGAUCUCGAUUUGUUAUGCAUGACCUCAUCAAUGAUUUGGCUCGAUCAGUUGCCGGAGAAAUAUGCUUCAGAAUAGAGGGUGAUCAGCAAAUUUCAGAGCAUGCUCGCCACUUAUCUUACAUUGGUGGUGAGUAUGAUGGCAUAAAAAAAUUUGAGGGCAUCAGUAAAGCGCAAUAUAUACGUACUUUUUUGCCAUUUAGGUUUUCUACUUAUAUGAGUUACUACAUAACUAAUGAUGUUCUAAUGCAUUUGUUGCCAAAUUUGAGAUGCCUAAGGGUGCUUUCUUUGAAAGGGUAUCUUAUCUGCGGGUUUACCAGAUUUUAUUAGAGAUUUAAAACACUUACGGUACCUAGAUUUUUCUGGACUUGUAUUAAAUGCUUACCGGAGUCCAUAAGUACCCUCUAUAAUUUAGAAACCCUUCUAUUAAGGGAGUGUGAGAUGCUUGAAAAGCUACCUUCAGAUAUGGAAAACCUAGUCAACCUAUGUUAUCUUGAUAUCACAGGUGCAGUUGGAUUAGAAGGCAUGCCAAGUAAUUUUUGCACGCUAAGUGAUCUUCAAACACUAUCCAAUUUUGUUUUGCAAAAGGGCAAAGGAUGUCAAAUAAGGGAGCUAGAUGGUUUAUCAAAUCUCAAAGGUCAACUUUGUAUUUCAGGGUUAGAGAAUGUGGUUGAACCUCAAGAUGCAUUGAAGGCUAAGUUACAUGAUAAGUUAGGACUGGAUCAGUUAGAAUUGAUGUGGAGUGAUGAUUUGAGAAUAGAAAUAGAGAAAUCGAGACAAAAGUGUUGGAUUUACUUCAUCCUUCCAAAAUGCUUAAGGAGCUUGUCCUCAAGUUUUAUUAUGGUGUGAGGUUGGCGGUAUGGAUAGGGGAUUCUUCAUUCAAUAAGUUACUAUCAAUAUGCCUUGAAUGUUGUCCAAAUUGCACAUCAUUGCCAUCAAUUGGGCAAUUGCCAUUGUUGAAAAAAUUAUGCAUCAAGGGAUUGGACAAUGUAACUAGCGUGGGAGUUGAGUUCUUUGGAAAGAAUGCACCAAAUGCAUUUCCUUCAUUGGAGACUUUAGAAUUUGAAAAGAUGCCUAAAUGGGAGAAUUGGAACUUUUGUGAAGUUAACGAGGAAGCUAAGAAGUUUUCUAAUCUUCGUGAGCUUCGUAUUGUGAAAUGUCCGGAACUGUUGGGGAGUAUACCGGAAAAUCUUCUUUCUUUGGAGAAACUUGUGAUUUGUGAUUGUAAGAAAUUGGUGAUUUCAAUUCAAAACCUUCCAAUGCUUUCAGAAUUGGAUAUUGAAGGGUGCCAGGAGGUAGUUUAUAAAGGUUUUGUAGACGGCAGCUCAUUAAAAAAAGUCUGUUUUUCAAGAAUUCCCAAGUUUACUUGUGCAGCAGAAUGGUUGACGUUAGGAUCAAUAAAAGUGGAAUCCCUUAAGAUCGAAGAUUGUGAGGAAUUGUGCUCUUUGCAAGAGAACAGUUGGGGAUUGCUAACUCAGUCGAUGUCACUUGGUGAAUUGAGUAUUGGAAAGUGGUCACAACUUGUCUCCAUAGGGGCAGAGGAGGAAAGAGAAGAAUUGAUGCAAUUGAAGAUCCCUUGUACCAUUCAAAAACUGACAAUAACGGAUUGUGAAAGGUUAGAAAAGCUAUCAACAACUUUGCACUACGUAUCAUCACUUAGGUUUUGGUCUUGCCCAAAUCUGAUUUCUCUUUCAAACAACAAUUUGCCUUCGAAUCUAAAAAUCCUAGAUUGGUGUUGUGAAAAUAUACAGUGUUUGUUCGAAGAGGGAGAGAAUGUUAACAUCGGCAGUGUAUGUCUUCUUGAGCAGUUGAAUAUUAGCUACUGUCCAUCUCUGAUUUCUCUUUCAAAAACAAUUUGCCUUCGAAUCUCAAAAGCCUAGCGAUUAGUGAUUGUAAAAAUUUACGGUGUUUGUUGGAAGAGGGAGAGAAUAUUAACCUCAGCAGUGCAUGUCUUCUUGAACGGUUGUAUGUUGACAAUUGUCCAUCUCUGGUAUCUUUAUCAUCAAGAGGGGAGUUACCCACGAGGCUUAAACGACUUGAAAUAUACGGUUGUGAAAAGCUAGAGUUCAUAGCUCA
rnacentral:lncRNA from 1 species